CGCCUCAUCCACCUCUGGUCCUCCACCUCCUCCUCCUCCGCCGUCGCCGACGACAUCUCCUCCUCCCCCGAUCCCCUCCCUUCUCUCCGCGACCUCGCCGCCUUCUUCUCCGACCCCGCCGUCGACGACACCGAGAAGAACCGCCUCCUCGCCGCCGGCGGCCUCGCGCCCGCCCUCGCCGCCCAGAUCGUCAAGGAGGACGCCGGAAUGGAGACGGUGGAGGCGGCGAUCAGGGUCCUCGCGUUGGUCCUCUCCAUGGAUGGCACCCACGAGGGCAACGGAAGGGUCGCGAUUUCCGCCCUUUUGGCCGAUCUGGAUGGAUCCGUCUCCGCCCUCAUCGCCGUGCUCCAGAAAGGCAGCAGCUUGGAAUCCCGGAUCGAUUCCGCUCGGGUUCUCGAUUCGAUCCUCUCGUCGCCCUCCGAUUGCGUCGCCGAGGGGACCAAGAUCUCGAUCGCGGAGAAGCCGGAGCUGAUCCCGGAGCUGGUCCGGCUGAUCGGCGGCGAGACUAAGGUGGAUCCGGCGGCGGCCGACGCGGGGCUGCGGUGCCUGACCGGUAUCCUGGCGGCGGCGGGUCGGCGGGUACGGGUGCCGAUGGUGAGGGCAGGGUUGGUGGCGGCGGCCGCGCGGGCGCUGGCGGAGGAGGAUGUGGCGGCGGGGGCGGCGGAGCGGGCGCUGCGGGUGAUGGAGGAGGUGGCGGCGUGCGCGGAGGGGCGGGCGGCGAUCUGCGAGGCAGCGGAGGAGUGCGUGGGGGCGGUGAUGGGGCGGGUGAUGAGGGUGGGGAGGGAGGGGAGGGAGGCGGCGGUGGUGGUGCUGUGGGCGGUGUGCUGCGGCGGCGGCGGCGACCAGAGGGCGAGGGAGGCGGUGGCGGGUGCGAGCGGGGGACUGGCGAAGAUCCUGGUGUUGAAGCAGGGUGACUGCUCCCCGGCGGCGGGGAGGAUGGCCGGCGAUCUGCUGAGGAUGUUCCGGGCUGAUGCCAAGAGCUGCCUCGCCGGAUACGACAGCAAGACCAUCCACAUCACGCCCUUCUAAUCCCCCAAGGGGAGGAGUUAAAAGAGUAUUAAUAUAGUGGAUUAUUUACAGAUAAAUUUGAUUCGAGUUCAGCAAUCAAGAGGAAACAAACAGAGUGGAGUCAAAAAAAAUACUAAUAGACGAUUUGUAAAUGGAUAGAAAUUUUGACUUGAUAUGGAAAAAAAAUGUAUACACCACAAAGAAACUUGCUUAAUUUUUUUUAGUUGUUGUACACCAUCAGCGUUGAAAUAUUUUGUGUUCUUGACAAAAUACUUCUAUUAACAUUGCCCAUAAAAAACCAAAGACUUGAUUAUUUCAAGGAUAGUGAUGGCACUUUAAAAACUUGAACUUGUUAUAGGGUUUAAUAAGUCAUUGGAAUGGAGCACAAGACCAUUUAAUCUUUCAUGCACGCCAAUCUACUCAAGCAUUAGGACUUUAUUAAGCCCAAAGUCUUUAUUAAUCUUCUCGCAUUCUCUUCUCCAAUGCUGCCGCAUUCCUUGGCAAUUCCCCAGAUAUCUAUUGCCGAGUACAUUUCAAAGAAAAACAUUUGGUUGCCGAGUUUAUGAGUGCCAAUGGUGCUGUUAAUCUAAGAACACCUCUACCUUGCUAAUUAUAUAUAGUUUGCCGGGUACGGGCUUAAAGUCAAUUUUGAUGGCUCGCUUGGCAACAGUGAUGCAGGAAUUGGUUUUCCUACACGUAGGAUCAAGGGCUUUGAAGGCAAAAUCCAUAUCCAUGUUUGAACUACGGGCAAUAUUGGAAGGGAGAUAGAAGGUGACUCCACAAUGCGAAUACUUCAUCUAUGGGAGAUCACACAUUUCUUGUGGAUAUAAAGGAGUUAAAGGGCAAUCUCCUUGUUCUUUCGUGCUGCACACACUUACAGGAAGGCCAACAAGGUAGCAACUACAAAAAGAUUGAAGUAGGGCUUCGUUGCUCGCUCGUUCUAGUAUCCCUUGGAGAUCUCUUUUUUAGUUGAUGCAGAUGGUUUUGGCUAUCUUUUCCUUGGUUAUUGAGGUUCAUGACCCCCAUUGUAACCAAAAAAAAAAGAAGGUUGAGCUCCUAGUGAUCUUCUUCUUCGAAGGUGAUCUAACUAGAGAGAAAAUGGAGAAAAAAAAUCCUUCAAUUCACUUAACUUAGAUAACUGAUAUAACAUAAUAUUAAAAUAAUAGAAUUUUGAAAGAAAGGUUCUAAAUCUAUUUUGCUUACAUCGAUGAUCGUAAAUUGGUACAUUGAGUCUCGGGUCUCCAAAACUAGGUUGAAUUUUCUGUCUAGUCAAAAGAGACUGAAAAUUUUCUAAAGUAGUAAAAAAAAAAAAUUAUAUUAAGCUAAAAUUAAUCUUGGAGGUAGAUCUCGACUCUACAUCAACUUUAUCUUCUGUUAUGUUGCAUGAUUCCUUCCAAAUUAAAUGAUAUGCCCACUCAAAUUCUUACUAAAAAAGAAUAUCUUAUUUUGAUUACUUUUGUUUUGAACCUAAAUAUCAUUAAACCUCUCGCAUCAACUAAGUGUGACGAACCCUUGAAGUCAUUGCACCAUUGUAGUAAUCAUCAAGAGCUUCAUUUUAGCACUCCAAAAAUUAUGCUUCAUCACUGAGUUUUAGAUAUAGCGCUACUUGGCACUGUAUAUACCAUCAAUGUCAAUGAUCUACCUUGCCCAUAACAAGGUCAAUGAUUUUCUAACUGAAAAGGAGUGAUCUGGUGCUGUGAAUGGCGUCAAAGGAUAGGAAAGGGAAGAGAUGGAUGGAGAGAGAGCAAUCCAAGCAGAUAGAGAGGUGGAUUUCUCUCUCUUCGUUGCUCUAAAGAAGAAGCCCAAACUAACAAAGAUUUUGGGACUUGUUUCCAUUUGAUCAUGCUAGAAUGAAUCUCAAAGCACUCAAGGGAUACAAUGGUUAUGGAAAGAUCGUCAGUGUUCUCUCAUAAAGACCUCACUCGAACUCCAUAUGAGACAAGCUAGAGUAAGUACAUCUCAAUCUCAACGAAAUAGAGACGGCACAUUCAUUAUGUACGGUGUAUUGAUUUAUUUGUACUUGAAGUGAUAUGUUGAAAGUCUAACUUGCAUUUUUUUUCUCUUAUAAAAUGGAGGAGAAUCAAUCUUUUAUAAGUUAAUCAGGUAUGAAAACCCAGAGAAUUUACCAUCCAAGGAAUCUCCUCUAAUUAGAUGAUGGAUGUGAUGCUUGGAUAUUUCUCGGAUUCACAACUUGUAUUAUUCAAUUGAUUAGAUUGAUCUUCCUAAAUUUGUUGCCAACAUGACAAUGACAACAACAACAAAUCACUUUAGAGGUUUUUUUUUUUUUUUACAGAGUUUAGAUCCUAUUCAGUUUGUAGUUGCCUUGAAGAAGUCCAGUUCCCACUUAAGUUGUUCAUGUAUUGCACCAUGAUCUAGAUGAUAAAGAAGUAAUAUCAUCGCAAACUAAACUCUUAGCUUCUCAUUCCACAAUCUUCAUUGUAAGAUACAUGGACACCUUCAUGGAGCUGAUUUUUGUCAUUCAAUUAUAAUUUUGGAGACUCCUAGCUUAUACAUCUAAUGAUGAAUAUAUAUAUAUAGAGAGAGAAUAUUUGAACCCUAUUUUUGACCACUUAAUGCAUAGUUUAGAAAUCUUCAAAUGAUAUAAUUUUGUAAGCAGUUUAGUGACAGUAUACCACAUCCAAUGAUUCCAUCAUUAAUAUCAUGAGACUCUCAAUAUCUAAUCAAGAUCUGAUAAUUCUAGCCGAUAGUCCUGGAAUCAAAAGAAAAAGCAUCUCUGGAGAAUUCGUCUCAACCCAAAGGUGGAAUAAAGACGUCAAAAAAAAGGCUCAAAAAUGACACCCCGCUCAUUUUGGUCCUGGAAUUUCCUCAUCUUUGGCGGAACGAAAUGGGAGAACUUUUCCUUUCUCUUCUUUUGUGUUCUCUUUUAACCAUCUUCCUACGAAGAACAUUAGCUUGGCUUUCUCAUAGUUAUUCCCUGUGACCUUCUCUGUGCACCAAUGGCGAUUAGCAGGCCGUCUUCCUCCUAGACCUGAGUUGGUGACCACAUGCAUGCAUGCAUGCCUACCGGCCUGUGGGCGGAGGCCACCGAGAAAACAUUCUCCGGAAACAUGGAAAAGAUUGCCGGAAUUGCUGAACCAGUAGCCGACCAGAUGCAGACUCCGCGGCGGAUGCUUUUGAUCCUACGACCCAACCAAAAGAGAAAGAAUAAAUAAUUAUCAGAAAGAGGAUUCUUUGGGUAGAAAAAUUCUCUGUGAUGACGGAAGGAUGUGGAAAAGGAUCGGUGGAUUGAAGAUUUCGGCAAACUCAAACAUCAGCUUAUGCUUCCGUUUUGACCACGCCGUUCCCUGCGAUCUUUCUUUAGUAUUACAUGUUUUACAUAAUACCAAGAAGAGUCGCAAAGAAGACUUUGUGGCUUUGCUAUAAUAUAAUUAUAUGACUCGUUGGUUCCAGCUAAUGAGUUCAACAAUGAAGAUAGGAGCAAAAAAGAAAAAGAGAGAGAGAGAGAGAUCGAGCUUUUUACUUUCAAUCUUUCAAACGUGCUGGCAACCAUUAACAGCCCGCGAGAAGUUGCGUUUCAGUUCCUUUUUCUUCUUUCCUUUUUUCCCAACCCUUUUUUCACUUUAGUUCGUUACAAAAGAACAUAGCACGCUUGAUGGGUACUUUAAAUUUGGAGUUGUUUAGUUUGCAGGAAAAAAAUUAUUAUCUCACCAAAAUAUAUUUUUUUAGAAAGCUGAUGUCUGAUUAUAUUAUACAUAAGAAAAANNNNNNNNNNNNNNNNNNNNNNNNNNNNNNNNNNNNCUAUAAAGAGAAAAAAAUAUAUAAGCCACUAAGAUUAAGAAUAUUUUUUUAAAAAAGAAUUUUACCUUGAUUCCUGACAAAUGGAAAAGUGGGUUUUCUAUGUCGCAUAUGGUUUCUAUUUUCUGUAGAAGAUGAAAAAUUAUUUCCAUGAAAAUGCUAUUUUUUUAUCUUUUUUCCUUUGAAAUAUCUAACCAAACAAAAAACCAUUUUGUCAUUUUUUCGUUAAUUCAUUUAAAACUUUUAUUUGUAUAAUUUGAAGUAUUGAUCUUAAUUACUUUAAAUAAUUAAUUCAAAAUAUUAACCGAGCAAGCCUGAACUUGAGCUAGGCUAUGAAUAGCUUGUUGGUAGGGUUGGCAAUUUAUAAUUUGACCUAUUAACUUGAUCUGCGAAUGAUCCGCUUCAAAUAGAUUUAGGUUUGACAUAAACGAAUUUGGGUCAUAAAUGGGUCACUCCAUUUAGCAUUUACUAAAUGGGUUGGGUUCAGGUUUUGACCUUUGACAUAUUUAAUAAUUAGGUUAGAUCAUAAACCGGCCCAUUUAACUUGUUUAAAACCUACCUAACAUGUUUCUGACUUAUUUAACCCAAUCCACUUUAACCAGUUUAACCUGUUUAAAUAUAUUUAAUCCAUUAAAAACUUAUUUAACCUAACUUGACUUGUUUAAUAAAUGGGUUAUAUGAAUUGGAUCAGAUUACCUGUUUAAUAAAUAGGCCAGAUUCAGAUAUAAAAUUUUUUUAUCCAAUCUAUAUCUGAUCCGAUUUAAUCCAACUUAAUUGCCACCCCUACUUGCUGGUUGGUUUGCCGGCCCUAAUGACGAGAUCUUCAACGUAUCAUUGUUUUCUUACGCUUUCAGCUCUUUCCAGUCAAAGGGAGCAAGAAAGAAGCCGAACCACGAAAAAGAUACAGAGAUUCGAACCGACGGGCCCAUAAAAGGGAUGAUGCAAAGCCCAUCAACCAUCUGCACCAUCCUCUCUCCAUACGACCAAAGAGUGGCCAUCAUGCAACAUGGAUAAAUAAUCAUAUACGUAAAGAGCAAAAGCAUGCAGAAAAGAAUCAUCAAAAGUAUUGGAAAUGGAAUCCAAGAAAAUAAGGCUGGAGACAAAAGGAAAAGCUUUGAGAUAUACUAGCAAGAUGCCCUCGAUCCACGACACUGAGUGUGAGGUGACCCGGAAAUUAUAUUCUUCCUGAUCUUCAGUUCUCAUGGACCUCAAAGGGCAGUUCAAUCAAUGGUAUGAAGGGAAGAAAAGAAGAUAGAAAAAAAGCAUUAAGCAAGCUCUCUGUCGCAUCUUGUAUAACUGUUUCCAAGACUGAAUUAUGCCCGUGCAGGCAUUUCUUCAAACCAUGUCAGGACUCUGAUGCAAAGUAGUGCUAAAAGCUACUAUGCUCUCUCAAAAUCAACAUGGAUUUGUUCGUACUGAUGUGGAUCUAAGAGAAGCUUUGCCCUAUCUUGAGGACGCUGCCCGAAAGAUUAUAUCAACAUCAAGCUCAGGCUUUACCAAGAUACAGCCAAGCAAUUUUGUCUGAAAAUGUGCAGGGGCUAUGGCAUCCUCGGCAAAAGAGUCAAAAAGAGUCUAGAGAAAGGGCUAAGAACUAAAUCUGGAGAUAGAAGAAACAACCAAGCUGCUUCACGAGAAAGCUCAGAUUUUUGCACCCUUGUGUUUCCAUGGCUGAGACGCAGUCAGUGAAAGAUGGACAUUGUCCAACCAGGAAUGGUGCAUGACAGUGGAGUAGAAACCUGAUCUAGGCGCACCGUUACUCUAGUAUUAGUUGUAGUGUACGUGCAAAUACAACUACUGAAGACAUUAGAUGUAAUGCAUUUUGGAGCGAAAUUCAAAUAUUUAAAGAAAAAUUCAAAUGUUUAAAGAAAAAUUCAAAUGCAUUAGGCAGUUAAAAAGUUUUGGAAGUACUAGAUAUCAUUAUUUUUUUAGACAAAAUUUAGUCCAAGAAAAAAAUAAUAUGUACAUUCACAGUGCAUAAAAUCAAUAAACUUUAUAAACUUUACGUACGUGCAAUAAUAAAUUCAGUUUAAAAUUGUCAAAAUUACACAAAUAAAACACCUACAUAUCACAAAAUAUUCCCAUAAAACUUUCCUUGACCUACUUUAUAUUUAAUUUUUUUGAGCUUUUUUUAUGACCAGAACUUUGAAACUAGUGAAAUUGCUGAAAAUGUUUGACCUGCCAUAAUUAUAACUUUAGAACCCCAACUAAAACUUGAGAGAGAGAGAGAGAGAGAGAUUUCAAACCUUGGUUAGUUAUAAUCCUUGAGCUGUGAAUUUUUGCAUUAUACUUUCAAUAAGCACCAUUCAAUAUUCCGUUCACAAACAUAUGCUAAAAUGAGGUUGAAAAGAGAAGUCAUUCAUCUUCAAUCACAAGAAGAAGAAGAUGAGUUGUACAAUAGGCAGAGGAGAAAACCUCUCUUGCCCAUGCUAUCUGAUUUUUUUUACAAUUUUAUAUACACCAAUACAACAGGCAAGGGAAGACACAGAGCAUGGUAGAUUAAUCAACAAAUAACAUAAUUGAAGGAACCAUGUACCACGUAAAGUCCUGUAUUCUUGCCCCGCCCCACUUCCCCCAGGAAAAAACGAAAAAUUGUACUCCGAUGUGCCAUGGCACCUAGUUCCUCUUUCAAAGAUUAGGCUGUUGCUACUACUUUAGGAUUGAAAUGCCUCUCUCUUCAGGAUGCAGAUUGAGUGGGCACUGCUGAUGAGGCCCUAUCUGACCCACGAAUGUUAUAUUUCUCAUACACCCUCUCACGGUUUUCUGACCACCAUGUUUCGGCUUGCUUUUCACCAAACCUUCUCCGACUGCAAGAGAAUUUUUAUUAUCAGGAAAUAAAAAAUCAAUAGCUUCGAUAUAAGAUAGGCAAAAUGUGGUUUUCUUAACUACCUGAAUCGCACCCUCUUCAAAUCUAUAGUUCCAUCAUGAAGGGUAAUGAGAGUUAUAUAUACACCAGGUUCAUAUUGUUCUAUCCAUUCAGCCUCAACCUGAUUACUAGCUGAAGUGGGGCUUCCAGGCUUUAAACUGUUGUUGUUUUCCAGGGGUUUGGAUUCCUUGCUGUCAGAAUCCUUUAUUCUACUGUUAGUUGAUGGCAUUUCUCCAUUGCUGUGGUCUUGUGUUUUCAAUAUUUCAUCUUCAUUGGGGUUUGGAACCCGAUGAUUCUGAAAAUGCAUUCUCAUCUCAUGAGCUUCACAAAUGUCUUUUGCUGCAUCACUUUCGCCGGAGGAUCCAUUUUUAUGACCUGAAUAAAUAGUUGUGGUUGGAUGCACAUAUGGAUCGUUGCUAUCAUUAUUUCUCAACAGGUGCUCUUCAUGCAGAUCAGAGUGCUGAAUAGCAGAUGGGUCAAUGCCAUUUGGCAAGUGGAUUGAUCUUAAGGCAUUGCUCUCAUGGACCUCAUGUGGAAGCCUUUCUGCCAUUUCUUUUAGCUACCAAAGAAAAUAACACUGAUCAGUGUGUUUUACAAAAGCUUCAAGUGCUGAUAAUCAGAAAGCUCUACCAGUGAUAACACGUAUAAGAAUGGAGAACAAUGUUAAGCUUCAUCUUGUAUAUAAAACUAAAAUCACCUCCCAUCCCAUAUGAUGGAGGAUGCAAUGAAACAGAUAUAGCAAGAUGCACUUUGGCCAAGUCCCACCUCAGGCACUAUAUCAUUAGUCCACAUUGUAGUUAUUAGCAAGUCACUACUACUAGCAAGCGCCACAGCCUUGCGGCGGUACUCAGUUUGCAGACUAGAGUAGGUGAAAACAAUGUCAUCAUGGUUGGUUAAGAGAGUUCAAGAACUUGAUGGGACUUCCUUGGGAGAAAAAUGAUUGCACCAAAAGAUCUGUCUUAAUCAGUAAGACAGUAGUUCUAGUUUAUUCUUGGCUAAAAAAAUUUCAGAGGUUCAUGAUAAACCUCUUCCUGCUGAUUUAGUAUAAGACCAAUACAAAACAAUUACAGCGGAAAGGUAGACAGUUAGAAAUUGCAAGCAAUAAUGAUCAUCAAUUUCCUCUAAAGGAGUAGAAAACUGAUGAUAGGUUCCUAUCGAUUUUUGCAAUGGCAACAUGAUCAAAUUUCAGGUGGACAAGAGGAUCUGUGACAGCUCUAAGUCUCACUUUGCUCAUCUGCAAGCAUAACUGUCAAGGUUGCCUUGACAGCAGACUAUUUCAUUGAAGCAACUCAUGGUGUCAAAUGUAAUUAGAAAAAUCUCCUUCAUAUUGAGGUGGAUGCAAAUCUCAUCUCUUCUAAUUCAUUCAUUAGGGGGGAUCUAAAUAUACUAGGCCCUAAUUUGACCCAGAAACCAUUCCAUUAUCAUGACCACCAAUCCUUAACCCAACUAUUCAGGGUCAGGUUUUAGGAUCCUCAUUUGCCAAGAACUCCUAUAUAGGGUCACCUCCAAUAUUAAUUCAAGAGCCAAGAAGUUAUUCCAUCAAAAUGUAUAAUUAUUAUUAAUAAUUGAUCAAGUAUAUCAACUCGUGCAGUUGUCUUCCUGAAAUGUGUUAAGUUGGAGAGCUAGGUGCAAGGACAGCUACAAAUGUCAAGAGCAGUUGAAUAAAUACAAGUGAUUUUUCAACAAAAAUAGGCUUACAACAAGGAUCAGCAGUUGCAUGAAUUACUUUAGACCAAGGACGGCGGAACCGGUACCGGGCACCAUACCAGUUGCCCGGCGGAACAAGUCAAUACGGGCCAGCACCGUGCCAUGCUAGGCUCACACCAACACAUCUUCUACGACGGGGGAGAGGAAGAACGAGAGAAGAAAAGAGAGAGAGAGAGAGAGAGNNNNNNNNNNNNNNNNNNNNGAGAGAGAGAGAGAGAGAGGCGGGAGGGGGAGAGAGGGAGAGGAGAAAAGAGAGGCUAGCCGGCAGAAGCUGGGGAGCCUCCGCGCAGAGGAGGCAGAGGCCGGGGAGACGCGGAGGCGGGUCUCCGCCUCCGGGCCUCUGUUUUAAAUGUUUUGUUCGAAACAGAGGCCCGAAAGUGGCCCCUUUUAUUUUUUGCUUUUUUUUAAGUUGAAGUCAGCAAUGGGUUUUCUGACUUCACUUAAUUUUUUUAUUUUAAAAAAAAGUAAAAAAUAAAAGAGGCCCCCUCCAAGCCCAUGUUUCAAACAUUUCAUUCAAAACAAGGGCCUAGAGGCAAAACAUUUUAUUUGAAACAGGCGCUCGGAGGCAGAGCCCCACCUCUGCGUCUCCCCAGACUCCGCCUCCUUUGCGCGGAGGCUCUCUGACCUCCACUGGCCGGCCUCUCUUUCUUCCUAUCCCUCUCCCUCCCUUCCCCGCUCUCUCUUUUCCUCUUCUCCUUCUUUCCCUCCGGCGAGGCAUCUUGGUUUCAAUGGCGGAACUAUCCCGGCCCGCCGCCGAUACAGCUUGGGUUGCCCCAAACUGGACGGUUCAAGAUGGUUCCACAGACCUUGCUUUAGACUAAUAACAGUUUAACUUAUUGCUUAUACUUAGGUACAGAACAUAUUUUAGAUUUUAUUUGCAAAUGAUAUAGUGUUUGAUUGGUGAAGAAAAAUAAAAAAGCUAUGAAUCGAAAUGAUGGAGAAAACCCACAAUGUUUAAAAAUUUGGACAUAAAUAUAGUAUAUGAAAACACAUCAGAAUGAAAAUAAAUACAAAAGUGAGGCUCCAGUUAAAAUUAUUGGCAAACGAUUACCAAGGUGUGAUCAAUUUUCUUGUCCAGGAUAUAUCACCCCAUGGACUGAAGAGACAAAUAAAGACAUACCCUAUUGAAUAGGAACCAUAUCAAUGAAGCUGUGAGAUGCCACUAAAGUGUCAUGUAACCAACACAAUCAACCAUGGCUUGGAAGAAAAUUUUUUUAAAUUAACAGUAAGGUCUCCAAUGCGUAUGGCUCAUAAUGUUGCACUAAAAAAAGAGCCCAAAAAAGAGUAUACUAAAAUGGGUACAUUAACUUUUGAAGGAUAGGCUAUAAAGCAAGGAAUGAGUAUACACCAAGGACAGGUGUUGGAAUUUGUGACAGAGGUUCUACAAAGAAAAGAGAAAGACAAAACAUAGUUACCAGGAAAUUUAUGUCUCAAUCAAACUUAGGUUUCAUGAGAAUGAAUCUGGGAAAUGCAUUCAAUUUGGUUUCUCAAAGAUCAAGAAAAAUGGAUGGAACUGAUUCGUAAUAGGGGCGUAAGGGACCAUGUGUCACCUCGUCAUUGCUCCCACUUGCUGUUGUCUCCUCCUCUGCCCCAUGGACAUGCCCUAUCAACGGAUUAAAUGGAGAAGGGAAUGGGGGGAAAAAGAGAUUGAGCAAUCCACCUAUAUGGCUUGAUAAAAGAACCCACCAAACUUUUUAAGAUUGUUAAAAGAAAUAGAAUGAGUGACUAACCCAAAAGGGUGGGGGAGAGGGAGGGAGGGAGCUGGGACGAGGGGAGGGGGAGCCUUAUCAGCUUCCAUAAACUAUAUUCUAGUUUCUUCACAAAAUUGCCCUUUCUUGAGAAACUGACAAGAAACCACUAUCAGGAAACCACAAUGGACUAGCUCCCAAAUAGUUCCACUGUUGGUUUCAAUAUCUUGCUACGAAUUUUUGAUAAUUUUUUAAUUAUUAUACAAUACCAUUUCUCACUUCCCACUUCGGUGACUUCUUCUUACCAUUGUUGCCCAUUUCACCCUUCCAUUUCUUUCCUGUAUAUAGCCUUAAUAAGAAUGACUAGCAAAUGAUAAUUUAUAGCACUGGUUCCGUAUGGUUUUGACAGGGCCCGAUCGUUAUCAUUAAAUGUGUACAAGCCGUUAUAACAGAAAAUCUUAGUUGGCUUAUUCAUCUUCUUAGUUGGUAUAUUUUCACUUGCAUAUCACAAAAGGCAUUUUGCUUAUGAAUAGUCAUGAUUUUACAUUAAAAUUUGUUUUGUUUAUUGAUGUUAUUUAAAAAUUAUAAUUGUAUAAUUUUAGAAUUAUGAGUUGACAGUCAAUUUUUUAUUUAGUAUAUGACAGGUGAGCUGAACUUUCAUAUGUUUAUUAACAUCAACAGACAUUCUAGAUGAGUUAAGAUGUCAGAUUGUUAGAUACAUACAAUAUAGAUAAAUAAAUAUUCCCUUUGGCAAACUGCCUAUUUUAAGUGUAUUUGAUAAAAAAUGAGUGUAAUAAUUUAUGUUGGUGCACGUCUGUACUUUCUGCUGUGCAUCAUGGCAUGAUACAAUCAUUGAGAAAUAGUCAAAACUGCUAAUAUUUGCAGAAGUUAAAUGUUGAAAACUUAAUCGACCAACUUAGCUCUGCAGUGUUAUCUACAUUAGCAAUGUUAUUUAUAGCAAUGGCCGUAUAGUUUCCCAAUAAUAGAAUUUAUAUUAGCACUUACACUCCAUCUUAUUUAAGUUCUCAGUGGAUCACUGAAUUGUCAAAGAUCAGUUCCUAAAAUUAUGCAAGCUUAGAAAAAAGGCCAUUACCCAGUUACAGUCCCGGCAAUCCAAGGUACUGGGAGACUAGGGACAGACCUAACCUUUGCCAUUUUUUUGCCCAAUGUGGCUGCUCUAGAAUUUAAACCCAUGCCAUUGCAUUUGUCAGCCCAAGCCAUUUACCAUUGCAACAAGCAAAUGCAAGCUACACAAACGGAAGAAUACAAUAGAAGACUACCUGUGCAGUCAAGGAUUUUAUAACCUCUUUUGCUGCUUUAGACUUUGCAGAUUCCUCUGCAGCUAAUUUCAUGGCUUCUUGAGCUUUCUUUGCCGAUGUCUGCAACUCAAAUUCUUGAACUUCACACCGUUGCAUUAGACUAUGAACCUAAUCCACAUGCAGGAGAAAAGAUAAGGAGUCUGCAGGUCAAGGACGACAAGUUUAACUAACAAGCAGUCAAAAACCAGCAACACUACCUGGGCACGUAAUUUCUGAACUUCUUGAUUCAGGUGCUCAUUUGUUUUCUUCAGAUUGUCAGCCUCUCUUUUGGAGAAUGAAAGACCUGACAUCGUGGGAAUAGGUGUUGCAGAGCGUGGAGGACUAGGUUUUCUUGAGAAAGGUGAAACAGAUCUGGAAUGAUUUUCGGACUGGACUGAUGUGUGGACUGGUCUGGGAACUGCUUGUUGCUCAUCAACUUCAGCAGUAAAAGCAAUACCUUUCAGCUGCAAAUUUGAAGGAACUCGAGAGUUGCGAAUCAAAGACAAGGAGUCAGAUUUCUUCCCUUGUUUGGCAGCCUUUGUGUCCAAAUUCUUGAUCAAAUCCACAUUGCUAGAUAAAGCAGAUUUGGACAAUUUUGUAUCCACCUUAUCAAGCCUAUCUUUGCUUUCACCUGAGGGGCGGGGUAUAACAUUUUUCUUAUUAUUAAUUCCCCCAGACUCCAAAACUUUAUUCAGUUUCACAUAACAGGAAUCACAUACACGAUAAGGUUUCCCAGGAUUUGGAGCUAAUGCCGCUCUCAAAGCCUUUCUAGAGCUGCAUGAAUGACAGUGUACAAGUCCACAGUUGUAACAAUUGUGCCUCUUUCGAGUAAAUCCAAAAGCCUGUCUACAUGCUGAACACUGAGACUGCUCUGCACCUGACACCCAUUUAUGGUGACAUAUGGCAGCUGUGAAGCUUGAUCCACAAGCAAUAUGCUUGACUGCUCUGUCCUUUAAAGCUUCAACAAGUGUAGGUGUUUUACGAUCCUCAAGGUCACCAUGUCCCAAUCUUCCAUUAGCUCCCUUACCCCAUGUGUAAACUUCACCUGUGGCUGUCAAGACCGCAACAUGAUACGAACCACAAGCAACCUCUCCAACAGAUUCACCAACUAGCUUGUCUUCAACUAAGCAUGGAAACUUUCCAUCAGACUGGGGAUUGCCGAGCUGACCAUAAACAGUACUUCCCAUGGUGAAAACAUGUCCAGAGGUGGUCAAGCCAAUUGUAAGACUAUGACCACAGGCUAACUUAUGAAAAUUGUAAUCAAUUAGAGAGGCUACGCAAGUGGGCUCAAGUCGUGGCUCCUUAUCACCAUGGCCUAGGCGAUACUUGUCUCCAUCACCCCAAGUGAAUAAUUUUCCAGACGAUGUGCUGGACUGUGUCACAAUAACGUCUACCACUGCAGCAGUAUGCCAUACACCACAUGAAACAGCAAUUGUUCUCAACCCCAUCAAAGAUUCUACUUCCUUUGGAUAUAAAACAGUUUCUCGGUUUCCAUGCCCCAAGACACCAAAGGUACCAUCACCAAAUGUAAAUAACUGUCCAGCUGUUGUAAUCAAGGCCGUAUGCCACGUGCCGCAAGAAACAAAAGAGACCUGAAGCCCCUCCAAAGGUCCUGAAAUUCUUUUAGGUAUCCAGUGACAGGCAUCAGUGCCAUGACCAAGAAGUCCUGCAUUAUGGGUGCCAUCUCCCCAAGUAAAAAGUUCGCCGGCCAUAGUAAGUGCACAAGUAUGGAACUCCCCACAGGCAACAAAGUCUAUAUUACAGGCUGAUAAAGAUUCGACAAGCCGAGGGUGAACAAUGUCGGUCCGAACUCCAUGGCCAAGGCGUCCACCAGAUUCUUCACCCCAUGUAAAUACUUCUCCCUGCCUUGUAACAAGGGCGGCAUGCCUGACACCACAGGCCACAUGGUGAAUGUCCAGCAUUACAUUGGACUCUAAAGGCUUCGGCAGGAGGAUGUCAGUUCUUGCACUGGAAGGGAUAAUACCUCUAUCAGUGCCAACCCUGCCAGAACUGUCACAUAUGACUUCGCCCCACACAUAUACAUCCCCAAAAGCAUCACCGUCAUCCUGUGCAGAGCCAUGACUAGAUGUGCUAGGGGCACUAGAUACACUGACUCUAAUAUCCGAAGAAGCUCCUUUUACUUGCAUACUUGUCGGAUGUGAUCUUUCUGAAUAUACCAAAUUUUCAAAGGAAUGGUCUUUGGGUAAACUAAUGGUAUUUAUCUUGCUCUGAGGACUAUCUAGUAUGGUAUCGGUACACUUGUAAUCUAAAUAGUUAGAUAUCAAGUCUCUACCAUCCUGUAACAAUAUUCCAAGCAACCAUACAUCAAAAACAUGACAUGCUAUUAAGCGGAUAACAAGAUUCAUGUUACAUAAACAUGAUAUGAAGAAAACUACAGUAAACAGAACUAAGAAACACAGUUUGAGCAUAGAACAGCCUAACAANNNNNNNNNNAGAUCUAUCAGGAAUAAAAACACAGAAAAGUUUUUGAUUUUACUGCACAAUAAAACAAGAUUCCAAUGUACAACAAUUAAUGAUUCUCAUGUCCUAAACAAGCAAUGAUUACGUUUGAUGUCCAUAGCAACGGUAACACUUAUAUUAUCAGCUAAAUUCACAAUACAUGGAUAAGCUAACUAAAAAGUCAAAAGAUAUAAUCUUAAUGAACUCCUGAACCCUUGGGUAUGGAUUUUAAAUGGCACUUUAAUAAACUAUAGAAACAUAGCAAACUCUAGCUUAAAUAAGCCAAGCUGCUUAAAGAAACAAGACGUUGUUAAUUCAGAACACUCAUGCAAGCAUAUUAGUGAGCAAAUGCCAAGCAUUUUGCAGUAAUCUCCCAAAUUACAUUGUUUUGAUACAUAUAUUGUUUUCUGUCAUAAGAGAUAGGUAAAUCCCCCUGACUAUUAAUAUACUUCAUGGAUUUAUCUUACUUCGUUGCAAGUCAUAGUUCCUGGUGUAGUACAUCAAUUAUACAGAGCAGGGAAACUUAAUGGUCCAAUUUCCAACAUGCAUAUUCAAUUGUGGUUUACAAGAACCACCCAUUUGAGUUGGUUUAAGUUUUCACUUUGCAAAUUUUGAUACAAAAUGUGUUGAGAAUGCCAGUGAAUGUAAUAAUAGUAUUCUUGUCUGGUUAGAAAUGUAAUAAUCAAGGUUUAAAUUCUCGGUAUCAGUAUCUUAUGCAUGGAAAAAACCAAUGUUUAAACUUGUUGGUGCCAGCACAGCAGAAGGGGGAUGUCAUACCAUCUGUUGGUACUUUGUACGGUACAUAACUAAGGGGCAUACUGGUGCCAAUACCUUACCAAUAUGAUACAGUAUGAUCAGCACAAGACUAGUGAUAUGGUACUUCCAAGUUCGACUCAUGGUAAUAACAGUACUCAUAUCAAUACUAUAAAGUAAUGUUAGCAAGCUAGGCUACCAAUUGUAAUAACUCUGAAGUGAAAAAUUCCAAACUUUCUAAAACUGGAAAUUUAAAGUGAUUUAACAAGCAGACUAAUAAAUGCAAGGCUCUCUGAAAAAACUAUCUAGAACUAAAGCUAACCUGAAAUAGCUGCAGACACCUAAGUGGUCAAGGUUAUGUCUGUUUUGAAACAAGUGUAUAAUUCAUAUCAUUUUUAAAUUAAAGUACAAACAUGAUGCAGAAGCUAACAAGCGUAACUUGUAUCGAUUAUAAAUAAUAGACUAAGAAAAUAAAUUUAGUAGCUAGGUCUGCUUUACAGAUCAAGUUAAUAUAGUUCAAGAACACUUUAAGACCAACUCUUGAUCUAAAAAUUUUUCUUUGAUAUCGUACUAAAAAUACUUGAGCAAGAGAGGCGAUAUCACAAAACCCAAGACACUUGAACAAGUAGGUAUGCCUAACUUGCUAGUUAGAAAACUCAAGUACAUAUAACAUGAAACAACAUAUUUAAGCUUUGAACAUCUUAAUCAACCAACAUAGAACUGCUUUUGUCAAUGUAGUUGGAGAUAAUAACACAACCUAGGGCACGGAAAUUUGAAAUGACAAGUAGAUACAGAGCCAAUAGAACUGCAUUGGCUUAAUGUCAUAAUAAAUCAUGACAUGAUAGUGCAACCAUUAAAAAAUAAUAAUGCAGCAUAAGGCAAAUCAUUUACAUCAAAAGAAAAUCCUCCAUCACUCCGUCCAUCUAUCUUUGAACGCCCAUAUUGGCCCGAGGAAAUCAAUGCCUUGAGGCCUGCAAACCACAGCUCUGCCUCAACUUUAUCUUUGCAUAUCUUUUUGACAAUGAUGAAAUCAAGUUAGUCAGAAAGACAAAAAUCAUUAAAAAACAAGAAUAACAGAAACCUCAAGAAAAAGUAUUGGUACUAACCAGAUCAAGAGACCGUUUUUCAUUGUUGUAUAUAAGUGAGAAGGACUGGUAGUCUUUGUCAGGACACGGGUAUCGUUGAAAAACAGACUAAAAAGUAAAUCAACGGUAAAUAACAAUUCACUCCACAAGUCAUUGCAAAGCAGCAUAAUAUAAACAUUAUAUAGAAAUUUAAUAAGUGAGUGAUUAUGGAGAUGAUCUCACAGUUCUUUGUCCUGAGAUAAUUCUUGAAACAGAAGCCAACUUCAAACUUUUUUCUCCACUACUUGAAAUCCAAAUCAAAGAAGUUUCAUCCUGUGAUGCAUGGAACAGGACUCCAGAUGUCAGCACAUAGCAAUGCUCUCUAAUAGCACAGAUAUGAUUUGCAGAUAGAUGCCCCAACAGUUUACUUGCCAUGGAGUCAUGCUAUCCCAAUGCAUAUGUUUUAGAAUCCAUUCAUGGUUCUGAUCAGAAAGUCUCGAUACAGAUUUAUUUGCAUGACCAAGAAUAGAGUUUUGAAUUUUGAACGUCUAUCAUCCCUUAUAACUGGUCGCUAUCUGCAUUGAAGUGGAUACUCAGUAUCUGACCAAUUCUUUUUCUGUUUUUGAUAGAGAGUAUCUGACCAAUACUUCAUUACACACAUCUUGUUGUGCUGAGCCAAUUUUUGCUGACAAGCUACAACAACAGCACAAACUUCCACUUUACAAGCCAGAUCUAAGAGCAGCUAAGCAUAUGGCAGGGAUAUCAAGCAUAGAGCAGGGAUAUCUUUAAUGUGUUUUCACCAAAUAGCAUCUAAUGCAAUUUACACCAUCGUAGAAAGCUAGAAAACAUAUUGUUUGUCUUUAUGUUUUAAGCCAAAGUCAAGGAAUUAAACAUUAACCCAAACAGAGAAACAUGGAUCUACCAAAGUCAACAAAAAGGCAAGGUCUAGGCAGCCCACCUACAUUAUGCAAACUUCCAGACCAUGAUUGAAUCAAUAAUGUUAGAGGCUUGAACUUCUAUAGAAAUAUAAAAAAUUAAAAACCAAAUUGAUAUGCUAAUGUGAAAGAAAAAAAACUGGGAAAUCUGCUUGAGCUUUAAAUGAUAUGCAGACAAAUGGUCCAAAUGCCCAUUAACCAGAUAAAGUGCACAUGAAUAUGACAGAAUGUAAUAUAAUUAUUUUUCAGCUAAUUUGCUCGUAUAAGAAGUUUGGUAGCAAACUCACAUUGGAUAGUCUGAAUGGGUAAAACUUUGGCUUCCCUUUACGACCAUAUUUAAGCAACAGAGUACCCUUCUUUAGAGCAACACGUACCUAUAAAAAUAGAAAGCCAACAGUAACAAAAGUAACAAUUUUCCAAUGGCCCUAGUCAGAAAGCAUCAGAAUAAGGUAGAGAAUGAAAAGCCAUGAACCUUACUUAUAAGCAUGCAUUUUUACUUAUUGACAAGCUAAGUGUUCCUAAACAUGAACAUAGUUUUAAACAUCUUGAUAAGCAAGUGAAUUGUUACGCAAGAGUAUUUUUUUUUAGUUCUGGGUCUUUGACUAUUGAAAAUUAAAACCAAAAGCUCCAUUCCUAUCAGCAAAAGCAUCUGCAGUUAACUUGAACAGUUUCCAUACGUCAAAGGAAGAAGGAAAUUUAGAAAAAGAAAGAGAAAAAGCAAAAGUUAAGUAGAAUAUGAUAAACAAAAAAAAUGGAAAUAUCAUAAAAUUAUAGUAGCAAAGCAUUCGUGAUGAACAUAAAUACUCCUAUCAGGUCCACGUUCUACCAUGAAUAUGUAAAUCAACUUGUAACAAAUAAUAGGAGACUACUUCAAGCGAUGAUGGUACCAUACUUUUACAUUCAUAGCUCUUAACUGCUAAAUAUGUUUUGUGCUCUUCUAAUUCUUCCCAUGAUGAUACUGCUUUCUUUUGGUGUGUUUUGUGUAGCUCUACUUACACAAGUACAAGUCUUACUUAUGUAGACAAAUGCUGUGAAAGGGGAAAAGGCAUAAAGUGAGGAUUCUAUGACCAACUAUUCACCAUCCAUAUCUUGGUGUUAGAUUGUUAGACAGUGCUAGUCAAAGGAAAACAAGGUUUUAUCAGUAUGAAGCACCCACCGAGAUGAUAUAAUUGAUAUUUUGGCCACUGUGAUCUCACCAUUGUAUAAAAUAUGUUUACAUAUAUCGGCCAAGUGUAUGAAUAUCAUGCACCCAACAGCGUGAUACAAAUGAUAUCUUGGCCCUUAAAAUCUCAAGUAGUGAAUACCGAUAUAUUUUGAUUUAUCAGCUGAUGUGAUAUAUUAAUAUGUUGGCUGAUAUUUCCUAAGCAAUAUACUACAAAUUUAAAUUAAUUUUUUUGAUCAUUAAAUAUUCAAAUUAGUCCUCUGAUACAACAAGUAAUUUCGGAUUUGCCAUAAUGGCUGAUAUUCCGAUAUCUCGGUUCCUAUAAUAUUGGCUGAGAUAUUGGGAAAUCUUGGGAUGUGCCAGAAUCCAGAUCUUUCCAAUUCUCCCGAGCUAUACUUCUCGGCCAACAUAAACCAAGAUUUUGGUUAUCUUGGUAUCAGCCACCCACCUAGAUGGCCAACCUUACCGUUUUCAGAAACCUUGGAGGAAAGGGAGGACCUAUCUAGCUAGAUCACUUGCCACAGCCACUUAACUUUUAGGGAGCCUUUUGUGCUGGUUUUGAGAUCUCAUGAAGAAGGGGUCAGCACUCAGUGGUGUCAAUCCUCGAGUAAUGUGAUAUCAUGCUCCCAUUAGCCUCAUUUUCCAUAUUUAUCAGGCUCAUGCCUUCAGUUCUCGGAAAUGGUGGCAGUCAUAGAACUAGUCUACCGCAUAAUCUACCAUCUCUGUUCAAGUCUUUUGCAUUUGGCCCCACAAAAGCAAGUAAUCAAAGAGAAAUACAGAGAAAAUUGAAACUUUAAUUGAAAUCUCAAACUGAUCACCAGCAUUUCCAUGGAUUUCUCCAUAUUUAAUCCUUUCCACAAUUUUAUCUCAAGAAGCAACAUUCGCGACCGCUCCACACCACAAUGGGAUUAAUAGAUAGUAGCAGUCCGAUAUCGCACAAAUCACAGCACAAGAGUUAGUCCUAAAACAACCAAUACGAGCUCCAUUACCUGCAGUUUAACUAGCCUCAACAGUCAAAACCCAAGAAUCCUCCCUUUCUUCUACAAAUUCAUCGAAUAAAACACCCGGCGUGUUUCCAAAGCAGUAAUCUAACCAAAAACAGCAAGAAAAAGAGGAUCCAUGGGAGAAAGGAUGUGCUUCGCUCACCUUGUCGAUGUCCCGAUCGACACCCCCGUAGUCAGAAGGAUCUGCCAUUCCAUGUGAGAGCCCCUCGCAAGCGCCGCCCGCAUCGAACUCGCCCCGGCGCUCCGGUCGUCAUCGAUGGCCGCCGAUCCUUCGCCGGACUCUCAUCAAUCUCCGGCAACGGAGAAACUCCACCACAAACCCUAGAAAUCGGGAGGACAGCACGAGAGCGAGAGAGAGGAAGAAGGAGAGGGAAGAGAGGGGAGGGGCGGCAGUAAUCCGACCACGGAGCGGGGACUUCGGAAGGCGGCGGCGGGACGCGAGGAAAUCGGAAUACGGGGUCCCCGGGGGUCGGGAAACCGCGAGGCAGCCGACGGGAGGGUAGGGAAGUGGGUGAACGGAGGAGGAGCGGUCGCGGCGGAGGACCGGAUCUAAGUUCCCUGGCCGAGUCCGUAACGAUACGGGUCAGAGAAGAAAGCAUAAAUACCCCUUUGACGGGGAGUAGAAUAAUCGCAACGAGUCGUUAGGGUCACCGCAGUGGCGGCAGCAGACGUUACUUGGACGGGUGGGACGGUGUACGUGGAAAUUUCUCGGUGUUCCGCCGGUGUAACAUUACGUGGUUGAGGGUUCUUUUUUGUUUUUUUUGCUCGGAGUGGUUUAGGGUUCUUUGCCGGUUGCCAUAUUAAGUAGAUAUUUUAGUUGUGAUAAAUUUUUUUUGGUUCAGAUCAUUAGGCCAGUUUUUCUAGAGAAAUGUUGCAUCCCUCGUUAUUUUGGCCACUUCAUUCCCCAUUUGGUAUGAUAGUAACAUGGCCCAGAUGUGGCAUCAUGGCAUUGGCAUUAGGGGGCGGCAAUUUAUAAUUUGACUCAUGAACGAUCCGUUUUAAGUAGGUUUGGAUUUGACAUAAACGGAUUUUGGUCCUAAAUGGGUCAACCCAUCUAAACCUAUUUAUUAAAUAGGUUGGGUUCAGGUUUAAAUCUUUGACCCAUUUAACAUAUUUGGACCAGUUGAAUAAUUGGAUCGAAUUAUGACUUGACCUAUUUAACUUAUUUGAAACUUAUUUAACCCAUUUCUAAUAUAUUUAACCCAGCCCACUUAAUCUAUUUAAUCUUUUUAAAUUCAUUUAAUCUAUUAAAAAUCCGUUUAACAUAUUUAAUCCAUUUAAUCUGACUUGACUUGUUUGAUAAAUGGGUUAUGUAGAUAGGGUCGAAUUACCUAUUUAAUAAAUAAGUCGGAUUUAGAUUUGAAAUUUUGACCUAUUUAAUAAAUAGGUCGGAUUUGGGUUGAUAAAUUUUUGACCCGAUCCGUAUCCACCCCGAUCUAUAUCUGAUCCAACUCGACCCGAUUGCCAACCCUAUUUGGCAUUUAUUUUAGUACGAGCAGUGAUGAACACAAUGGCAUGUUAUAGCAUUAGCUUAGUUGGUCUUAUUGGGGCUAGCAAAUGCCAAACUAGAUUAUAUUUUGUUCCGCUAUCUUAAACGAUGAAAUAGCAAAAUCUAAUUUGGCCCAAAUUGCAGCCUAACUUGUCAAGCUUUUGCUGGCAAUAGAAAUGUUGCAAUCAAAUGAGAUUGAUGCCUUGGGGGCAAUGAAUAUACUUUGUGUUAUUUAUUUUUUGCUUUUCAUAAACUGGACACACUAUAAAGUUGUAACAUGGAUACAGCCCAAAGCAUUAGCAAAAGCUAAAUCAUUUGUGGCAUAUUUGGUUGGGUGGAUUUGGGCUCUAAAUGGAAAUAGGAAUGAGUGGCCCCACCCCAGCUAUUUAAUUGAAGAGAGUCUUAUUAACAUUCCAUUCCAGGAGGGAUGGGAAUGCCCCAAUCCUCCAAAACCUAAUUCCGACUCUCCACCUAGAAUUCAAAUCCUAUUCUCCAGGUUUACUUUAAACAACUGAUUUUCCAAAAAUUUACAUAAAAAUAUUUCUAUUCUGAUUCCAAUUCUAAAUACCAUUUCAAUCUGUUUCGAUUCCAAUUCUGGUCACGGAUCAAACACACCCUUAGUUUCUUCAAUUCUCACGGUAAUUUCUUCACAAAGUUAACAAUCUCAUUUAUGGCAUUUACAUUGAAUCAAGCAUAGCUACAUACAAGGGUAGUGUGUUGCCACAUGGUCUCUCUAGGUUACAACCUAAUAUAUAUAAAGUAAUAGAUUGGUGAGGAGAUAGGUGGCCAAUGAAGAUAGGAUGCAUGGCUCUCAAAAGCUCGCAUCAACUUCAGUAAAGGUGCACUAAAGCAGUGGCACAUGGGUGCUGUUUUCUAAUAUGAGGGUUUUAAAAGACAACCGAAAUUCUUUGUCUCGUUGUUCUACAAACUUGGAUAUUUUAAGGUUGUUGAGAAAUAAUAGUUCUACAUCAAAUAGAUUAAGAACUUUUGUGGAAAUUAUAUACUCUUGGAUCCAUCCAUCUAAAUACCAAGAUUUUCAAAUAGGAUCUUAACAUGGUAUCAAAGCUCACCGGUCCUUCUUACCUACCAAAACAUUCACGCUCCUACAUAUUAAUUCACAUAUCAUCUCUUCUUAGGUUAAGAACUCCUAUGGUGCUUAUUUCACUACCUCCUGGAUGUGCUCCAGAAAGGUGCUGGACAUCUCUCAAUUCAACUUAAACAAUAAUAACCUAACUACAUGGACUCUUGAUCCACAUUAUGUUAGAAGUUUUAAUCUUUGUAGUCCUCUCAGCACGCCAGCAAUUAAGAGGCGUAUGCCCUCACUGGACUAAGUAAAUAGCCAUUUUACUUCUUCAUCAUGAAGGAGUAAUAAAGUAUUAUUUUUAAUUAUCACUUUGUCGUUAUCUCAUUAAUAGUUGAAAUUAACCUCCCUAAUUCUAUGAGAAAGCAAAAUUCUCAACCAUAAGGCAAUACAAAGAUAUCCAUAGUUGUGUACCUGUUGUCGGUCCACGCUUGCUAUCUAUGCCAUUGCCGGGUUUCCAUGUGUCGCAUGAGCGGGUUGUGAUCAUGUUAAAUAGCUGUAUGCAUGUUGGCCGAUCAGAGGGUCAGCACCUUCCUGAUCAAUAAGUAUAACCUUGAAAAGAUCAGUCUAUAGAGAUAACCAAAUGGCCACAAGCAUUGUGUUCACAGAGCCAUUAGUCUGUAACUUCUCAAAUAAGGAUGAUUUGUCCGACUACAUUGCAUGACUUCCAUUUUACUGGUCUAAUGGAUUUAUCAGGUGCUGAAUGCUAAACAUAAGAAUUGCAUAAAGAAAUCUACCUAGUCUAGCUUAAGUAAGGCCUAAGAUUGGGCCUUUUAAUUCAUAUUCUCAAGUGUGACUACAUGAUUUGAGAAUCGCAGUUUGGCUAAUAAAAGAGGCGCAAAGAACUCAUGCUCAAUAUUGGCUAAUGAAACAAUAGAAAUUUGAGUCAUCAAGGCAGCACCACCUUUCAGAUAAUAAGGGUGUUGUUUCAUAUUGCAACCAGUAAAUUGUUUGUGCAGUAUAUGAACGAUAACGAUGAUCGUUGAUGUCAAGGCCAAAUUAGGCCAUAUUAUCGUGUAAAAUAUUUCUUUCAACUGAUGCUCCUCGUCAAUCUCCAUUGAUCAAAUAGAAGUGUAAAGCCUUUUACUUCUUGAACAUCCCUCACCCGAUUCAUAAACCAUUACAGGAAUAUUUUUUUUGCAGACGAUCUUGACAACAAACUCUUUUUUUUUUUAUAAAAUCAGAUUUUAUUCAUACUAAUCUAAAAAAAAAUACAUCUAUAUGAAUCAAAAAAUAAAAUGCAUGAAAAAUCAAAAUAAAUGUCUGACACAAUAAUCCGCAACAUCGUUUCAGUGUAAUUAGCAACCUAUAUCUCCAUCCAAUCAGCAGUGCUAUUAACUUCUUGAAAAAUAUGCAUCACCUCAUAAGUAAAUAGUGUAGAAGCCAUUCUCUAAUAGUUAUGUAAUAAUGGUUGUGAAGUCUCAGAACUUGAUAGAUUUGAUAACCACCUAAUUGCCAUCAAAAAAUUCUAUUCAAGAAUAAUAUGGGAUGCCUCAAGGUAUUUCAUCGCAUCCAGUAAACUUUCGCAAGUAGUACACAAUUUUGUUAUUAGUGCUAUUACAACAAAAAGUUUAAUUCCAUCUGCCACCAAUAAUUCACCACUUGAACUUCUAAUAACAAAGGUGGAUCCUCUCAAAAAAAAAAUAGUCGGUCGAGAGAAUAUAAACUUCGCAGCAUAGGAACCAUUAUUUUUCCUUGCUAUCAAAGAUUUUUUUAAAGCAGCUGCGCAAAUAAAUUUUUGGGCCGGAGAAGCAUCUCUCAUCAAAAUCAAUUUAGGACACAAUGAGAGUGAUGGCUCUCAAAAAAGUUGAAGUCGGUCUGAGAGAAUAUAAACUUGGCAGCAUAAAACUAUUGUUUUUCCUUGCCAUCAAAGGUUUCUUUAAAGCAGCUGCGUAAAUAAAAUUUUGGGCUAGAGAAGCAGCUCUGAUCAAAAUCAGCCUAGGACACAGUGAACUCUUGUAAGGAACGGUGGAAGAAGACAUCACAAUGUUGCCUAUUUUCAUCAUAUUACUUUGAGGUGCAGGUUUUUCCAACGUGUUCCGCUAUCACUAGCCUUGUUAUCCAAAACUAAAGUUUUACCUGGUGCACGUGGAGAACCCACACCUUUAGCUUUGAUGGGCCCCAAAAGUAAUAUUCUAAUACCAAAGAACCAUACGUGAUGAUUGAUUCCGGUUGGCGGGGGUGGGUUUGCGGCGAGGAGAUGCAACGAGGAAAAAGCAUAGUUUCAAAUAACAUUUCAUCACCAUUGUCACAUCAUAACGGCAAACCUUCCCUGAAGCCAUCAUUACUACCAUUAUGUAUCUAAAAAUUGUCUCUUUCUACUUUUUAUAUCAAACUAAUUGUUGAAAUAAUGGCGAGCUACAGGAGAACAAUGGAUGGAAAAAUAACAAUCAUUUUAGGAGAGAAAUUUUUUAAAAGUUUUUUGUUAUCAUAAUAGAUCAUUAUCUUAACAAAUAAUAGCAUGUAAUAAAAGAUAAUAACUAUAAUAACUAUAAAGCUGUUAUUUAAUAUAUAUAUAUAUAUAUUUACGAAGUAUUCUAUGAUAAUUGAUAGUUAUUAUUAUCAGAUGGAUGGCCAUCAAAUAAAAUAAUCUUAUGCUAUAUAGAUAAUCUUUUUAGAUGUUUAUCUUUGGAUGACGAUACCAUACACCAUUAUCCUAUAUCUUAUUAAUGGAUGGUAUGAAAAAAGUAGGAUCUAGAUGGGCAAUUGAUAACUAAAUUUUAUUUUUUAUCAAAUAAAUGUUACUUCAUUUUCUCUUUUACCGUAAUUUAGAGAGAUGGCCGUUCAUCUGAAAAUAAGCAAAAAAAAUAUUUUUUAAAUAAUAGCUUUAUAAGCAUCCGGCAAAAUAGCAUAAAAAUAUUAUAGUUAUUAUCUUUUAUUAAACGCUAUUACAUACGCAUGAAAGUCAUGGAUUUUUUUUUCUUACGUAAAGAACGAAUCUACUGUGGAGGACAGAAGGGUGACGUAACGAGCAGAGGUUUGACUGUUGACCGCCGACAUAUCCCAUCGGUGUAUCUGUCCCGGCUUUUUGUCUUUGCUCAUCUCGUGGACAAGAGUCCGAUUCCGGACGCAGCACAACUGGCUCUGAUGUAACAUGUCGAAGUGCGGAUCCGGGGUGCACGGAGACAUGAUGUUAUGGUGAUUUGACCCACUGCGAGCCAUCCAAUCAUCAUCAGAUGGGUCCCGAUCGUGCGGCCUGGUGAUGGCGAAAAGUUUGAUUUUCCGCCGCGGCAGCAUGAUGUUUUUUGAUAAUUUCCGAGUCCUCUUGAUUCAUGACAUCCACCAAUAAUGGAGUGAAAUGUCGGAAAAGCUGAGCAAAUCCUCUGCUCACUCGGAAAAAUCACUCCGAAAAGUCACCAUAGCUGCCUCGCACCAUGCACUCUGUGCUUCAUCACAUGGCACAAUUCACAAUGCCAAUUCGAAAACAGGAGCAAGAGACCACAAGCCAGAUGAGUGAUUUUUUGAGCCACAAAUCUGGGUUACAAACGUUUUUGUGCAAUAAAUAGAAUAUGUGAAAAAAAUGCACUCAAUGUUGCAUUGUUGCACACAUGUAUUUAUUCAAGAAGAAAGCAUUAGUUGUUAAAUUUUUCUAUCAAUUUGUAAGAGUGGUGUGGAGGAAUGUCUUCAUUGAAAUAAGAGUAUAUAUGUAUGUAUGCAUGUAUCGUGCUGAUAUCAAAUGUUUCUAACAAAAGGGGGAUAAGGAAACAUGAAAUUAUGGAUAAAAUUCAAGUAGAAUUUGCACUAUAACCCGUAGCAUCGGUUGGUGUGGCACCAGAAAUGCUCAUGUUAUCAUAGACUGGUAUAUUCAUGGGUCGAUGAUAUGCAUGCGAAAAGAUAAAAAUAACUUUAAAACUCAGAAACUUGGAUGCGCGUAAGAGUAAUUGUUUGUAUACCUCAACACAUACCAAGAUUGGGUUUUGUGAGAAAAUUGGGUGUAAAAUAGACAUUUUGGGCUCCAAAUGAACUAAGAACUCCUUGUCUAUGACAUAGCAAUGAUGUAUGCAUACAUAUCAUUAGGGCCAAUCAAGAAACUGAAUUUACUUGCUCAUGAGAUAUUAUACAUUAAUAAGAAUAGCUGAGGGGUCAAAGGAAAAAGAAAGAAAUGCACAUUGAAAAUUAUGAUAUGGUUGUUGCUCCACUAAUCACAAAGUUUUUUCAAGAUGCAAGCUCCACUUUGACAAAGUGAUCGCUAAUAUGCCUAAAACUUUUGGUUUAUAGGUCCACGGCGUUCUAUGAUUCUUUCAGCAAUAUUAUCCUCUAGCAUUUUCUCUUGAGACGUUCCAUUGCAUGGGAAACGUCACAAAGAUAAGCGAGCUGGUAAACAAAACUCUAAAAUGAUCUCAAUAUAUAAAAAUAAUGCUAUGGUGACAAUUUAUAUGACAAAAAUUUCUUUCAACAAUAAAUACCACCAUUAGAAUGUGGUGCUCAUCUCUCCCCAUUUUCUAAAGAAAGCGUUGAGAAAUUUUAAUGGAAUGCUCACCUGUAUAUAAAAAUUACAAAUGUUCAAAAACAUCAUAGUUUUCAUAUUUUCCAUUUUUCUUAUAUAUCUCUAUAAAAUGGCAUGAAAUGGUUCCUCUUUUGUAAAAUCCACCCACUUUUUGAAUACCUGCUCAAUACUCCAGGAUACAUGUGAUGGAAAAUAAUUCGCAGCAUGAUUCAGAGUCUACUGGAUUCCACUUUCAUGCCUUCAAGUUUGUUGGUAGCCAUGAGUUCAAAUCAGUGCAAGAGUGUGAGUACUAGAGCUACGUGGGUAGGCUAACUGCUCUGCCCACAAGAUUUGUCAAUGAGUGGGUUUCAAUUAAGGCCCACACAAGCCCAAUUUGCAAACAGUUGGAUUUGAGCUGUGUGAAAAGUACAAGGUCUUUUUAGCAAAAAAAAGAGAGUAUAAGGUCUAUUUCACAGCUAGACAAGUAUAUUUACUAAAAAACUCACACCAAAACCUGAUUUACGAGAAGAAUAAGCAUUGAAGAGGCAUAGCGGGGGGGAGAGGGGGAGUGGGGGAAGGGGAGGGGAGAAAAAAUUGGAUUAAAGUUCUCCUUAAUUGUUCAUAAAACCACCAAUCCUCUUUUUAGUACAUGACAACCUCUCAUUUGUUUUCAAGUACGAAGAGAGCAAAUACUAGCCCAAAAACUCUUUAUUAAUAUCAUAAAUUAGAUUUGUGUCUAAUAAUCAAAUUGAUCACAAUGAAUAUCCACGCGUAAAAUUUGUUUCUUGAUGGUUUUAUAAAAAUCAAAUCUAAAAUCUCUGGUUACCAAGCAAAGGGGUAUAAACACUGGGUUUUCCAUUAGAUGUUUUAAAUGCUUUAUGGUUACAAUCCCAUUCUUAACCAUAAUUUUCAGUUUAUACUUUUUUUACUGUUCUCUUGCAUCAAUUUCCCCUGAUGGCAACUAUUGGGAAGAGUUAUUUAGCUAUCAUAACUUGGAUAAGCAUAAUUGGUAGGUAUUACACAGGAAAAAUCAUCAAUUUCAGCAAAGUGAACUUACCCCUUGUAUUUCUUCUCCAGCUUAUAUUUCCUCAAGCGAGAUUCUGGAAAAGACAGAAAUAGGAAGACAUGUAUCCAAAAUGAACAAACUAUAGGUACAAACUGUAAAUGCUAGUAACAGGCAAUGGGCUUUUACCUUAUCAAAAAGGAGAUCCCGAUUCGCUCUCAGAUACAGGACCAGACUCCCCAAAACAAAAUAUUUCAACAGAUUAUUUCACUGCUUCCAUGCAAUCUUUCUGUAAAUCUAUACAUUUUUUCUCCCUUUUUCAAUCUUUCAAGCUGGAAACAGAGACCUCUAUCAUGGUCAUCCUAGGUCUUCCCUAAACAGGGAGUGCCCAUAUAAAAAUACAAGAAAGAUACUUCGGCUUACAAAUUCCAACAUUUGUAAGCUGUAACUGUUCUGACAUUUGCAACAAGCCAUUGAAGUCUUUUUCUACAAUUCAGUUAUCAAAGCACUGGUAAAUAUUGUCUGCAUUGUCUGAAGUGAUCCGACAAAUGUAAAACUGGCAUCAACAUAUUCAUCCAUGCCUAGCCAUCAUGUUAUCAUAGUAUAGCUGUUUUAGCAUUUUACGCAUGGCUGAUUCUAAGAUCUGGCAGCUUCUCAGAGGUUCAAAAGGUUUCUAUACAAGCAUGAGUCAGAUGACGAUGAUGCCAAGUUCGCAGAUGGAUCAUACAUGUUGCAGACAUAAAUCUAGCAAGUCAAGAAUGGCAAACUGAAAAAUAUACAAUACUCUACGGUCUUAUCAAUACUUGAGGUCUUCUGUAGGUUUCAGAUAUAAUAGAAGCUUGUACAUCACAUGCCCAUCUGGUUCAAGUACUUCGGUGUCCUUCAUUGGCAUUUGCAGACCUUAUUCAGAGCAUCAAAAACAUUCUGAAGAUUUGUGUCUUGGACAAUCACGACUUUUUCCCUGGAUUUUGAACCAGAACCAAUAGAUACCUGCCUUUUCUUCACUCCUAAAACCUGCAUUUUAUACAUGGUCUGAGCUUUCAACAACUGGUCAGGCAAAUCGUAUAUUUGAUUAAUUUAAUAUUGAUAUAGUUCAAGGGAAAAACCCUCAUUGGAAUAAAAAGUAAAUUGUAGAUUAGGAUUGUGAUUUUUUUUCCUAGUUUUCAGAAGAAAUCGCCAUGGUGUUUUUAGGCUUAUGCGUGUUUAUCUUCCUAUUCAAAUAAACAUAUGAUUUCGAAUAGAAAAUAAAGAAUAGUGAAGCUCAUAGUUCCUGCAAAUACUGGAUAUCACAUCUGAAGCCACUUCGGGGAUUGCAGCAUCAUUUGUUAACAUGAUUGUAUUUUAUCUUGUUACUCCUAAUGUUCUACAGUUUUCAUGGUUCCAUUAACUAAUUCUUGUGCUUCAGAAAAGUUUCAAAGACAUGCUGUUAGGAUUGAUUAGGAUUGUCAACUGAGAGCUUGGGAUGAGAUCUUGCACAACUCAACCUGCUUAAAUGGAUUCAAGCAAGUAGCAAGAGUACAGAAAGGACGAGAAGCAGGCAGUGAUAUGCGUAGCUGGGUGGGAAUCACAAUGCUGGAUUGCAGCAUCAUUUUGUCAACUUGCACUUCAUGUCAGUCUAUCUUGAUAUUAGUUCUCUGUUUUAUCUUUUUAAAUAUGGGUUAGAGCUCAGAAAUCAGAAAGUUUUGAAGAUUCAAACACAAAAGAAUACAUUACCAAAAAGGCCCUUAGAUCAGAUUUUUUGGAUUCCCUCCAUCUUUAUAACCUUUGUUGUCUUUGCUUCCCCUCCAACUGAUUUUCAAUAAAAAACCAUUGCAAGACAACUUUCAGUUUUAUUACUGCUUCAACGCAUUUGAAAUGUUUUUAUAUUGUUAUCUGUUUUAAGAAAAUGAGAACUUAAUUGUUUCAUUUUCCUUUUUUUUUCUCUUGUAUUAGUUUUUGUUUUCAUAUUUUCCAAAUUUUAUCUCAUUAACAGUAGUAACAAGCUUGUGUCACUAUUAUUGUCAUAGUAGAAAGUAGUAACAUACUGUGUUACUCCUACUAUCCUAGCAGAUGUAGAAGUGAUAUGAUUCAAGCAGAAGUCAUGCUUUAAUUAUUACCGACACACUUUUGGAUCAUGUAUGAUGGAUAAUUUAUUGACAACAUAUGCAAGUUUUAACUAGUAAUUGAAAUAUAUGAAGCCUAAAUUAUUUUGCAGAUAUUAUAUGAAUUUGUUGCCUCCGCGGUCAUCUAAUUGCCUAGGCUAUAGAAGGGUCCAUUACCUAGGGCUGCCAAGGCUAUUUGAAAAACAUUAAGUUGACCAACCAUGCAUACCUUUUAAACAUGAGUGCAGAAAAUCAAGUGAUGAAGCUUAAUUUAGCAAUCAAUAAUAGCUAUUUUAUCUUGUCAAAGCCUUAGCUUUGAUUUAAGAGAAGUAUAUCUAGUUCUUAGCUGCUUUAUCCAUUACUCUGGCUUCAAUAGAGGCAAUAUAGCCCACUGGUUGCGGCCCUCCUCCAGAAGGUGUUUCAGUCUAGGUUCAAACUCUAGAAGGUGUUUGACUCUUAGAUAAUAAUUAGUGGCAUUCUCAUUGUGGUUCUUCCGCAACCUGAACCCCACAAACCACACCCCCCCCCCCCCUCCCCCCAGGACGUCUAUCACAAGGUUACUCUUACACAAGAGUGGCAAAAUUUGGUGAGACUCGCCAACCUAGUGUUGCAGUCCAAGGACCACAAGGAGCAGUCAUGCACAUUCUCUUGGCUGAUCGUCACUGGCUAAAGAGAAGUCAACAUAGGCAGUUAUCACCGACCUCUUUCAGGCCAUUAGUUUGUCUAUUUUUGUUUUCUUUAGUUAUAGUAUUUUCAAGUUGUUAUUGGAAUUAUUUUGCUGAGUCUUAAGAGACUUUUUUAGAAGUUUCCCAUGCAUCAAUUUGCACUGCAUACAGGUGCCCCAUAUGUGAAUUUAUUUUUAAUUAAGAUUCCUAGAUGGAAUCAAACUUUGGGGAACUAUAAUAGCUGAACAUCCCUCUUAAAAUUAAAAGGAUUCGGCUCCCUUUUUUUCGAUCUUAACGGGGCCUGUUUGGAUGUCCUCAUAAGAUAUUCCAUAGAUAAAAUCUCCUCUAAACUAAUUCAAACAGAGACACUGCAAAAUGAAGGAAGAAACUCAACCCUUGAUGAAUCCGCUAAGCAUAAAAUCACGAAAAAAUCGGGAUUCAAUAUUGACUGUAAAAGGUGAUUUACAGUAUUUGCUGUUUUUUAGGAUUCUUAGUUCCUUAAUCAGCCCAAUAAUAGAAAUACUCAUUCUCUGCACCAUUUAACUUCCACUCAUCACCUUCCAUAUUAGAUUCCUAUGGAAUAACCAAAGCAUGAGCCAAAUAGACCCUAACAUCGCUCAAAAAGAGGGAUAUGACCAGAAUUAGUGGGGUGGGCUUCAUCAUUAUUUCCUCUUUUCAUUAUUUCUUGUUGAAAAAUGAUUCUGGGCACCCGCAGGUUGCACCCGAGAAGUUCAUCAGGCCCAUAAUGGCCAACUUAGCAAUUCAACAAUCAGGGGAGCCAUAUAGCAUUACUUUUUCUUGUUUAGGAGUCCUACUGUUAUAAAGAAAGGUGUCCAGCUGAGGCUAUCAAAAUAUAUUGACAUUGUGGCUGGCAAAAUAGUUCAAGAAGUUCAUUUUGACUUGAGCAACCACUGGCCUUCCACUGCGUCUUCUUCUCCAACUCUUCUAUUAUUAUCUCCUGUCUUCUACUCUUUUCUACUCUACUUCCCACUUUCUAUGCUUUAGCACUGCUGUUAAACAGCAGGUUCUUUCAGCAUAGUUAAAAAGCAGCUUCUGAAGUUGCAGGAUUCAAAUCUAAUUAGAGAUUUGAAUCAAUUCUUAGCUAUUAAUAUUAUAUGAUCCCAUAACAAUUCGGGGUUACAUCACUUGGCCAAACAAGCCAGAAAUAAACAAGGCUAUGGUGGAGAGUUUCUAUAAAUGGGUGAGUUUGGGUUACGUAAGACUAACUCGAUUAUAACUGGGUCAGGUUCAAUUUGGCCCUCAGACCCAACAAGUAGCCAUGGGUUGGGCAAACCUUGAAAUCUAGCCACAGCUCCCCAUGAUAGUUGUAUUAGUAUGGCAGGCCAUGGAUUAGUCAAGGCCUGGUUUUAGUGAGUAGGACAACAAUGCAGUUCAUGGUUAAGAACAAAACAUGAAAUACAAAAGAAAAAAGUGAAGAAGGAUAAUGCGAUCAGAAUUUUAUUGCACAGUCCCCACCCCCAUCCCUUCUUUAUUAGGAAGCCAACCCUAGGUCCCCUCUUCUUGGACCUAUUCAAUUUUCAUUUUAGAGGCAGAACUGACAAGUGCAGCCUAAUUGCGUUCCAUGCCGAGUAUGACACGAUAUAAAAUAAACAGGUUAAUUAUGGCCUAGUUUUUCAACUUGAUUAUAAUUGGGCAGCAUCUAGGUUAAGAUUUUUUUUUUUUUAAUUCAAACCUAAAGUCUGGCCCGAACCAAACCCCCAUUUCGCUUUCCAUCAUACUAUUUCAUGGUCAGAACACCUUAUUCCUCAAUUCUGUAGAUAUUGUUCAAACUUAAUCAUGAGUAAAUUUUGUUAUUAAGAUGGUUUCUACUAUUAUAGGUUUAUAGCCUUGCAUAUUCAUGGAGAUGUGACUUGGUUUAGCCUCAAUAUCUUCUAGGACCAACCUCAAUUGAAGCCAUCCUCAUCAACUCUCACUACCUCAAGCAAAAUGAUGUCCUAAGAUGACUUGAGUGUUAUAUUAGACAACUCUCUUGUGCUUCUUAAUAUUUAAGAAUUUUAAAUAAUCUAAAGGACCAAGGUUUGUAUUGUGUUUGACAAUGAAUAAGCACAAAUGGAAAUGAGAAAAAUAGCCACAGGUUUAGCCGAGACCUAUCUUAAGAAUCCAUGUUUAAAGGCCAAGAGAUUGCACUGGCUCAAGGAAAAAGGUCCAAAGAACUUCACAUGUGAUUGAUUUGAAAGAACCAAUCAUAAAGCAUUACUAGUAGAGAACCAAAAUCUACCAAUUCUUUUCGGCAAUCCAGAUUUCAUCUUAUUCUCCAAAAUCCUUUUAGUCAUAAAUGGAAGAAAUACUCAGAAGGACAUUGUCUACGAAAUAAAUCUCGCAGAUUUCAUAAGAUACUGCUAACACAAUGUUGACAUCACAGUAGCUAAAGAUGGAAUAUAGGAUUUGAUGGUGAAUAUCUGAAAUCAGAAUCAAUAGAGAUACCACCAAAUCCCCAUUGAUUUGAAAAUCAAAUUAUGGAGAUUUUUUUCUAUCUUUCCUUUCAGCAUUUUUGUGGAGAUAAUCUAUAAAUAAAUAUUCUCUUUUCAACUAUGACUGAAUGUAGACAUAAAAGAAAGAUUCAUAGGGAUUUUAGAUCUAUAAAUAGGGGUGCCUGGACAAGUAAAUACCACCUUAGGUUGAAUAAAAUUGCCAAUUAUUUUCCCCUCAUUGUAAGUUGUGGGUGUCAUUCUCAUUGCUUUCUUCCUCCUAUCUUGCUACUAUAUUUGUUGGGUAGCUCUUCUUCCUUUAUAGAGAGAUCAUCACAUGCACUUUAAAGUUUAAAUGAAUAUUUUAGUUCAUGGUACCCCUUGAACCACAUAAUAGAAGACCUAUAAUACAUCUACUCAUGCUAAUAGGAUUAUCUUCCGAGGUCAUCCAUUCUAGAAAGUCCUCAAUCCCAUAUAAAAGGUCAAUGCCUCCACUCCACCUAAAUUACAGUCAAAACUAUGUGCAGGCCAUGAAGUGCAAGCCUACUUAGCUGCACGAAAUCUAACACAUACCCUAAAAUUAAUGCAAUUACAUUAACAAGAGUUACUUUCAAAGUCGCCUUUUUGUGAAAAUACCGAUCCCAAAAUAUAAACGUAAAUGGCACCAUCUCAUUAGAUUCUCAAGCAACAUCUGUUGUGAGCUGAAAUAUCAACACUGUUGAGAAAUUAACCAUAACAAAAAAGUAACACCAUUGAAUUAUUCAAGGCAUGUCUUUGUAAAAGCCAUUUUGAUCAAAGAGGAGAAUGCAAGAAGAAUUAUGGGGAUUAUAAUGUUUGCUUCAUCAAUAAAAAUGUAAAACGACAAACCACUUCUUUGUCCAAAGUGAUUUCACCCAGAUGUCAAGGCUUAGCUCACCUUUCAGCUUUAGAACCACACAAGUAGAAAAUGCCCUUAUGAUCAAGUACUUUAUUGGCUUUUUAUCAACAUGAUUCAACAAUGAUGAUUGCUCAGAUUCUGCUUUGCCAUAAAUCCCUCCUGAAGACCCACAACUAAGUAACCUAACAGAAACAUAUUGAUGUCAACUCAAUCUCCAAAUUUUGCAUAAUUCAACUUCAAACCACAUUAAAGUAAAUGCACUCUCCGUACUAAAUCCCUUUUGUUGUAGUUCAUUGUGCAAAUAAUUCAAAGUUGUUGCCUUCCAAAAGGGUGUCCUUAUUCUGACUUCCUGAACUCUAGUUCUGCAACCAUUAAAAGAAAAUGACAAACAUUUAUAGUUCCCGUUACCAUACUCUCCUGAUUCUUUUUGGUAAACUAAAAACCCUAAAGUUGCAAAAAUCUCCAACAAAAUGUUCCUGAUUUCAGGCUUCUAAAUUAACCAACAAAGCAUCAAACACUUUGGCUUGUGUUUUGUUCUCAUCAUCUUUCUCAAACUAGGGAUGGCUACUUUUUUGAUGUAUUUCUCCAAUAUUACUCCUUGAGAGAAAUCAACUAAUUAUUCUUGAGAUAAUCAAAGUAAAUGAAAUAUAGCACAUGUACAGGUCAACUUGAUCUGAAAAACCAGAAUUGCCUUUGGAAUUAUUGCCUAUGUUAAUGUAACCUCAUCUUGUAACACAAUCCCCAUCCAGAUGUGAGACUUACUCUUUUAUUCAUAGCUUUAAGCAAAUGACAUUCCCUUCCAACUCUUCUCCCUAUCAGUAGGUUGAGAACUCCUAACCAAAUCUACAACUUAAAACAAAGGAAAGACCACAAUAAUAUCGUUCCUAAUGACUCCACUGCUCGGAAACCAGAAUAUAAGAUAGCCUCUUCUCCCCCCAAGAGGUCCCAACCCAUAAACCACCCAUGAACUCAACUUCAAAGACCGCAAGAUGAUAAAUUAUACAAAUUACAAGGAAAACGUAAUUUUGAGAAAAUUAAGAAAAAAAACUUUCGAUUUAGGGGGCUAACCGAGCUGAUGUAGUCGACCAACGCCGCGUUGGCUUCCCCGUCCCUCGCCGGAGCGUCGAUCUGCACGCCCAGCGCCUCGUCGCCGAAAUCUGAGGCCGACGGACGGAAGGAAAACUAGGGUUUUAAUGCGACAAAAUAGCAAUAGGUGAUCAAAAGGAGGGGGGUUGAGGAGAGGGAGCGAACCUGUGAUCGUGGCGACCUUAGAGCCCGGUUUGGCGUGGACGGUUAUGGCGACGGAGGAGGUGGGUAGGAGGCGGAGGCAGGCGGGAAUUCCUGCCGGCGCUGCCGGGGCGAUGGAGGCCGGAGCGGCGGAGUCGCCUUUCGCUUUGCCUCGUUUGGACGGUGCCAUUCUCUUGAACAUAGGUACCGCACCACCACCGUGGAGUACUAGUUCCCAAUAAACACGGCAUAUGAUAUGCCGUCUUCUGCGAGAGAGAUACGGCCGUCACGCCCCACCGUGAAGCUGAUUCCUGACUCAAACUUGAGCCGACCCUAAACUGGACCGGACAGAGAACAAAUGGAUCGGAAUCAAAGUCAGGCUUACUGAACUUUGAGAUUGGGUUUGGAAUUGAGAUUUAUAUAUACACACACACACACACAUACAUACAUAUAUAUAUAUAUAUAUAUAUAUAUAUAUACUAUANNNNNNNNNNNNNNNNNNNNAGUAGUAGUUAUUAUAUACACACACACACACACAUACAUACUAUAUAUAUAUAUAUAUAUAUAUAUAUAUAUACUAUAAGUGCUUUAUAUAUAUAUUCUUCUAAAUAUACAAAAUUGUAUGAUUAUUCUUAUAAAGUUGUUAUUUGUAUGUAUACUUACAUAAAUACUUGUUUUGCAUGUAUACUUUUUUUUAUUUCUUUUUUUAUAUGUGUAUCUAUACCAUCUAAUGCCGUUAAAAAAAUAAGUAGUUUAAAAUUAAAAUGAUUGAAAUACUUUUAAUGAGUAGACAUACAAAAAAUAUAUAUGUAUAAAGAUAUCUAUGCAAAUAGCAACUUUGCGAGAGUAAUUAUCCAAUUUCGCAUAUUUAAGAUAAAAGCUUAGUUAGAUUUGCCAAGUCUUUUAUAAUCCAAUUAUAUCGCAGUGGAAUGAAAUAAAGGCUGGUUUGGGUUGUAUCUUUUGCAUGAAAAAAUGAUUAAUAUUUUUUCACAAUAUCGACUAUUGGAUUGCACAUUACAAAUCUCAAGGCACUCCGAACUCUCUCAUUCAUUUGUCUGCGCAAAUCUCGAAGUGACCAUUGUGCAAUCUAAUAGUGGAUUCAUGCAAAAGGAGGGAAAUCAUUCUUUCGCGCAAAAGAUACAACUCUUGUUCAUGAUGACCAAGGUCAUAAGUGAAGCUAGAGGCCAUCCUCUUCCUCCCCUCUUUAUAAUAACUUUUCCUGCCCGUUGUAGCAAUGGCGAAUAGCUUCUAGGCCAGCCAACCGCCUCUCUACCCAUCCCCUCUAGUUCUCAAGCAACCGCACCUCACUUUCGGUACUUCCCCAAUUGUCAAAACCCAAGCCUUAGUUCCCUAAUUCCAUGUGGUUUCUUCAUGAAUUUUUUAAAAUACCAUCCCCCAUUUAAAGUUCUUGUAUUUAGUGACCAAAAUGGGAUUACCAAAGUAAUCUUUGAUCAUUGGUAACCCAUAUCCUGAGGUGAUUUGAUCCUCGAUGAUCUUUGAUUAUUGCAUUUGGUAUGCUAUAUUCUAGUGAUCGAAGAUCUCUAAGUAUCCAUGAGUAACAUAUUUGGUAUUAUAUAAAAACCCAAGAUUAUUAACCAUAUAGUACAAAAAUUACAUCUGAUGUCUUCCAUAAAAUAUAAUUUUUAAUCAAAUAAUAUAUAUAUAUUAUUAAUAUAUUCUAUAAAAAAUAUAUUUAUUAAUUCUAUAAAAAUAUAUUAAUUGUUAUUAUAGAAUUAAUAUUUUUGUUUAUGGUUAUAAUAUAUUAUUAUUUUAAUACUACUAUUUAUUUUGAUUGGAAAAAUAAGGCAAGUGGAAGUAAUCUAUUAAAUAAUUUCAAAAUUUGAAGAUAGUAUAAAUACAAAAAUUGCUAUCUAUGACAGUAUAUGAUUAGUAAUAUAUUAUAGUAUAAUAUAUAUUAUAAAUACAAUAUAUGUAAUAUCAACAUAAUAUAAUAUAAUAUAAUAUAAUAUAAUAUAAUAUAUUGAUAUAAUAUGUGAGGUAUAUUAAGAUACCAAUUUUUCUUACUGGACCGAGGGAUAUUUUUGUUGCUAAAUUUCAACCCAAGAUCACUGCAUUGGGAUGAUCUUAGAUACCCGACCUCAAGCACCGGUUUUUCAUCACUAAGUUAGACAGUGAUUUAAUAAAUGAGGAUGAUUUGCAUCACUACUAUGUAGAAAUCAUUAUGGUGCAAUCAAAUAUGGUGAUCUCGUCGCAUCCAUCCACAUUAUCUUUAAUUUUGAGAUGAUCAUCUCAUACCAAAAGCCCCAUAAAGAACGAUCAAUCUUAAUCUUGAAAAUUUUAUAAUUCAGAUUCGAUUGGGCCUGUGUGCAUCUCUUGUUUAUUAGUAGCCCGAGACGAAAUUUUNNNNNNNNNNNNNNNNNNNNGGCCGGGCCGGCCCGGCACGGCCCGUUGCCCAACUCUAUGUGCAUCUCUUGUUUAUUAGUAGCCCGAGACGAAAUUUUGGUUGAAUUCACUCGUGGUUUCUAUUUUCGUGACUCUAAUAUCAAUGUUACGGAAUCUGGUUGAAAUUGGUUUAUUGACAAGGAGUUCGUUAUUAGUCCGCCAAGUAUACGAUGGACAUGCAUUUUAUCAGAUACGGGGCAAGUGUCAUCACCUCCAUAGAAGGAAGUGAACCUCCUUGUCGAUCUCCACUUUUCUUUACCUCUUACAUUCUUUUGCAAAGAUAUUUGACAUCAUCACAUAGUUCCUAGGUUAUUGUAACAACCUGAGAUCUCAUCCAAAAUGGCUAGCCGAAAGAUAUGUUUUUGGGCUUCUUAGUUCCAUAUAAGUACUCAAGAUCUUCUUAAUAAAUAAUUGAUAUGGAACUAAAUACAUACCUGCACAAAUUCUCACAGUCAUCUUCAUCUAUCUUCAACAGGCUUUCUCCAACUUCUUUACCCAUCUUGAGGUCCCUUUUUUUUUCCCACAUCUUAGGUGUCUGCCAAUGCCAACACUUGCUUCUAGUAGCAUGUUGUCUGCGAGAUCCUAAGCUUCUUUCAAUUGGCCUGCACGGCCAAGGAGAUCAACCAUGAAAACUUAGUGAUUCAUUUUCGAUUUGUUUUUUAAUUUUCAUUAUGCUCAAAGUCGUCCAUAGUAUCUUAUUCUUUGGCACGGUCUGAUCAAAUACUUUUCUUGCUACUAGUAAAUCCCAUUGUUUAAACAAGAACAUCCAUUUGUAAUCAACAAAGCCUAGAUCUGGGUUCCUUCACAAACUUCUCCAAGACCACUGCAUGCUUUCAGUGUCAGAACUAAAUACUUUCUCAUACAUAAUCUUAUGUGUUCAUUGCCCAACAUGAAGAUUAGAACUAAAACCCAUCUUGUCGACACUUUCAGCAUCAAAUCCUUCGAACAACUCCUGAGGAGCUUCUGCGAUCCUUUGCAGCUCCGUUUUGCUCGGUAUGAAACUCCCCACUUGGGCUAUCAGAGAAUUGGAAAAUCGAAUCAUGCCGGCGUUGAGAAACUGCACCAAUAUGGAAGAAUUGAAGCAACUCCACGCUCACAUUCUGGUCUUUUCCCUUUCUCAAAGCAACUUCCUUGGAACUCAAAUCAUAAAUAUUUGCAAUAGCAAUCGAAGGGUAGACUAUGCUGCUCUAGUCUUCAACCAUGUGGAGGAACCAAAUCUGUUCCUCUACAAUGCCAUGAUCAAAGCGUGCACCCAAAACCAGCAUUGCUCUGAAGCAAUCAGCCUCUACAAACAGAUGUUGAAUCGCCGACACGCCCAAAAUUCAGUUCUUGCUGAUAGAUUUACCUAUCCAUUUGUACUGAAAGCUUGUGCCGGUCUACUUCUCCUUGUUCUUGGCAAGCUGGUUCAUGUCCAUAUAUUUAGAUCCGGGCUGACCUCUAACUCUAUAAUUCAGAAUUCGCUGAUGGAGAUGUACGCAAAAUGUGAUGAUUUAGUCGAUGCACGCAGAGUGUUUGAUGAAAUGGAGGACAGAGAUGCGGUCUCAUGGAAUACACUCAUCUCGGCGCAUGCUAGGCUGGGGCAAAUGAGGAAAGCUAGAGCUUUAUUUAACUCGAUGCCUAGUAGAACAGUGGUUUCUUGGACUGCAUUGAUCUCUGGGUACACCAUGGCUGCUCAGUUCUUUGAUGCGGUGGAGGUAUUUCAUCGCAUGCAAUUGGAAGGCUUCGAGCCUGAUGAUAUUAGUAUUGUAUCAGUUUUGCCUGCUUGUGCUCAGCUAGGGGCUCUGGAGCUGGGCAGAUGGAUCCACGCCUGCUGUGAUAAGCAUGAACUGCUUCAAAAGAGCUUCAUUUGUAAUGCUCUUAUAGAAAUGUAUGCCAAAUGUGGGAGCAUCGAUCAGGCUCUUCGAUUGUUUGAGGAAAUGAAAGACAGGGAUGUGAUCUCAUGGAGCACGAUGAUCGGAGGUCUCGCAUUGCACGGGCGAGCUCACAAAGCAAUCGAACUGUUUGUGGAAAUGGAGAAAGAUGAAACAGUGAGGCCAAAUGGCAUUACAUUUAUUGGUCUCCUAUCUGCUUGUUCUCAUGCUGGUUUGUUGGAUGAGGGGUUCAGGUACUUUGAUUCGAUGAAAGAGGUCUAUGGUAUUGAUCCUGGUGUCGAGCAUUAUGGGUGCAUGGUGGAUCUUCUCGGUCGUUCAGGCUGCAUUGAUCGUGCAGUAGAAUUUAUCGAGAGCAUGCCUGUUCUACCGGAUGCGGCUGUCUGGGGGUCUUUGCUCAGUGCUUGCAGAACUCAUGGUAAUAUUGGGACAGCUGUGAAGGCAAUGGAAUGGCUCGUUGAGCUCGAGCCAGACGACAUUGGGAACUAUGUCAUGCUUUCGAAUAUAUAUGCAGCAGCCGGGAGAUGGGAUGGUGUUGCAAAGAUGAGGAGAGUGAUCAGGAGUAAGAGCUUGAAGAAGACACCAGGGUGCAGCUUGAUAGAGGUGAACAAUGUGGUUCAGGAGUUUGUAGCUGGAGAUGAUUCGAACCUGCAGUUUGGUGAGAUAUCAGGGAUGCUAUACUUGUUGGCCUCCCAGCUUGGCCAUUAUGGAUAUCAGAGAACAAUGGAAUCUAAAGAAUAAGCAAAGCUUACAGAUUCAUCUCACAAGCUCGGCAACGAUAUUUGUUUUGCUCAGUAAAUAACGCAAAGCUCGAAGACGAGACAGAAGAGGUAAAAGAAAUUCCUCAAACAAGUGACUACACUUAAACUGCAUCUCACUAUACUUUUGCUUGCAUGUAUGUCAUUGGCAAAACAAAAUUGCAGUAGUCAAUUGAUACCAUGAUGCUUUAUGAAGAUUUUUUCUAUAGAAGAAACCAUGAUACGCCAUAUUGAUCCGAACCGGACGGUACGCCGUAUCAUAUCUAUUUGGUACCGAUACCCUGGUACAUAUGGUAUACCGAUAUUCGGUACGCUAAAAAAAAUUUCGUACCAUACCGUACUGAUACUAUGCUAGUAUGGCACCAGUAUGAAUCCGGUACCGAGACAACGAACCUCAGAAGAAACGAUAUUAAACUGACCUUAAAUGCUGAGAAAAAUAUUUGAUGAGAAAGCAUAAUUUCUAAAAGUUACGUGUCAUGAUUUUUGUCCUGGAUGCAGCAGAUCUUGAUAGCAAACCUUACCUAGACCUACCUGGUGGCUAAACUAAUCCACAAUGGAUUCAGUGAUCCUUCUUGAUCAUUAACAUGCCAUGGUUUUUAGUGUUUUCCAGCAACAAGUAGAAGGUGGCCCUGGUGAAAUCAUCCAACAUACUUUUUACUUAUUGUUGAUCAUAAUGAUGGAUGAAAACAAAAAAUAAAUGCUCUAAUUUGGUUGAACCUUUCACAUUAGUUAUUCUGAAUGCUUGAUUUGCACUCGGGGAACACAUGGACUGUGCACUGAACCCAUAGCGAGAAUCGCUUUUAGGUUAAAAACAUGACCUGUGAGUUCUUUAUCAUUGUUCAUCACAGUAAUGGAUCAAAAUAAAAAAAACAUAAACACUCUAAUGGUUGAAGUUUUUGCAUUAGUUACUGACAAUGAAGCAUCAUGCGAAACUUAUGGCUAUGCGCUGAACAACACAGUAAAGAUCACUUUGAAGUUAAAAUCCUAAAGAAAAAUGUCUUUGCAAUUACAGAUAAAUACAAAAUAUACAAUGUCUGCAAAUAUACUAACAGAUUCAUCUUACAUACAACUUAUACAGUGACAGAAUUCCAGGAUCAGCGGAUCUUCAGAAAGCUGGAUCCAAUCUUAUGGCUAGGAUAGAGCCAAUGCUUCGUUUCAGCUGGAGUAGGGGGAUGAAGAGGAGAAUGAACUGUACUUGUUUGAUUUUGAAAAUGAUGAAAUGGCCAGGUACUAAGUUACAUCUUUGACAGAGUAGCCUGCAUGCUUGAAACCAGGAGCAUACUAUUGAAGAAACCCUUCAAUUGAAGCUGGAGAAUAUCCUUCCGUAAAAAGAAUGCAAUGUUGAAGCUUCAUCAAUCUCCAACACAAGAUAAACUGAAGUGUGGAAAGCAACUGAUGGAAGCAUUCAAUUUCAUGAUCGGUGCUGCCUCAUGUUGUCAGGCAUUGCCAGCAGGACUGAUGGUAAGCUUCAAAUUUUUUGAAGGCUGGACCACAAUAAGCUAAAUGCAGAGAUCCAAAGGGCAUGCCAAAGUCCAAAGAUAAAAAACACCAGAAUACAGCUUGAUUUAGCUGAACAGUUAGCUGAAGACCUGUUGGCUGUACAACUUACUUUCUAAACAAACAACUCAUAUUCUCAAGAAUCUGUGAUGAUAGAACUCAUCAAAUGACAGGCGUUUCACUGCAAAGGAUAGAGAACUUCGUCAGCAACACAUGAUACACUAGAUGAAAAAUUGAGGUUAAAAGUACACACCUGGGUUUUUGCACAAAAGCCUAGCACACAUAUCAAUAGAGUCAAGAUGCAAACUGGGGAGGAUGAGCUGUGAAAAUGGCAAGGACGUACUACUCUUUAUGCUUUUUAGAAGCUGCAGAAGAAACCAACAUUAAGCCAGAACAAAGGCAAAAAGGAAGGUUACAAUAAUGAUGCAAUAAUCUUAUUUGUAAAUAGAUUAGCCACCUGAACAUUGUUACUGCCACGAAAAGGUGGAUACCCAUUCAGAAGCUCAAAGAAAAUUGCACCAAUGCUCCACAUAUCUACCUGGUUAGAGAAAGCAUUUCAAUUUGCUGUCAUUUGAGUAGGAGGAGAGAGCGACUUUUACCUUGUCGUCAUACUGUUGAAAUUCCAUAACCUCUGGAGCCAUGUAGAAAGGUGUUCCACAAACUGAGUCUGCAAACUCGCCAGGAUGAACAGCUCUAUUUGAAAGCAGUAGGAGAACAUGUAAGAAUUCCUUCUGAAGAUAAACAAUUAGUUGUACAAAAUACUCUGAAUUCUGAUAUGGAAUACUCCAGUAAUUUGCUACCGAUACCUUGAUAGACCAAAAUCAGCUAUCUUUAGCACAGCAUCACUGCUGGGAGUAGAAAGUAGAAUAUUCUGCUCCACUAACAGCAAAUGUCAAUGAAUUAUGAAGAGCAUGAAUUCUAUAAGUAGAAUUAGAUGGUUAACAUUGUUCUGUACCUUCGGUUUCAAGUCCCGAUGGAUUAUGUGGUGAGCAUGCAUUACCUCCAAACCUGCUCCUGCAAUAUGAAGAUAAAUGAACUAUUGUAUCAUAUCCACAAUAUUAGUGGGACAAAAAUACUUGCUUGAUACUUAUCAGUUCAUUGAUGAUACAAAUACCUAGCUGCUUCAUGAAUUUUCUGACAGUAUUUUCAUGCACCCUCCCUUUUUGCUGAAUGUAAGUGGCUAAGUUUCCUCCGGAACAGAACUCCAAAACAAGGAAUAUGCAUCCAUCAACCUGAAAUGGGAAAAUAUCGAGAAGCAAAAGAGUGAAAACGUAAAACUUCUAUUAAUGUUCAUCACAGGGACCAUGAUGCAUAACUCACAAUAAUGGAACUUAUUUUGAAUUCUACUUUGGAAGUUUUGAACAUGGCUGGUGUUUGUGAUAAAAAAAGCCCCAAAUUAUUUGGCCUUAUUGAUGUAAAAAGGCACCCAUGUAGAUAUACACAUAAUACAAUCCUCAGUAGGGAGUUGAAAACCCUUCUUUUCCACUGAAUCUUCAGGUGAAACAGCUAGCUUUAAGAAAAAUAAGGUGAUCUACAUCAAUUCUAUAAGUUUCUUGGAGUUUUAAAUGUGUUCAGCUGUUGCAUUUGAUCUUAUUUUCUUUCAUUUUGCUCUUUUAAUGGAUGAAGAAACUCAUGAUUGGCCUUCCUUCCAACUUCCGUCAUAAAAAUUUUGAUAGAGCCAUGAUGGAACACAAAAUAGCCAAGGCUCCACCAUCAGAAUUUCUGGUAAAAACUCCGCAAUGAAGCACCAGUCCUAGUUAAAAGGUAUUGCCCUCCAACAACAGGUUAAGAAAAAAUUUGCAAAAUUUUCGUUACUUGGCAAGUUCAAAAUUUCCUAUUCUGAACAGCAAGCCCUGGAUAUAAAGCUCAAAGUUACUGAUCCUCCUCCAAUAAAUUGCCCCCAAACCCAAAAUAUUCCCAUGAAGCAUGUGAUCAGAAGCUAAUGAAGUCUAUUACUCUAGAUAUUAAAAGCCCUAAAGUUCGAGCAAACAACUCCUCAAAAGCUCCAACUAUUUGAUUUCCGAACUAAGAAUUCAAUCCAAAUACCAAAACCUGGUUCCGAAACCCCAACUAGCGGCUAUCCAAAAGAGCUAAUGGAACCAAUUUCUCGAUAGAAUAAACAACCAAAAACUUUCAAACUGGGAAAUCAAUUGAAAGCUCAAAUCUUUACAUUUCUGAACUAUUUAAUUCAGUCUAAACAUCAAAUCUCUGAUUCAUAACCCGCAAGAAGCCUCAAUUUUAAGCUCUUUCCCCUCAAUCAAAAGCUUUAAAACACAAGUUUAACGUCCAAAUGAAAUAAAAAUGAGAGAAAAAAAAAAGAGAAAUGAAGUGGAAAGGGAAGGAAGGGAACCUGGAAGACAUCAAGGAGGCGGAUGAUGUUGGGAUGGCAGACGCUUGCCAAGAAGUUGAUCUCGCAAUCGAGGCAUUCCCUCAGGGUCCUGGUGAGCCCCGAGAGGCGGACCUGCUUCAAGACGACGUCCUGGCCGCUCGAUCGGUGGACCGCCCUCCACACGAUCGAGAACGGCCCUUCCCCUCCCAGCCUCCCCCUCACCUCGUACUCUCCGUCGCCGGCGAUGGACGGCGGUGGCCGCUCCUCCGUCAUCCGUCCCUCGCUCUCUCUCAUCCUGGUCCCCUCUCCGCACUACAAGCCAUCACUGUUCUCACGAGCCAACCGACAAGCACGAUCUCAAGCGUUUUGCGAGUCCCCGGACAGCUACCCAAAUGGAAGUAGACCCGCUUUUCCCCAAACCAGCGCCAAAUAAACCGUCGGCUGUGAUUCAGGGUUGACAAUUAUAGCAACCGGGCCAAGCCGGAUGGACGGUAGAUCAAAAAUUUAUCAAUUUAAAUUUAAUUAAUUUAUUAAAUAGAUAAAAUUUUAGAUUUGAAUGUGAUAAUUUUAUUAAAUAGAUGAUGUAAUCAAAUCUAUAAUAAGUAAAAAUAAGUGAAAUGGGGUAAAUAGCGAAGCACCGCCUUUUAUACUUAAAAAUGGAAGUAGUUGUAUUUUUGAUGCAAAAGGAGGAUACAUCUUUCUUCGCAUGAAUCCAUCAUUAGAUCACCAUUGCACAGAUCUCAAAGCAACUCGUACUAUCAUCAUCCGCCUCCGCAAAUCCCAAAGUGACUGAUGGAUGAUUCAACGGUGGAUUGGUGCGAAUAUCAAUGAAUAUUUUUAUCCAAAGAUGCAACCCCACUCUACUGAAAUGGGCCAGAGUUCCGUUGGGUCAACUGUCAAAUUGCGUUUUCUAGGCCCAAAGCCAGUUCUGCUCCCCAAAAUUUAAUUAAAGAUUUAUCAUAUUUUUCCUAGGGCUCGAUAUACUUUUUUUUUUUCCCGUUAUUAUCUUCUGUUCUUAAAAUCUUCCUAUUAUGAAGGGUUGAAAAGAAAAAGGAGGGGGUCAAAUUUUAGUUGUCAAGUAGUCAAGUAGAAUUAUAUCCUUGAUUUUCUUAAUUUCUCUGCAUACUGAUAAGUAGAAGGAAAAUCACACAGAAAAAAGAGGGAAUGGGUUGGUGCUCUCACAAAAAUCAUGACUUAAAUAUGUUUGAGAUUAAUUGGAUCAACAUGAGAUUGCAUACUCCAUGGAAAAGGUGUUUUUCUUCCCUAAUUUUCAUAUGAUUCUGAUUUGCUCCUCAACUUUAUGGCUGAAUCCUUUUUUUCACUAUCUCAACAAAAUGGGCUGGCACUCACUAACUUUUCAAAAAGAAACAAAUCAUAAACACCAUAACAACAUGUCAAGGAUUAUAGUGCAGGAAGAUCAGUUUAAUGGUCUAAAUUAGGUUUUCACAAUGAGGGAAAUAACAAAAACAUGCAUAUUUAUAUACAAACACACGUACACUCAACACACACUAAUCAGAAAAUCAAAGCAAUUAUUUUUUUAUGUCUUCAAAAAAAGCCCCUAGGCAAGAUGGCUUCCCUCCAUUUUCUUAAAAAUGAAUUGCAAGAUAGUUAACCUAGGGUGUGUCUUGCAAUCAAAAUAUUUUUCUUUUCGUGGCAUACUAUUGGGCUUGCAAAGAACGGAUAUGUUUCUAGGGCAUUGGACGAAGCCCCAGUUGAUCCUUCUAAAAGCCUUCAUGCAAGCAAUGGUUCAUUCAGAUGAUUGCCUCGGAAAAAUCUUUGAUAGCUCGAAAAAUCUAUGGUUCUUAUCGUGCAAUUCUUGCAUCUCCUAACGUAAUAUUUUUUACUUAGGAGCCACCAUCCUCUUAUUUCCUUGUGAUAUAUUUUGAUGGUAGGAUUCAAGAUGAAGGUGGCCAUGGGCGAGCCGGCUUUGUUAUCUAGAGCCAUAGUUGCAUGUUUUUUGGCUGCUGGGGGUACGUAGCUUCUUGACAUUUCAGCACCGAUACAAAGUUGCAUGGAGCAUAGGAGGGGUUGACUUAUCCUAUCAGAGUUUUAGGGCAUGCACAUCACUUUAGAAGUGAUUUCAAAACAAUGAUAAGCUGGUGUCCAUCAGGUGGCUGAUGUAGGAGGCACUCAACCUUAGUACAGGACAUCCAGCUAAAGGGAGCCACUUUUGUAUAGUCUGAAGCAUCUCAUGUGUACAAGGAAGCCGGUAGCAUGGUUAAUUGGGUUGCUUCUUACAUGGUCCAUCACUCUAGUGCAGUUUUUUUGGGACUCCAUGUUUAUUCUUCCUUCCCAAUUUCGAGAUCUUUUGUAUAUACCAACUCUCAAGGUUGGAUUUACACUAGAGCUAUACAGCUCAUUCACUUCAUCUUAAAAAAGAAAAAAAUCCCUUUCUUGAUACAUGCUUGAAGAGUAGAAGUCAACUUUCUAUCACUUUAAUUUCUAAAACACCUGAUGCCUUGGAGUCUUGCCAUUAUUUUUUUAUUUUUGAUAAGGCGAACAGAUCAUACAUGCCUAAUAUGAAUAUGCCCAAUAAAAUUAGAAAACAAAAUACCGUUCAAAUAAGUAUAAACAGCUAGAGUGUUGGUCCAAAGGACUUUCCUUAUAGUGCUCCCCAACAAACGAGUCUUGCCAUUAUUAACCAAGUACUCUUUGAAACACUAUGCGCUCUUUUCGAGCCCGUUGAUUUUCGGGGGUGGAGUUUUCUAGAUAAUAUCCUCAUAGCUCAAGGAAUAAUGCAUGAAUUGGAGAGAGCGCAGCUGCUCAAAAGUUUGACAGCAAUUAAACUUGAUACGAAAAGAGCAUAUGAUCGCAUGAGAUGGGACUUCCAGGUCCGUGGGCUUCUUGUCUUGGACAAGGCUGUCCUCUCUCGCCGUAUCUGUUCAUAUUUUGUGCUAACUUGGAGUCUCCGUUGCUAAAUCAGGCUAUUGAAUAGACCAAAGUUACAGGGUUAUCAACUCACUCCUCUGACGCCUCAAAUUUCCCAUCAAUAUUUUGUCGAUGACUGUUUGCUGUUGUUUGCAAAGGCAAAGAUAGUACAUGCUGGAGAUAGUACUAAAUCUGCUAGUACUUGGCAGCACUUGGAGUUAAUCCAAUCUCUAGUUAAAGCCUUAAUUCUUCUAACUAUAAUUUUUUCUCUGAGAAAAUUGCCACUAAGCUUAUAGGAUGGAAACGGAGAUCACCAUGACAGGCUUCAUUAAUUGUUCUAACCUAUUCUGUUCUUAGUUCUUGGGAAAAUGCAUCGCAUGGCUUGGGAGGUUGUUUAUUUUAGAGCCUAACAAUCUCUCAUCCUUGACAUGAGGACUAAAUAUAGGGUUCUCAUUGUCGAAUAUACCUUAAAAGCUCCCAGAUAUUACUCAGCCAUUUGGAGAUAAUUAUGCAAGCAUACCGAUGUGAUGAGAACUUAUUUACAAUGGAUGAUUGGAGAUGGCUCAAACAUCGAUGUGUGGAACAACCCUUGGUGAUUCACCUCGUCAACAUUUUCUCAUUUUACUGCUUUAUUUGAUGCUAAUUAAUUACUGAACUGUAAGAUUCCUGAGCUACUCAUUAGUGAAAAGAAUGUAAGAUUUAGAGACUCCAUUACUUUUUAUCCAGCAAUUGGUGCAACAAAUCAAUUCUAUUCCUAUACCUUGAGGAAUUGAAAAAGAUAGACUGUUUUGGGAGCCCCAAGAACGUUGAGGGCAAAUUUGGUGCAUGGUAGUGCUUGUGAUAGAAAUAAUUUGACUGUUACCAGGACGUAGGAUAGAUUUGGAAACUUAAGAUUCAGCCAAGAGUUGCUCUAUUUUGGUGGAAGCUUGGAUGGGUUAAAUUAUCAUGUGUGUGUACAUUCUGGCUUCAUGUAAUGAAUGUGCUCAAGUGGACAUGCAACUUGGAGUGCAUCUUGGAUCCCUUGAAGAGCCAAGCUGCAUGCCAAGGAAUACACCUCCAACUUGAACACCAAGUCAUCUUACUUGGUCUAGGGAAACCUGGGUUUCUCCUGCCAAGUGCAUUGUUCUCCUGCAGAUGAUUCAAUUCACUUAGGAACCUCCAUCUCUCGGUUCCAUUAACAUAAAUUUCAAUGGAUCGGAUAGAGGAGGGAUUAGCAUUGAUGGUGUGGCUAUGUUAUUACGGAUUAUCGAGGAGCGUUAGUAGUAGUUGGUCUUGUGCUCUUGUUUCUCACCAAUUAGCCUAUAGUGGAACUUAAGAGCUGCAUAGGAGGAGAUGGUAUAUAUUACUGAGAAAUUGAAUAAAGCUCAGAAGAUUUGCCUUGAAGGAGAUUCAAAAACAGUAAUUAAUAGUAAGUAUCCAAUGCCUUAUUUAGAUGUUCAUCCUACGAUCAUCGAUAUCUGGAGGAUGUCCACGAAGCUGGAAGCUUUACAAGAAAAGCAUGCUUUUCCUCAAGCUAAUUCUACUAGUAAUUGGAUCGCCACUCAUAUUGCCAACAAUUCGAGAGGAUAUACUAAUUCUCGUGCAGUGUAACACAUCUGUCUUACAAAAAAAAAAAGGGAGCUAGAGGGGCGGGUUGGUCAAUUUUGUUUAAAAGAAAUCAAAGUAAAAGAAGAAUUUAAUGCAAACAUUGUCCUCAUCACAAUGAAGUGUUUCCAUGCAAUAAGAAGAAGACAUCGCAAUCAACUGCCGCGUUGCUGAAGGCAUCCAUUUUGGACGUGUGUGCGCGAGCUUUGAUAAAUUAUUUACGCAAUAUAAUACAUAUGACAAGAAUUUCAAGCCUCAGCUCUAAGUUUCAAUGCAAAUCAUUGGCACAUCAUAUUCUUCCUAAUCUCCUUUUUCGCAUUCAGUUUUGCCACAAAAAAAUAAAAUAAAAUGGAGAGAGAUUUUCUUAGCAAAGAGAUAUAUUCAACAACUCUUGGGGCCCUCCUUAUCUUUUUACCGUGCAUGCAUGCAUGCAUGAUUGAAGAGACAUGAUAAUUGCAAAUCAGUCCCUUGUAGGGCCUUCUGCUCUGAAAAACUGAAGUGAUUCUUUUUUUCCACAGGUCAAGAUCUAACAAUGCCCCACUUGCCGGAUUUGCGCCUUUUAGGCCCCGCUGAAUGCAGACUCCUAGACGCCGCAUCCGGGCCCACAUGCAUGUGACGCCGGAGCUCGGUUAACAUUAUUGCCUAGAAGUCUAGAAUCGAAGGCACAUCCUAAUUAUGGGAUAUAGCAGCCAAGAGUUUAUGAAAUAAACGUGUCUUCAGGUUCUCAAAUUCUUAUUCACUAACAACAACCUUACUGCCAUCUUGUUCAGCAGUGUAACCAUAUAAAGUUAGGGGAAGAGUAAAUAACUCAACAGUUUGGAAUACAGGGAUUUUUUUAUGGGUCCCUUGCAGAUAAGCAGACAAACAUAUAAUUUAUCAGCCAGAGGAGCAAUGUGAAAGCACCAUAGCUUGAGUCUUUUUUUUUCUUUUGUAAAUUUUGGUAUCUUUUGUGAAUGAGCUACUAAACCAUUUGCCUUUUUGUGAGCAUUCAUUUAGAAAUUUCUCUAAAANNNNNNNNNNNNNNNNNNNNNNNNNNNNNNNNNNNNNNNNNNNNNNNNNNNNNNNNNNNNNNNNNNUCAUCAGUUCUUGGUAGUGGAAUUUCUAGAAUUGAGGACAAGGUGACAAUUGGGUCAUUGACAUGGAAAAACUUAAGAUUAAUGAAAAUCCAUAUGUUUGGAUUUUGAAUAUGCUUAACUGCGACAAGGAAUGGUUUCAUUGUAUCGGUGUUUCACUAUAUUAUCUGCCAUUUGCUAUGAUAAGGAAUAAUAAUGGCCCUUGUAGCAAUUAGUAUUUUAUUCUAACAAAAAAAAUAUUUUGAAGAUUAGACUCGGAAUUUUGGCAAACUGCUUCUCGUGACUAGUACAUAUGGGAACUACAAUCGCUACAACAAAAAUGAUAACUAGUAGUAUUUUCAAGUACCACUAUAAACAAAUAGGAAUGUUGCAAAUGUUCCUUCUAGAUAUUUUUAUGGCAUUUUCUUAUGUACCAUCUUAGAAAUUAUAAGUACCAGCAAAAAAUUCUCAAAAUAAAUUUUAUAAUCUAAAAUUCAAAAAAAGAGAGGAUUUUCGAACUAAUAAUCCCUCUGAGCUCUUAACCACCGGCCACAACUUAUAUUGUUCUUACACAGGAAUGGUUUAGUGAAAGAUCAUUUAGUAAAUAAAAUAGAUAAAAAUAAAAAAUAAUAUUAGGUAAAUAAAAAUUAAAAUAAAAAAUAAUAAUAGCUAAAAAUUGGAGGUGGAUAAGGAUAUCAAAGAUAAAAUUAGGAAUAGAAGGAAAAUAAACUUGUUUGAGAGAAGUUGGCUUAGAUUGAGAGAAAGGAAUUCAGACAUUAUGAAGAUAUAGAAGUUUGAAUAAAAUUAGUAUUUUACAUGCAUUUUUUAAUUAUCGAUAUUAAUGAUUGUUAUAUAAUAAAAUUUAUUUGUAAAUCAAAUAAUAUUUCAUUCUGGGACAAAUUUGACAGGCUUAAAGGGCCCCUCCAAUACUUUUUUACGGAGUAGAUGAGUAAAGGUAAGUUUAGGUACUUUCUAGAAAACAAAAAUAUUUUUAUAUAGCCAAUGAUUUGGAUAAUACUGCCAGUGUAGGAAUUAACAUGUUCAUGUUGCAACCUAUCAAGGUCAUUAUGUGAUAUGGAUUCACAUCAAAAGAUGAGUAGUGGUAUCAAAUGCCUGAACAUAACUUUUCUUUUCUUUUUCUUUUUUCUAGGAAACUCGAUCAAAAGAUCUAGGGAACUUUCAUUAAGGGAUUGAAAGAUAUAGUCUUAGAUUUACAUGAACAAAUCAUGUUUGGCUUCAAUUAAACAUGACAUACAAAAAAAUGGAUAUUGUAUACAUCGUUAUUUAUUAUUAUUAAUUCAUGAAUAAUCAAUAUAGUUUAUUGAAAGUGUAUAUUUUAGUUAUGAGAGUGAUGAUUAGUUUAAGUGAUAAAAUGACUGAAGAUUGGGUACUAGUGAUUUGGGUUGGAGUCCCACUUUCAACAUAAUUUAUAAUCUUAAUAAAUUUUCAUGGCCUUGCCCAUGAUCACAGAUAAGCCCACCGGAUUACACCAAGGUGGAAGUAGUUUUAGUCCUUAAAACCAAUUAAUAUAAACACAUGAAGUGUCGGGGGAAUAAUUAAAAGCAUAUGGAAAGAUCCGCCGGCAUUAAUUCCGCUACAAGCGAAAUGAUUGAACCCAUCGUACAAAACUGCCCCCACUCAAAUGAACGUGAUUAGACGCUAUUAACUUAUAAUAUUAGCCGUACGAAAUAAAUGUGCGUGUCAUAUGCGCGUGUGUGUAUGAAAGAGAUAAAGCAAGCCGAGAGAAGAAAUUAUACCCUUGGCCAGAAGCACAACUGGCAGCCCCGUGGACCACACCAAUCAUAAUUUUUAUUUUUGUGAACUUACAUUUUAUCGUACAGCUUGGAUUAUUCCAAUAACGCAUCAUUGAUAUAAUGCACUUGAUCUAGGGUAUAUUUUCUCGAGCGAGAGCAAGAGGUAAACAGAAAAAUUAUAUCCUACGUCCAAUCAGUAUUUUGGCCAUGUGUAUCAGCUCAGCAAACAAAAAAAAAAAAAAAGACUUUCCAAACGAAUACUCUGCCCCUCCUCUGAAACCCUAGCCUAGCACUCUUCCUCCCCUCUCUACUUUCUUCUUUUGCCUUGCCUUCCACCUCUAGCCAUGUAGCUUCCGCAUCUUGGUAGCCCAAUGAGAGCCGCAGUAAGGAUAAGCUCCGAGCACUCUGCAUGCUCUUAUGUAGUUCGUCAAUGAUGGAAUCAUCGAUCAAAUAUUGUCAAAGCUUCGAAAGAAGCAAUCUAGUAGGAGCCGCACUGAGGAUGAGGAGCUUUGAGCUGUCCAUAAACCCUUAUCCAAGCCUAGCAUUGGGAGAGACUGGAGGCCAUGAAAGAAGAGGAAGAGGGCUAGAAAGUGGAAGCCACAUUUUUUUCCCCUCUUUGAGUUCAUCAUGUUCAUGUGAUGGCCUAUUAUUGACUUGGUGCACGCUAAGUUGGGACAUCGGAUGUAGGGUAUAAUUGUGAUAUACAUGUGAUAUGGGAUAUAAUUGUGAUAUCAAUGUGAUACAGGGUAUAAUUGUGUGUGUGUAUGUGUGUGUGUGUGUGUGUGUGUGAGAGAGAGAGAGAGAGAGAGAGAGAGAGAGAGAGAGAGAGAGAGAGAGAGAGAGAGAGAGANNNNNNNNNNNNNNNNNNNNUGUGUGUGUGUGUGUGUGUGUGUGUGUGUGUGUGUGUGAGAGAGAGAGAGAGAGAGAGAGAGAGAGAGAGAGCGCUUAGUCAAGAAGUAGUGGUCCCGAGUGGGAAAAAAAAAGUUCAUGUCACGUUUUCAAGCUGGCAUGCACUCUCCGGGGCGAAAACGACAGUGUCCAAGUUUUCCUUUUGGGUCAGCAAGGAAGUCCAGAAACUCGUAACCAGCAGCCUUGCAUGGAUAAACUAAGGUCCAUGUCUUAUUUUUCAUUUGAAUCACAGUUGCCAAGUCCAGUAACGCGGCACCUACUACCUAGUCUCUUCGCCUAUAUAAAGGAAGGUUGAGAGCCUGGGUGUUCUCAGACAAGGGAAGCUCAACUGGGUCGAGACACGUACGUUAGACUGAUGGAUAGGAGAGGAAGGGAGGAGGCCUCCAUGGCCUGCCUUGUUUCCACUCUCAUGGUGCUCUUUGUUUCUCUGAGCUUGCCUCUUCAGACACAAGCAAAUUAUCCUUACCCAUACAAGUCACCACCACCACCACCUCUCCACCACCACAAACCACCAACACUACCACCUCCUCCUGUUUACCACUACAAAUCACCACCUCCCCCUCCCCAUGUCUACAAGUAUAAAUCUCCACCACCACCUCCUUACCACCCCAUAUCACCAGCUCCUCCUCAUCAUCAUGCCUACAAGUAUAAAUCUCCACCACCACCUCCUUACCACCCUGCUCCUAUCUACAAGUACAAGUCACCACCUCCCCUCAUCAUGCUUACAAAUAUAAAUCUCCACCACCCCCUCUUCACCACCCUGCUCCUGUCUACAAGUACAAGUCACCACCUCCUCCUCACCAUGUCUACAAGUACAAAUCUCCACCACCCCCUCGCCAUUACAAGGCACCUUGUCCUCCUUCCCCUGUCUACAAAUAUAAAUCACCACCACCCCCUCCCUACCAUCACAUAUCACCAACCCUACCUCCCUACCACGACAAGUCACCACCACCACCCCCUCCUGUUUACAAGUAUAAAUCACCACCGCCACCUCCCUAUCACUACAAGUCACCACCACCUCCCCCUCCAGUCUACAAGUAUAAGUCUCCUCCACCACCUCCACAUGUUUAUCACUACACUUCACCUCCUCCUCCUCCCUAUCACUAUUAAGCGGCAGAACACCGUCGAAACCAAAAGGGUUAGUUGCUUGUAUUUUCUGAGCUCAGAAUAUGGUUAAAAAUGAAGUUACUUGGAGUAAUAACAAACGGAUGUUUCUUGUUCUUUCUUUCUUUGUUUUCUUUCUCUUUUUUUUUUAAGAGAGCUAAUUAAUUAAGCCGAAGCCAAAUGGAAAACACAUGGGCAAUUUUAAAACAGCACCAUUGGAACAUAACCCCCCUCUCGUUUUUUAUUAUUUUGCAGGGAUGAAGACUUAUCUUUCCUGAUGGUUGCCAUAUAUGAACCAGCAUCAAGUGCAGGUUUUACUAGGGUUGUGGAGAGUAGAAUAAAGCAAUCGAGGUUCCUUCUACAAAAGAAGUGGCCCCUGAUGCUUCUAUGGAGUGAAUAAAGUUGCUUUAUAUCGUGUAAUGCAGAAGCAUCUGCUUAGUAGCUGGAAAAGAGUGGAAAGAGGAGAUAAGCAUAUGUACUUGCUCUUUCCUGCUUUUGAAUUGUAUUUUUGUUAGUAUUUUGGCAAAUCUCUAGGGAUUUCCUUCAAUCCCUCCUACUAUGUUCAGUUAUAACCCAGAAGUUAUUACAAUCAUAACUGUACUUGCAAGUAGCCAGUAGAAGCAUGUAUGUCCAGUUGUUGAAUGCACGCAUUAUACAAAGUUUCGGGUAUCUGAAGUAAUUAAAAAGUGGCCAUGAAGAGUGAAAAGCUCUUACAUUUAAGGACUAAUUAAUUUGCAUGGAGCGGUUUGUCAUCAUAGUAGAGACAUGAUGAAGAUAAGUUUGAACAGCUAGUGAUGGAGCAAAAGAGGAUGAAAAUGGGGAAAAUCCUAGAACUGUAAAUGAGGAAGUGACUUUAAGUCGAUAAGUAGUUCGACAUCAUGAUCAUACCUAUGAUCAAAUGCAGCUAGCUACAGAUGAGAUUUAUGCAUACUAAAUUUGUUGUUAUUCAUGACCCACCCUUACAUCAACUAUAGCAAUUACAAUAUUGAUUGCAGUUAGGCCAUUUGAAUUUCUACAAAGAACACCUCGAACUACCAAAUUAAUAAGCACUCAGUGAUACCACAAUGAGGCAGCUAAUAAUCUACAAAUCUUGUGGGCCGCAAACAUAAUCCCUAGCUUAUGUUUUCCAUGAUAGAAAUGAUUAAGCCAGUCAGAAAAAACUGACUUCAAAGAGUCACCCUAUGCGAGCAUUACUCCUCUCAUAAUCUCCCUUAAAGAAAGAGCACGCCGCCCAUAUAAGAAUUGCAUGGUAGAACUCUGCAAGUAAUCAUGCCAACCCUCGUUCCUGGGAUCGAUUGAAGGAGGGAGAGAAGCCAUGAUCUCAUGAAACAGCAUUUAUCUUUUUGCUAAUAUUAUCAGGUCUAUGAAUUAAGCUUGAGAGGCAACGCCAGUCCAGAUCAAGACUGAAUCAUAAUGCAUGGUCCCAAAAUGUGGUUAGAAGUGUAAAAUAUGAACUAAAUUAAAGCAGAGAUCAAAAGGACAAUUAAGGCCAUUAUCAGGAAAAGCAGACAGCCGAUACAGAUUUUUGUACAACCUUUGGACUGGAUUGCUUGGAUGGCAAACUGCCGACAAAGACUGAAAGAUCCCUAAAUUAUUGUGAGGUUUCUGACGUAUUCUCUUAGCUGUCUUCUUCCUCCUCCUCCUCCUUUUUAUUUUUUAAUUUGUGUGCCUUGUAUCAUUCACAAUCUUCUGAAAACUUUUCGUUGUAGAUUACGACAUUACUGUUGUUCAACUUCUCUUUCCCUAUCCACUGGUUCUUGCACCAAGCUGGAAAGGAGAGAGGUCAGUGUAGGGUCAUGGAACCAGAAUUUGGUGGCUCAGAUACGUGCCCACCUUCACCCUCAAAGCUGAAACUGAAAGUGCACAGAAGUAGAGAAGGCAAUGAAGAGCUUGAUUAGUCAAAAGAUCGCCAAGAUGAAGACCUUACAGGAAAGAAAAAUCUUAAGCUGGACUUCACUCUUGGAGGGUAGCUUUGGCAGCAACUUCCACGCAAGCUGCAAUAAUUGGAGGCCUUUUCUUUCAAACAUGAUCAUAUCCUAGCAAUAAAGGAGAACCAUGUUGGAUCUAGGAAAAGUGUGCAUGGAGUCUAAUGGACAGCAAUAAUUUUAACUAAUUAGAAUCACGUAAUGGUCGUGUUUUAAAGAAAGAUUGGGCUACUUUCAUUUGUUAGCUUUUAUAUAAGCGUGCCUCUGUCUCCUCUCCAAAACCAUAUAAUUAACUCUUUGCAUGAAAUGUUACCUAUUUUUUUUUAAAAAAUAUAUUCUUUAAUUAGUUUUUUCUAUCUAAUUCUAAGGAUGAUCUAGCUUUUCUGCAAUUUUUUUCUUUACAACUUUGCCACCAAUCGAUCCCGCCAUACUUAUGUGAUUUGACUUCGCUUUUUGUGACUUUUUAUAUAUAUAUAUAUAUGUCUUUACAGCUUUGUUACUCUUGAGCUACGUACUAUUGAUCCUAUAAUAAUUGCAUGCUUUAGCUUUUGUGAUGAUUCUUUUGUCUUUACAACCUGGCCGCUCUUCUCCCACUAGUUUAUUCUGUCGUAUUUCUGUGCUUUGCAUUUGCUUUUUCCGCGAUGUAUAUAUUCUUGUCUAUGGAUUAUGUAACUCAUAAGUGGCGCUUGGACUGUCAGUACUACAUGGCAAUCCAAUUAGCACUGCGACUGGGCUCGCUCAGAGAUGCAAACAACAGCUACUCCCCCACCCUCCCCAGAGUGGGGCCUUUGUGGUAGUGAUCAGGUCAGAAACUACGUACUUACUCUCCAGUAAAAAGAGUGAAUACGUAAUUAUCAAAAUAACUAGCUCAUCAUAAUCAGGCAGACAUUGAGCUUUACAUGAAGAACCAAAGCUUCCACUAUCAGCAAAAUGGAAUAAAUUAGCUUUCAGAUCCGUCCAUUCCUAAGUCACUUAUGAGUAUUUCGAAUACAGACCUAGCCAGCCUGCAAUUCUAUAGUUCUGCUGGUCAUACUAGCUCAACCCAUAAAUGCCAUAUAUUUUCAACCAAUCAUUCAAAUAGAUCUUAUAUAUUUAAAUCUAAUAUACUAUAUUUUUUUAAUAAAUCAAAUAGAUAUAAAUAUAUCUGCCAGAGUUAGCGAGGGUUAGAAUUCUAUAAUAUACUUACGGUAUAGUUGAUACAUAAGAUACUAUUCAAUCGACUGCAGUGUUAAUUUUUUAUACAAAACAUUUUAAUAAAAAAUAAUAUAUGCAUCACAUGCAAAUAAUUUUUUUUUUUUAUGCAUGAAAAAUCUCAGGGUGCAUCCAAUGGCAACAAUCCACGCAGAAGGGUUGGAAUCUACUGACCCUCGCACCGUCAAUCGUUACAGUGGAGACGUGCAAUAAUUGAGUUAUAACGAGGGAACAUCAUCUUGGGACGUGGAGUGUCGGUAGAGCCCGGAGGGCGGGCCCGGUCGGCCAGCCUGGUGUCUCGCUUUCCGCGUCGCCUUGGCCAUUUUUUCCAUGCACGUUAUCAUCACACUCAGCAUCUGACCCUUUUGUUUCUUGUCCCUGCUUGCUUCCGUCUUAUCGGAAUGAGAUUCCACUGCUACUUCCCGUUGUAAUCCGGCAUUAGCUCCCGCUGUCCACCUCCACAUGCGACCCAUUUCUUUCAUGGGCCCCCUCUCUCCUUUCCCACAACCAUCCCCAAUUCUCCACAAUUCGAGUCCAAUAUCCACAUUGUCAACGCUUCAAAUGCUCAAUCAUUAGCCAAAUGCAAAUAAUGCUAGGAGAAAAUCUGGAUCCAUCUUUGAAUUGACUGCUAACUCCUCAUCUUUGGAUUAUCCAUUUAGAUAUAGAACUGAAAUAGGAUCAUCUCCGAAUCUAAUACCAGUGUAUUUAUAUUCAUGUAUAUUUUAUUUUGAUGAAUAUAGAUAUGAAUAUGAAUGCUAUAUUUAUUUUAAAUAGAUACGGAUAUAAAAUCGGAUGCUAUUAUAUAUAUAAAUAUGGAUAUAAGUUUAAUUAAAUUUUAUAAUCAUAGAAUCUAAAGAUAUUGCUAAAUAGAUGAUAAAUCUAAUUAAUAGCAUGUUAAUGUAGUCGUUUAUCUUUCUUAAAAGUUUAUAAGUGCUAUAUAAAAUUAGAUGGAGUUACAAAUAGAGUCGAACAUAGAUAUGGAUACGGAUAUUAGUCAGAUGCUCAAAUUGCUAUUUAGAUUCGAAUAAAUUCGGAUAAAAAAUAGAUACAGAUGGAUAUUAUUCGAUCUACUUUCACUUCUAUUUACAGAUCAAGCUCAACCAUGUAUAAGGACUAAAAUGUAAAAUGAUAUCCACAUAAAAUGGCAUUCAACAAAGGACCAGAUGGUAAGUUUCCCAAUAAUAUUUGAUCGAUGUAGGAGAAGCAUGAUGAAUAUAGUCUAGACUGAACCGGGGAUGCUUAACUCGAUCUCCUGAUGCGACAGCAUUAGGCCAAUGGACACUCCAUUUGCCCUGGGUGGAAUCAAGAUCGGGGUGUUUAUAAAUCAUGCUUUCAACUGCAUGCACAGAAUGCAAAUGAUGCUAUCCAUCAGUGCUCAUUAAUGCAAUGGGAUCAAGAGGCAAGAAUCAACUCCAGGAACCAUGCCUGAAACUAAUCAGGAAUCUCGAUCUUAGAUCAUGUUGGUAACCACAUUGCCAGGGCUAAGGGCCCUGGUGAAUAUAAAUGUGUUUUAAUCUAUAUUCAACAAAGAGACAUUAGUUUGAUCAGUGUUUAAUAUAUUGACAAGUACUUAUGAACCCAUUGCUGCAAUCUAUAAAUUUUUAUUUUUCUUUAUAUAAUUUUUUUAAUUUUCUUUAUUUAAUAAUUUUCUAUUCAAUAUAUAUAUCUGACUAUUUUAAUUUAAAAUUAUUCUAAUCACCAAUAUUUUACUCAAUUAUGAUUAACUUGACUUAAAAUAAUUUCAAAUUUUCUUCAUUUAAAAAAUUGUCCUCAUUGAUUAUUUACUUUUCUUUAUUUCUUAAUUUUCUUUACUCAGAUAUUUUCUACCCAUGAUAAUUAUUCAACUACAAAUCCGAAAUAGUUUCAAAUUUUCUUUGUCUGACUUUUUCUUCAAUGUAAAUAUCCGACCACAUCAAUUGUACUCAAUUAUGAUUAGCUAGAAUUUGAUAUAAUGUUCUAUAUUCAAAAUAUUUUUACUCGUUCACUAUAUAUUUAUGUUAGAAUAAAUUAUAAAAACCUCCUUAAGAUCAAAGAUAAAUUGCACUUACACCUAAUAAUUUGAAAAGGCUACAUUUAUCUCCUUGAGGCUUAUUUUAUAAAACACUUUAACUCAUAACUUAGCAAAACAUUAGCUAGACUGUUAACAUUAAAUAAAACCCGAAAAAAAUUGAAGAAUGACCAAAACAAUCUUAAGUGAUAUAACCACCACUCAACGAACUAAAAAAAUAUAUACAUUCUUCCCUUCAUCCAAAGACAAUUUUGACUUUUUACCUAAGAUGAACAACCUUGCUAACAUUAUUAAUUUAACUAAACGUAAGUAUACAUUUUUAUAAACUAUAAAAUAUAAAUGUAAUAAGGAUAAACAUUAGGAGAAUUUUUGUGAUUUACUCUUAAUUUUAUUUAUUUGGCAUUUUUUUAGAUUUCUUAUUUAGAUGUUUUACAUUCACCAUAAUUAUCUGAUUGUGGCAGAUAUUUUCUAUAUCUAACCAAUUUGUAUAGCAUAAUUUUAACUAGCAUGAGAUUUUUACGCAUUUUAAAAAGAGGGGGUAACUUCGGGACUGAAAAUGACUGAUGAAAUCUGAAAGUAAUAUUUGGACUCAUGCUGCAGCAAGGUCUCACCCUCCUGGAAAUGGACGAGUUAGCUUACUUGUAAAUCUUAGCUACGAUCGGACACCCAUCAGAAAUUCAACGAAUAUCACCAUAUGGUUAACAAAGUGUAUGCAGUAAAGAUGCCCCAGCCUGCUGAAUCCCUUUACAUCAAUAACAUGAAGCUUCCAAGCAUUAUAAACUCCGAAAUAGAAGGAUGGUAACACAUCAACAGCCAAUAUUUAGUAUUUAAUACAAAAAAUCAGUAAAUUUUCAAUUCUUACAAGUCUCUUUCACUAAUCUUCCAAGUGACACACAUGCUUUCUGGCUUCCAGUAGAAAAGGUUCACUAAAGGAACAUUCACAAUAACAAUCAAAACUUGUGUGCGUGGCUUGCAGCUGGUAAGCUCGUAAUUCUUCUUGAUAAUGACAAUGGCAAUAACUAGUUACAACACAUGAACCAAAUCACAGAAAAAGAAAAUGUAGCAAAAAGAUAAUUGCAUACAUCAUGACAUCUCAACAACACUGCUUGCAUCUGCACAUGCCAACACCUCAGAAAAGAGUAGCCAGCAAAACAAAGUAUUCAUUAACCAGAUUGCUAAUAAAAUCACACGGAACAAUUAUGUUGCUGAUUGUUUUGGUAUCUUCCCUUCUUCCUGUUGACUUGUUUUCCCAGUUCCCUGCCAAUGCGGAAAAACAAAUGACUCGUCAACGUCAUGAGUUGCCCUACCAUACAAGAAACCUCAUUUAAAGAAGAGUAACUUUAUCAGAAUAAUGUUGAUACUUUAGCAGACAUAACAAAAAUACCAACACCUUAGAUUUGGAGGUCUGCCAUACCGACCCGUAGUGCCCUAUACCGAUCGUGCUGUACUAUACUGGUAAGGUAGUGAUAGGGUACUGAGGUUUGGUUCAAUAUAUCAGCCAAACUGGUCCAAACCGAGCGGAACUGCUCUACACAACCCAAUACUGGCCUGUAAUGCCCGGUUUUUGAGCAGUAAAUAGCUGAGAGAGAGAAAAGAGUGUUGCAAGCUUGAUGGAUGCCAUACCGAAUCGGUAACGUACCGAUAUGGUUUAGUACCAAUUUUGUGGACCUUGGAUUAAACAACUUCUAUUAUUAUGGGUGCACAGCUAGUCAACUUUAAAUUUAAUAACUAGAUGGAGGAUCUACCUGAAUUUGUUGCAAGAGUUCCUCAAGUUCAAUAGUUAUCUCCGAAAAAGAGGGUCGUUUCGCUGGAACCGCCUCCCAACAUCUUUUCAUCAACUCAACUAAUUUAGGAUGCGUAUUUUCCGGAAUCUCUGGACGCAAACCCUAGUAUCGCACAUAAAGAAGUAAUACGUAAAUAUGGUUAAAAACUAUAUAAAAAAAUAUUUUUAGCAUUUAGCCUACCAAUGAGUCAAUGAUAUCAUUUCCGGCAUUUAUUUGGAUUGAAAUCAUGGCUGUAAUAAUGUCUAUUAUUAGCCUUUUUAAAGGGGAACAGAUAAAACAAGCAAACUAUUUGAUCAUGACAAUAUUAAAAAACUUCUCUUUAUGUAGUUUGAUGGACAUUUAACUUUUAUUUUUUAUCAGAUGAGAAAUGAACAUGUCAAAUAACAGGUAUCAUUCUCCACCAUAUAAAAACUAUUACAUCAAAUAUCCAUUAUAUGUCCAACUAAAAGUUGGGCUUUCGAAACAUAUAAUUACCACUAUUCUAACCAUGUCACUGCCAAAAGUAUUUAUUUCAUGGAGAGAAAUUUUUACAAUAGACAUUGACACCUUGUAUAUUGAACUAACAAAAACAAUCAUGCAAGACAAUAGAAAGCUAGAGUCGGUCCAUGUGUGAAAAGCACUUAAAACCAAAGUUUUUUAAGUCCCAGUGGGACGAAAGGCGUCCCAGCCGUCCCGUCCCAUUCCUGUGAGAAAACGGGAAUAGGAUAGGGUUAGGAAUUCGAAACCCAUCCACAUGGGGAGAGAAGAAGAAAAGGAAAAAGUGGAAGGAAAGAAAAGAAAAAGAAGAAAGAAAGGAAGGGAGAACAAAAUGAAAGAAAGAAAGGAAAGAAGGAAGAAAGGAAAGCGAAAGAAGAAGAAAAAAUAAAUAAGAAAUACAGGAAAGGAUACAAGAAAGAAAAAGGAAAGGAAAGAACGAAAGGUAGAAGAAAAAGAAAGAAGGAAAUAAAGAAGAAAAAAAAAGAAAGAAAGAAAUGAAAGAAGAAGGGGGGAGAGAGACAGGAUGGUGUGGGACUUUGGGGCAUCCCGUUCCAUGAAGAAACCAGGACAUCCCCAUCACAUGAGAUUUAAAACUGUGCUUGAAAUAGUAAGUUACAAUCUUUCUGAUAAAAUAAUACAUUGGAUAGUAACACCAAGACACAUGGAGGAAUGUUAAUAAGACACAUGAAACAUAAUUUUUCAACCUAAAAUAUUUUCACAUGACAAGACUAGAGAGAAUUUGGAAAUAUGCGGACAUUGUCCUUGCAAUUCAGCCAAUGAACUUGAGCUAAAGCACCUAAGCUUGUCACAAGUAGGUAUGAAACAAUGAUAACCAUAGCAAUCUGUAACCAAGACAACUAGAUCCUUAUGAUCAACACAGAGAACAUUUUUCUAUGUGAUGAAAAAUACAAACCAGUCUUACUCCUAAUGCAGCUUGCAAGGGUGUCAUGGUUUCAUAUGGGACCUGCACAAUGACAUCAUAAACUUGUUACUCCACCUCAUAAUCAUAUGGUCCCAUCUUCCAAAAUUUGCUGGAUCAAUAAUCCAUAAGUUGAAAGAGGUGCAAUUUCAGCAUGUACCUUUGAUGUUACUAGCUCCCAGAGCACAAUGGAAAAACUGAAUACAUCAGCCUUAUGAUCAUAUGGUUGAUGAUUUAUAACCUGGAAAGAGCAAAGUUGUAAUAUAAAAAUCAGAAAAUAUGUUUAUCAUUAUUUAAAAUAUAAGUAUGAUAAUACUACUUUACAUGGUAUGAGGUAUGUAUCGAUUAUAAUUGUGGGAGAAAGUAAUUUUGAAGCAUUCACAAUUUAUUUUUCAGGUCAACACAUGUUUAUAGCUUCAAUUUUAUCUGAUAUGAGCCAUAACUUCACCCAUAUAGACCUAUAUCAUGCAAUGUAGUUAUUAUCAGCAAUACAGCUUAUAUAUAAAAUCCUGGAUGAUUAUCCACUUCUUUUAAUAAUUUCAUUUUGCAUCUUCUUCUUCCCACCAGGGCUCUAAAGUCUGCCUCAUGAACAACAGGAAGGAAUUUCAGCAGGAAAGCCCAUUCUAUAACUCUCUCUUUUUAUGGUUGUUUUCAUGAGAUUUUUAUUUCUAGCAAGGCCAAUGACAUCUUUUUUUUCUCCUUUUUAUGCCUCUUAUCCGAAAGAAUUGGUUUUGAUGGGUCUGCUGUCCUUGAAAAUGUCCUUUAUCAUUAAAAGAUUAUAUGAAAGUUUGAACAAUUUCUGCUUCAAGCUCUUUGCCUAUUUUUUAUUUUAUUCAAUUGAUGUUUAUGACCAUCAGGACAGAUACUAGAAGUGAUUUCUAAUUUCAUAUACUAAAUUACAUGUGAAUAACUCCUAUUAUUUCCAUAUGCUUUUGAACAACUCAUGUUUUUCAAUUUAAACAGAUCAUUUUCCUUUGAAACAAAUAGCAUUUGAUAAAGUUGAUGGCUUUUCAUUUGAACCAUAUAAAUUCAACCAACUUUUAGUUGACAUAAAUCAACAAAUUUUAGCAUUGAAUCACUUUGCUCAAAAACACAUCACUAGUCCAAUUGGACCGAUCCGGCCAAACCAACCCAACAUGAGGGAUGGGUGGUCUCGAUGGAUGCCUUCGAGCAGUGUCUAUCUCCCUGCCAUCAUAGAGAGGUAAGCAGUUGGGAAACCAUCACCAAGAGACGAGACUGGAUGUGCAAUUGCCACCAGAUAAAGGUGCAUGCAUGAUCCAUGCGGAACCAUUGCCUAACCGCAUCAGUGAGGAUGCAGCAAGCACAACCACCACCUUGUUCCCUCUCUCUUCAUCUUUCGAUUCGCUACCACCACUGCCAUUUCCAACCUCAAUCCUCUCCAUGCUCACCGUCCAGUGACUAUCUACCACCAAGGAAUCAACUUUUCCUCUCCUAUUUUUCAUUCUCUCUCCUCUGUUUCGAGUCACCAUCCUUCAGAUUCUUUCACCGUUGAGCACCACCACCACCACCUUCCUUCCUCCGGUGUCUCACUGUCAACAAUCACCGCAUCAGCGAGGGGCUCAUCGCCAACCAACUCUCCCUAUUCCCCCUUUUCUCAACUCCACCACCACCUCUCAAAUCCACUGCCGACAUUUAGUUCCACCACCACCUCUCGGCUCUCUCUCUCUCGCCCUUUCCCCUUUCUCAUAUCUAAGCUAGCCUGCCCUACCAAUCAGUGCCUAAGGGCCCCCAGUCACACUUUCCCCUAUUUUUUCCAUCAUCUCCAGACCCUUAUGCUCCACCUCCUGCGUUUUGAUUGUCGGUGCCUUGAUUCCAUCUUAAUGCAGUGCCCCGCCAAAUUUCAUCACCACCACCUUGUCGAGCCUUAUCAUUCCUUUUUUGCACCAUUCACAACUCUUACAGCGCCGAUGCCAACCAUGACAAACUGACCAUCCCUCCAUUCUACUUUCUUCUCCCUCUUGAUACCCGCCACCCUUCUUCCUCGAAUUUCUAUUAACUCUCUUCAAAACCCUCACUUAUUGGGGUAAUCUUUGACCCUAACCCUAAACAAACCCCCAUCACUUUGUAAUCAUCUUUCUUAUCAUUUUCCCUGACCCUAGGUGGUCUAAUUUUGUGUAGGGGAAUGACUUUCCGAGCAAGAAGACUAGUGUGUAGCCUUUUGCACUAAUCACUUGAUCGAGGUAAGCCCCUAACCUCCUUAUUUAAUUUCAAUAGUUCACUUGGAAUAAGGUUAGGUUAGAGAAAACAUAGGACUACGAUUAAUUUCGGAAAGGGAUACUAAAAAAUAGAAUUUGAAACUAAGGUACAUAGCCCCUUUCACAAUUUGGAUUGAAUUCCUCUCCUUGCUCGAAUAGGACUAGAUAUCCUAAAAUAAAUAUGAUUAUUAGAAAUAUUCUAGAAAAAAUUAAAAUUUAGAAAUAUUGUAAAACAAACUAAAAUUUCUGAGGAGGUAGAUCUCGACUUUUACAUUAACUCUGCCUUCUAUCGCUCCGCCUGAUUCUUCUCGAAUAGAAAACUAUGCCGAUCAAAGUUUUAUCCAAAAAGAAAACUUUCGGUUUGGCCAACCCAUUUCAGAGCCUAAAUGGUGGAAUUUUGUUCCAAUUCAACCUUUCCGUUGUAGAUCUUGAAAAGCUACCCAAUUUGAAAAAAAAGAUCAUCUCAAUCGGGCAUAGUAUAACCAAGACAUAACCUUCGGAAGUUUGUCAUGCGACUCGACUUUCCGAUGUGGUAGAUCUCGCUCCAGAACCCUAUCUAGCCCUGCUUAUAGUGGCCAAAGCAUUCCAUAUCGAGUCUGGUGAUCCUCUUGAAUACUUAUAGUGGCCAAAGUCUCCAUCGAGUUUGGUAAUCCUCUUGGAUACUCGUAAUAGCCAAAGUGAUCCAUAUCGAAUCUAAAGAUCCUCCUGGAUUAAGGCUCCCUCUAUUUAGGGUAUUUAGUUCCCACUAAAUUAGAACUGAAAGUGGAAAAACAUCUGCUUUCCCGUCUCACGGUCGACCCACCUAGCUUUUCUCGAAGAUGGUUUCUGACCUAGCUCUCCUUUGCUCUCGAGUCUCGGCAAACCACUUGCUCUGCUCUUGCAUCUGAACUUCGUGGUAGGUACCCUCCUUGUUCUUCCUCGUUGAUGACUAUGACAAUUCCUCCUUUGAUCUCAAUCUCGGUAAAUCGGUCAGUGGAACCAACAUACGAGAGUUUGGCCUCUUAUAAGUAGUAUUAAGUUCUCGUACCAUCAUCACAAACUUAUUCCAGGCAUUAACAAGUCGCUUUGCCUGGGCAUCAGCUACAAGGUCAAUGUUACCUUGUGUUCUAGAGGCAUUGAUCAUGAACUCCACAUCUUUCAUGAGACGAUACUUCUUCAGACGCCAGUAUAAGAUUACAUCUCGAUCCCAAAGGUACGGGAUCCCAAGGAUAACCUGCAAUCCAAAGGAACUACUUGAUCGGACUCUAUAUGGAUUACCAGGAGCUAAACAACGGAACAAGUAUCCCUUGCAAAGAAUUGAUGAUCUUUCAAUCCGUUACAAGGAUUGCAAGUCUUCUCAAAAAUUGAUCUUCACUCCCGGUACCACCAGUUAAAAAUUACGGUUGAAGAUGUGCCCAACAUAGCUUUUAGAACUAGGUAUAGACAUUAUGAAUCUUGCUGAUGCCUUUUGGGUUCACGAAUGCACUUGUAGGCUUUACGGAUCUAAUGAAUAGGAUGUUCAAACCCUUCCUAAAUCAAUUUGUGGUAGUGUUUAUUGAUGACAUCUUAGCAUAUUUGAAUGGCCAAGAAGAGCAUGAGGAAAGGAUAAUACUGCAUACCCUCAAAGAAAAGAAACUUUAUGCUAAGAUGCAAAAAUGUGAGUUUCAGUUGAGCAAUAUGAGCUUUUUGGGCAUGUGAUCUCUAAAGAUGGCAUCUCUAUGGACCAGAAGAAAGUAGAGGUAGUGGUUGAAUGGAGUCAGCCCACUAAUAUAUCUGAGGUGCGCAGCUUCCUAGGAUUGGUUGCAUAAUACUAAAGAUUCGUUAGGAAUUAUCUUGCAUUGCUAUACCAUUGUCUCGCUUGAGUUAGAAACAAGCCAAGUUUGAGGAAACAAAAGAGUGCGAACAAAGCUUCGAGGAGCUAAAGAAGAAAUUAGUGAUAGCCUUGGUCCUAACCAUUCCAACAGUGACAGGUUUCAUAAUUUUUAGUGAUGCAUCUUAGAAGGGUUUGGACUGUGCUUUGAUAUAGAGUGGAAAGGUAGUAACCUAUGCCUCCAGAGAGCUAAAGCCAAAUGAGAUGAAUUAACCCACUCAUGAUUUGAAGAUAGCAGAUGUGGUCUUUGAAAAGUGGAGGCAUUGUUUGUAUGAGGAGCCACGUAAGGUCUUCAUAGAUUAUAAAAGUUUAAAGUACAUGUUCACCAAAAGGACCUAAACGUGAGGUAGAGAAGAUAGUUGGAGUUAGUAAAAGAUUAUAAUCUGACUAUUAAUUAUCACUCAAGUAAGGCAAAUAUUGUAGCUGAUGCUUUGACCAGGAAAUCUUCAAGUGAUUUAGCAACUUUGAUCACCAUACAAGGGCAUGUUCUGAUGGAUCUAGAGAGGCUUGAAAUUAAGGUACGGCUGCAUCAUCCUGAUGCCUAGCUAGCUAAUCUUAAAGUGCAGCCUACCCUAAUCAAGAGGAUUAAGGCAUCUCACGGAUAAGAUCCAGAACUCCAAAGAUUAGAGAGGCAGAAUUUGAUGCCACCUAGAAUUCAGAAUACAUGAAGAUGGCUCCCAAAGGUUUGGUAGCAGGUUAUUUCUACCUAAAAUUCUAGAGUUGAAGAAAAAGAUCUUGGUUGAGGCCCAUAAUUUCACAUACAUUGUGCAUCUGCCCAUAAUUCCGCAUACAUUGUGCAUCUAACAACACCAAGAUGUACAGAGAUUUGAGAGAGAAUUUCUAGUGGAACGAUAUGAAAAAAGAUAUUGCUCGGUAUGUUGCAUAGUUUUUAGUGUAUGAGCAAGUAUUUAAUGCAAGGUUCGUCGUCUCGAUACUAAACCCCGUACUGGUGUCAUCCUAUUAUAGUGUCGAUACACGGCAUAGCACGAAACGGUGAGAUAUACUGAAUGUCGGUAUGGUACGAGACGGCGAGGCAUACCGAAUAUCAAUACGGUAUAAGACUGCAUACCAGUUUGGUAUCGCUAGGGUACGGUACCUACUGGUACGGCAAAUCUACGUUUAGCGUAUGAGAGACCUGCAGGACCAUCGCAAUCCAUUCUCGUCGCUUAGUGGAAAUGGGAGCAUAUUACCAUGGAUUUCGUGACCGGUCUAUGUAGAACCCCUAAAGGUAAUGAUGCUAUAUAGGUGAUUAUUGAUCGAUUGACAAAAUCAGCACGCUUCUUACCCUUCAAAAUUAGUCUUUCUAUGGAGAGGUUGGUAAAUUUGUCCAUAAAGCAAAUCGUGAGGAUGCAUAGAGUCCCAAUUGCUAUUGUAUCGAAUAGAGAUACUAGGUUCGUAUCUCAGUUCUCUAAGAACUUGCAUAAAGCUACUGGUCUAGAUUGAGUUUCAAUACAGCUUUCCACCCACAAAUUGAUAAGCAGUUUGAAAGGACCAUACAAAUUCUAGAAAAUAUGUUGAGGGCCUAUAUCUUACUUGGAUGGUGCUUGGGAUAGCCACGUCUCUGAUAGAAUUUGCCUAUAAUUACAGCUAUCAAAGCAACCAUUCAGCAGGCACCAUUUGAGGCACUAUAUGAUAAAGGGUGCGGGUCCGCCAUGCUGGGAUGUUGGCGAGAAGAUUGUUGGGCCUUGAAUUGGUAGAGCAAAUUAUGAAAAACAUUCAGCUAAUUACGGAAGGACUCCGUACAACUCGGAGUAGAUAGAAAAGUUUUGGAAUUUUAAGUAGGAGACCAUGUUUUCUUGAAUGUAUCGUCUACUAAGAGUGUGAUAAGGUUUGGAAUUCGCGGCAAGCUGAGUUCCAGAUAUAUGGGUCUAUUUGAAAUUUUUGAUAGAGUGGGAGUAGUAGCAUAUUAGCAUUACACCCACCAUCUGAAGUACACAAUGUGUUUCAUGUAUCAAUGCUGAGGAAGUAUGUGCUUGAUCCUAGUUAUGUGGUGGAGUUUGAGUUGUUGAAACUUCAUGAGGAUCUAACCCACAAGAAGUACACAUUAUGGAUUGAAACUUCAUGAUGCUACACUAUUCCUCAUAACAAAGUUCAGUGAACCAAAUACAUUUAGAGGGAGGCUUAAUGGAUACUUGAAGAUGAGAUUUAGAGUUAAGUACCCUCAACAUUUUAGGACCAAAUAAUGUCAAUUUCAAGGAUGAUUUUUUUUUCUUGGGGAGAGGAAGCAAGAACCGAUACAAAUCCAAAUGGACCAGCCCAGAUGAACUGACCCAAAUUGAGGGUUGGAUUAUCUCAUAGCUACAACCCGAAAUAGGAGAGGCAGUCAUCUCCUUGCCAUCAUGGAGAGGAGAGUUGUUUUGAAACCAAUGCUAGGAGAUGGGAUCGAAUGCAGAAUAGCCACCGAAUAAAGGUGACAUGCAACUACCAUACCAAUAAAGACGAGGCGAGCAGAACCAACACCAUGUUCCCUCUAUUUCUCUACUUCCUCUUUCGAUAAGCGACUACCACAACCAUUUCCAACCAUAAUCUCUGCGUGCUUGUCGUCCUCGGCCUAUCAACCACCAAGGCACCAACCUUUCCUUGUUUUCUAUUUUGUCUCCCCUAUUUUGAGUCAUCAUCUUUUCAGUUCCUUCAUUGUUGAGCACCACCGCCACCACCCUUCUUCCUCCAGUUUCUCACUAUCAACGGUCGUUGCAUCUGCAACGGGCUCAUCACUGGACCAGCUCUCCCUAUUCCCCUUUUUCUAACCUCUCCACCACCUCUCAACUCCACUGCUGCCUCUCAAAUCCACCAACAUUCACUUCCACCACCGCCUCUCAACUCUCUCUCUCCCCCUCUCCCUCUCUCAAAUCUAAGCCGGCCUACCCAGCUCAUCAAUGCCUAAGGACUCCAUAUCUCACUUUUCUUGAUUUUUUCCAACCCCGGACCCUGCUUUCCUCCUCCCGUGUUUUGAUUGUCGGCACCUUGAUUCGAUCUCACUGCCGCACCCAUCGAACUUCACCACCUCCACCUCUUCGUGCUUCGUCAUGGCUCUUUGUUCGCUCCUUUCUGUGCCAUUCACAACUCUUUCAGAGCCAACAUCAACCGCGAAAAACCGACCACCCCUCCGCUCUACUUUGUUCUCUCUCUCUCGACAUCCGCCACCCUACCUCUUCCCCGAAUUUUCCUGUUAACUCAAGGUUCUCAUUUGUGGGGUAAUCUUCCACCCUAACCCUAAACAGACCCCACCACUUUGUAAUCAUCUUUCUUAUCAUUUUUCCUAACAUUAGGUGGCCUAGCUUUGAAUAGGGGGACGACUUUCCAAGCAAGAAGACUAGUGUGUAGGGUUUUACACUAAUUACUUGACAUGCAAUCCCCAUGUGUAUGGAUGGAUGUGGGCCACGGGCUAGUCUCAUUAAUAUCAUUGCCCUAUCACAAGCUAGAAUUGUGGCACUAUUAUUGCCCCGUCAUAUGCUAGAAAUACGACACUAUUGUUGCCCUAUCAUGGGUUGGAAACAUGAUCGAGAUUAGCCCAAAGAUGAAUUCAAAUUAAAUUACAUUUGUAAACUGAUGUCUGCUAGAUUGCAUACCUUACAAAAUAAUAUAAAUGGGAAUGACCAAUUUAGUGAAAGUAUGGAGUUAUUAAUUUUACUUGCUUAAUUAUUAUUGUUAUUGUCUCAUGUAAUGAAAGAAAGAUGCAUUCAAGUACUAGUUCUUUUGAAUAUAUAUUUCAUAAUGAUGCUAUCUUUAUCUUAUUGUAACUGCUAUACUUGUUGUUAGACAAUUUCUUUUGUCCAUUAUUUAAUAUAUAUCCAUGUGUGGGGGACAUUCUUACUGAGUCGUUAGCUUAUAUCAUUCCUUUAUUUUUCCUUUCAGAGCCACAAGAUGCUUAGAACUAGGCUAAGUUUGUGGUAAUGAGUAAGAAGUGGAAUAAUUAGAGCAUCUCUGAUACCACUCGAGUGUUUGGAACUUAUAGCUGGAUAAUUAUUUGUUACUAGUGAAAAUAAUUUAGUUUGUUUUAAAAAAAUAAUGAACAUGAUUUAUAUAUUAUUCAAUCUAAUUGAGAUUUUUUAUUGAUUUGAAUGUCUUGCAUAUUCUCUCGGCUAUGCUUACAAAAAUAUGCAGCCAUGUCGUGCCCAGCUUGAGUUUGGGUUAGGGGUGUGACAACAUAUCAAAAUGAUAAACUACACAUGUUACCUGGAAAUGCCGCAUGAAAAAGAGAUUAUGCUAAAUAUUCUUUAGUAUUCUAUUAGUUUGUAGGCCUUUGUACUCCUUUUGACUUCAGUACAUUACAUUAUUUUUUGUUCAAUCCAUUUUUGAUUCCUAGGCUGACUCAAAUGGGCUUAACAAACAGAACUACCAUAUACCAUAUAUGAAAAGCAUUCAGUUUUAUCCAUGCAAUUUGGGUAGCAUAUUCAUCUAAUUGUGUUUAUAUAAUCUUUAACAAUUAAAUGACGAUAUGUUUUCCUGUACCUUAAUGUUUUAUACAAUGAAUUUCAUAGUGCAUAUUUCCAUUUAAUUUCAUUAUGUGUAACAAAAGCAUUUUGUCAGAUUGUAUAUAAAAUGCUUUGACUCCAUUCUGAACUUUUAAAUCCAUAAGCAUAACCAAAAUGAUCAAGCCUAGUCCCAACUGUGUGGUCAGAUUUGUGAAUUCACAGUCGCCAUGUUUACCUAUUUUGGGUUGCCUCUGAUGUUGUUUCAGGAUUCAUGAAUCCUUAUUCUAAUUUUCAAUUAAAAGUACUAUAAAAUUUCAAAUAGUUAGAUAAAAAUAUAUGCAGGCCAGUUAAUAAUUUCUUCUUUAGAGAAAAUUAAUCAACUAUUUUAAAUCAGUUUCACUAAAUCUUGCUGAAACACAAUCAUCAUUAACUGGAUUGUGUGUAUAGCAUGAUUGAUACGGGAACCUUCCUGAGGUCAGGUAAUAUUUCACUUGAUAAGACUAUUUGUAGAAUGAACAGAAAAAAGAAACAUGGAGGGACUAGUUUAUAUAUCUGUAGCUACCAUUUUGGAAAGCUGUGGCAGCGAUCAGUGCCAUCAGUUAACAUUCUAAUGUCUACCAUGUCAUUUAACAUAUCAGAUUACAGUAAAAAAACAGUUUGAGAAAACAAGUUCGAAAAAUUUAGUAAUGAUUGUUAUUUUGCUGAAAUGGCAGUAAAAGAGAAAUUCAAAGGACAAAAACAAAACUAUAAGCUGAGGUUCAUUACAUAAAAUUAUAGAUUAAUACAUACUAUCAACAGAUAUAGCAAAAUAAGUAAUCCAUUUAUAAAAUGAAGAUAAUACCUCAGGUGCCAUCCAUCUGUAUGUCCCAGUUUCUGCAGUCAUAUCUCCCUCUUGACUUUGAAACCGAGCCACACCAAAGUCUGCCACCUUCACAACCUAGGUUAGUAGAAGUAAAACUAUAAAACUCAUCUUGAGUGAAGUUGCAUGAUCCUCAACUAAUAAAUUAAUGAAUUGCAUCAGUAUUACUUAAACAAAGAAUAACCUCAAAUACAAAAAACAAAGAAUAACCUCAAAUAUAAAAUACAUAUAUAUAAAUCCAUGCAAACAAGUACCUCAAUCAUGUGUUUAUUUUUUUCAGUUACAUUAUGAGUUUUAAUAUGAAAGGAAGGAUCUGAGAAGUCUUAAGGACAAAACUUAGCAGAAACACAGGGACAAGGGCCUUGGAACAACACACACAAUGCCUCAAGCAAGAAAAUAAAGCCUCUGGUCACUUCCAAACCGGAUACAGAAAACAGACCUCGGGUCCAUGGUUUUGGAGCAUCUAAAAAUUGCUGGUAGAAACCCCACAUUCUCAGACUAGGACAAAUGGUAUAUCCUCUUAAUAUAAAGGGACAGAAUAAUGCCUUUCCAUUGUUUCCUUGAAAGUUGUUCAAGAAAAGAUAGAUGUUAGUCAACAUUAAGUAAUGAUCGUCAAAGAACACCAAAAUAUCUAGCUUGUACCAGAGUCAUGUAUAGAAAGUUUGGUGAAUUUGCAUCUAAUUUUCAGCUAAAUGAAUUUUACUCACCUAAAAACAAAUUAUGCUGCUACAUCUAAUUCAUAAACAAGUGUUUCUUCUAAGGAAGAAAAGAGAAAAAAACAUGUAGAAUAAAUUACUGGUUCAUUCUAGCAAAAAUUAUUGAAUCUUGAAUUUUACUUUUCUGGUAAAAUUUUUAAAACAUAGCCUCAAUAAAAUCUUAAGUUUGAAAAUACUAGAGAAAAUGUCAUUUCUCUGACCGAGAUUAUGCUGGGUUAGUUUUUGGGAGGUGAGAAAUAUCAAGCUUCUAUCCUUUGCACCACGUCACACCAUCUCCUUCCUUACUGAUUUUAUCCUUGUCAAUGCAACUUUAACAUUUCUUCAAAGAUACUAUAUCCUAAAUCCUAGUUCUCCCAAAUUUUAUUGCAUAUCGACCUCAGCAUUCUUGUCUAAGAUUAAAAUCUCAAAAUGUAGCUUUGACAAGACAUACCAAUCCAAUUACCUCUGGAAUUUUUGGAUGACUCAAGGUACCAUAUCUUCCUUCUGAAAAAAGAAAAAAAUUGCAGAAUUGUAAAAUAGAACGCAAACAAAUAUAUUUCACUAAGCACAUGAACUAGUCCUAUUCCCAAUUUGGAUUGUAUUUCCUAACACAAAAUUUUAUGUGAGAAUACAAACUUUAGCAAGCAAAUUCUUCUGCCGUUAAAAAAGUUAAUACUAGUUAGUGUAAACAAGUUAGUUUACCAGUCAAAUAGUCCAGUUAUGAAAUUCAUUAAUAUAAAGCUUAUGUUUUCUAAGCAGAGAAAAAUUCAUGUAUUAUGACCUUUUCUUUCAUAACAUGUGCUAUUUGAUUGCUGCUUCUUUUUUGUAAUGAACAUAUGCAAAUAUCAUAGCACACAAUCUACUGGAAACCUCCAGGCAUGAAAUACACUAGAACUCUUCCAUUCCCUCCUUAACUUCUCUUAUUCUGAUGGCGAUAAAAAAUACAUACAUUAAAGAAAAAGGUGCAUCUGUUAUGUUUUUGAUUGCAGAAACUAAUACUUGUUAUAAAGUCAGCUUUCUGAAUUUUUUUUCUUUCCAUAUGCAUCUAGCUCCACACAACCAUAAAAGCAUGAUCUUGAAAUACAUAAAAUUUUUAAGACACCAAAGAUGUAAGGAAAUCAUAUAAUCAUAUAUAAUCCAACAUAAUGCAAUAUCAACAGAGGCUACACACAUUGUUGGUAUCCAUCAACAGGUUAGCUGUCUUUAAAUCCCUAUGGAUGAUGUCGUUUUGGUGCAGAUAGCUCAUCCCUCUGGAGAUAUCAAUGGCAAACUUCAGCAAAAGAGAGAGCUCCAAAACAUUAUGAUGCUUGUGCAGGAGGUCAUAGAGAUUUCCUCCAGUCAUGUACUCUGAAAUACAAUUUUAACCAUUAUGUAAACCAUGAGAAUAUAUUCCAAGAUGACAAACACCAGCCAAACAAAAGUGCUAUACAUAUGCUUUCUGCCCAUUAAUGGCAAGAUAAACAAUAUGAAAACGUUCUCAAGAACUGAAACUAACUAUUCAUUAUGAAAUUUAUCAUCUUAAACUUACAAGAGAGAGACAAUAUCCUAAUGCAGUACAAGAUGUUUCCCUUGUCAAUAAUAUACAAAAUUAUGUAUAGAGUAUAAGUAUAAUGGUGAACAGAAACCAUGUAUGAUGUUAAUGAGGCGAAUUCCAAGGAUCAUAAAGAUGAUUCAGCUCAAAUACAAAACCCACUAUACUAGAAAUACUAUAUGAAACUAUAAUGAAGACAACUACUUGCAAAUAAGCCAUUAGAUGAUUAAAUUAUGGGAAACAAGUAAGAAUAAUCAAGGAUGUAGUCAGUUAAAUAACUUGUUCAGUGUAGUUGCAACCAUUUGCAGAUAAUUUUGAAAAAAAAAAUCCAGAUCCAAAACAAAUUGUAACUGAUAUCCAUGAAAACUUCUUUCUUCAGGAUUUGUACAAGAUUUUUCUAUGACAUUAUGGAAUAAGACAGAAGUGUCAUCACCUUGAUCAGCUACAUGCCAUAAUUACUAUAAUUUAAAAAAUCUUUUUUAAAAAACAAUAUUCUCAUAUAAUUGCAGUUAAUUUUGAUCAGGAUCGCUUAACAUGGAUUCAGUAGCAGCGAUUGAACACAUAUCACGGCCCAAACUGUUUUGGUUGUUGUCAUGGGUUAGUGGUUUGGCCGGCCAAGACCUCCAUUUAACAUAUUUUCCUUACACAUUUGUGAUUAGUGAUCUUAAUCCCUAAUCUCACCUUUUCGUUCCCAUAGUGGUCCUCAUGAGCUUCAUUUGGAGAAGGCCUCUAUUUUCCAUACCAGGAGGCACACCAAACAAUCCUCAAUAGUACCCUAGCCAUGCUCCGCCGAACCGGUACCGAAACCCAUAUUGGUCGGCGGGCGGGUUGGUACUGUACCGGUUCAGUACCGUACCGACAUACGGUACGCUUGGGUGUGCCAAUACUAUACCAUACCCACAUACGGUACGCUUGGGCGUGCCAGUUCGGUGUGUCGAUACUAUACCGUACCCACACACGGUACGCUUGGGAACCAGCACGCCCAAUUUUUUUUCAAGUUUUUCAAGUUUAAUUAAUUGGUAAUCAAUCUUUUGCAACUUUUUAAAUGGUUUUAAGUCUAAUUUGAUGGUUUUUUGUUUUUUUUAAUCUUUUUAUAUUUUUUGAUGUUUUUAUGAUUUGAUUUAAUCUAAAUGAUAUAUUUUAUUGUUUUAAAGUGAUACAAAAUAUAAAGACCGGCACGCCCAAUUUUUUUUUUUUCAAGUUUUUCAAGUUUAAUUAAUUGAUAAUCAAUCUUUUGCAGCUUUUUAAAUGGUUUUAAGUCUAAUUUGAUGGUUCUUUGAUUUUUUUUGAAUCUUUUUAUAUUUUUUGAUGUUUCUAUGAUUCGAUUUAAUCUAAAUAAUAUAUUUUAUUUUUUAAAAUGAUACAAAAUAUAAAAUGAUUAGUGAGAUGUUAUAUGCCACAAGAAGCAACAUGAAAUAUCUUAAAAUCAACUAAUGAGAUAAAAAAAUAUAAAAUAUUACUGUCAAUUAAAUAUUUAAAGUACAUCCUACAUAUCGAUAUCUAAAAUUUCGUCGAGUGGCAAUGCCUCUUGUAGAAAUCUAGAUCAUUAGCAUAGCCAGACGGCAUAUCAACCCAUCCUUCUAACCAAGCAGUGUUGUAGUUUUUUAUGUUCAUCCUAUAAAGAACACGCUCUAGAUUAUAAGCACUCUCAGAUCUCUCGCUGAAGUUCUGACUCUGAGAGAUGUCCUCUAUCUGAUAAAACGGUUGUGGAAGGAUCCAUCCGAAUAAACCGGCAGCAAAAUUCGAUCCAUAAGAUACUCUGGACAGCAUAGAAUAGUAGCCACCGGAAGACAAUGCCUCAGACACUAUAUCCAUAAUUGUAUCCGUACGGAACAUAGGUUGCCUAUGACUGUGGGUAAUAGAAUCCAAUAUACGACUCGAAAUCUGAAACAUCUAUGGAUUCUACUCUACGUGCAAGGUCAUCUGUAGCUGCAUCAUGUCCUCCUGAAUGAUCUCAAGAAGUCUAUCAACUAUAUGCAAUCAUAUCCUCGCAGGCUCUACCAAAUCGUGCACCGUGAUCUCUAUUCUGUGUAGCAUGCGUAAACUAGAACUCACCCGUGAAUUGAAGAUAAUCCUAUGACUGUCUCAUAAACGGUGGUCUCAUGUCCUCCACUCGCUAGCCAGCAAAUCCAUGACCACCAAAGCUGCUACUCCUAGUUUUUAAAUCUAAGUGAACAGGCUCCUCCACACUCUCCAUAGGGCCUUUUGAAAUAUAUAUUAUGUGAUACUAAUUUUCAUAAUUUUUUGAAUCCAACAAUGGAUACUACAUAUAUUUUUUUAAACUCGUGGACUUGCCCAGGCCACUAUGCAUAUGAUCGCAUCAAAACUUGAAUAAAUGGACACCAAAUUUUGCUGGAGAGUAGCUUGCAUGCCCCUAAAUACGCCUAUGAUUUUACAAAUUUUUUUGAAUUUUAUUUUUUAUACUUUUAUUUUUAAUCUGAAAAUAUAUUUUUAAUUUUUAAAAAUUAUAUAUAAUUCAAAAAUUAAAAUUUUUUAUGUCAUCAUGUAGAUCAUCCAUAGAUCAACAACAUAUCAUUAAAUCAAGCCAAAAUCAAAAAUUUUGCUGAGAUCUUCUCUUAUUUGGCAAAUUUUGAGCUAUUUUUUGGAGCCCAAAAAAAUAGAAAGAAUGAGAAAGAGGAGACACGCCUUAUUUAGACUUAGAUCUUUCUUCAAUCAUGCUGAAUCGGUGUGAUUUUCACCGCGAAGAAAAGAAAAAAAAGUUUAGAGAACAGAAUAAACAUUGGGAAGGCUCAAGAGUUUCUCGGGCCUUUCCAACAUCUUAUUAUAACAAAGAAGAAAAGGGAAGGAGGCCAGUUCCGAACCAUCCCGACUCAGUGCAAACCGUCCAUGGAACCGGCUGGUUCCGGCAAGUUCGCGACCGGUUCUGAUAGGUUCUGUGAGGCCCAAUGAUCUUACAUCGAAAAGACUCAUUCCAGAGCCUGAGCAUAUGAGGGGGGUAUCUCCAAAUCCUGCAGAUGCAUUUUGGGUGGAAAACAAAACCGGAGAAGGGUCUGAGCAGUGCGUGCGGCGCGCGUGCGAGCCCCGGAACCGGACAAUAUCGGGCAGGGGAGCCCCGUGUUCUCCCCUCAUGUGGCUCCCACAUGGGCACUGGGUGCCGUACGUGCCCCAUGGAGGUAGGGGNNNNNNNNNNNNNNNNNNNNNNNNNNNNAGGACGGCUCUUGUCCGAUGGUGGAAAGAGUGUGAGGCCCAAUAGUCCCGCAUCGGAAAGACUCGUUCCAGAGUCUGGGCAUAUGAGGCGGGUGUCUCCAAAUCCUGCAGACGUAUUUUAGGUGGAAAACAAAACCGGAGAGGUAUCUGAGCGGUGCGUGCGGCGCGCAUGCGGGCCCCGAAACCAGACAAUAUCUGACAGGGAGCCCCAUUUCUCCCCUCAUGUGGCCCCCACGUGGCCACUGGGUGCUGCACGUGCCCUGCGGAGGCGGGGGCGUGACAGGUUCUGUCCAGUUUCGGCCAUUUCUAGCCAAUUCGGGACCAAUCCUGAAUUUAAUAGCCGAACCGAUCCGAUCCCCCACCAAGCCAGCUCAGUACGGGCCGAACCAGAUGGUUCAGUUCGGUUCGGCUGACCAUGACCUUAGCUUUGCCCCAACACCCUUCCCUCCUAUGCUAAGAUUGCCUUUCUACCUCCACUACCCAAAACCCCAGUCUCCCAUUCUCCCUAGCAGCACUGCCUCUUUGACACCAACAACAUCCACUCUGACUUUCUGAUCUUUGAUGCCAAAAUACUGCUCCAUUGUUGUUAAAAGCCCCAUCAUUAAUAGAUCCAAGCCCAUUCCCCCUCCACCACCAUAUCCUACAUCUGGUUCCUUCGGGAUUGUAGGGGGGUGAUGGGGAUUUAUGGUUUGAGAGAUUGAGCUUUAGGUGAAUGUGGCUUUAUUUUAUUUUAUUUUGCAACGUAUAAAGUUUGAUCUUUCAAAAACUUGAACCCAGACUGUGAGGGGGAUAAUAGCGAUUUAGGGUUUGAGAGUGAUUGGGCUUCAAGGGGAUUGCAAUUUUAUUUCAUUUUACAUGGUACAUAUUAAAAUUUGAUCUUUCAAAAAUGUUGAACUAGGGUCUUUAACUACUCAAGUGGUCAAAGCAUCAGGCUAAACAAUUAAAAAAAAAUCAAACCUACGUCUAGAAACUAGACUCGGCAGUUGGCAACUACGACAAGACAAUCUAUUCAACCUGAGCAGGUUUUAAAAUACUAUUUGAUACUUGAGAAGGCUCAACAGACAAAUUUAACACUCUACAUCCAAGGUCUGUCAAACUAGUAUCGGAGCUUGCAUUGGUCAGAAACAAGUUUGGUCUGAUAUGGGUCCUUGUUGUACUAUGCCAGAGCAUACCAAAACAAAGAGAGGCGAAGAGGGAGGACAAGGAGGGACAGAGGGGGAAGAGAGAGAGAGGAGGGAGGGAGAGGGAGAGGAGAGAUUGGAAGGAGAGAGAGAGGGGGGGAGAGAGAGAGGUGAGGCCGAGGCGUNNNNNNNNNNNNNNNNNNNNGAGAGGAGAGAGGAGGAGAGAGAGAGGAGGAGGAGGAGGAGGAGGAGAGAGUAGAGGAGAGAGAGAGGNGGGGGAGGAGAGAGAGGUUGAGGCCGAGGCGUCCGACGACAGCUUCAUGAGGGGAUAGAGGUUGGAGGGAGAGGGAGUGACGGGAAGUGAGGGCUUUGCAAGGGCUCGAAGUAGUUUCGAGCCAUCCGGAUUCGGUGAUAGGGACCGCGAGAGAGACAGCGCUUACCUUGAGUGAUCGUCCGACAGAGAGAGAGCGGAUGAUCCGAGCAUCUAGCAAAGAGAGCAGGAUGGAGUCGUCGAAGGCUCUCGAAGCUCUAGUUCAAACCGAGAGGGAAGGAGAGAGAUUUUAUAACUCAAACCAACCCGCACGACUAAACUGUUCCAGGCUAACAUCGAUUCAGGCCGAACCGCUUGGUUCAGGUUGCUUCAACAUUCUUUGUUGUAAUCUUACUCCAACAAGUGCCAUCACAGCUCAAUUGGAUUUCAAAAAUAUGAAGUGUCCGCUCUAGUCAAAAAUGAAUCAAGAGGAUAGAUUGUUUGCUUAAACUGUGUGAAUUAUUAUUAUCUCCACCCUAAUAGGUUCUCUUUUCUAAUGUUUGUUGACUAGUGUAUUCGUCUGUGAUGAUUAAGUAGUUAUGAGAACCCACGUAGGCAUGUGUUAAGUCUCACAUCAACUAUGUACAGGGUAGAUCUUGGAUACUUAUACAGGGCCAAAUAACCCAAAUAAUACCUUCCAGCUAAUCUUUUUGGAUGAGAUCCUGGAUUGUGAUAAAUGGUAUUAGAGUGGAUCCAACCCAUAGCCCAUGUGUACUGGGGGCACUGCAGCAUAGGCCCCUUGGGUUGACCACGGACUGAUCAUGAUGGUUGUGAUUGGAAUUAUGGUACUUAUGUUUGGAUUUGAAUGAAUUUAGACCCUUAACCUAAAGAGAAUGUCAGGACUUAAACAGGAGGAGCACAUGAGGCCUUGUGUGGGCCCGUGUUUAGUCUCAUAUUGGCUAUACACUAGGUAGAUCUUAGGUAUCUAUAUAGAGCCAAGUAACCCAAAAAACAACUUCCAGCUAGCCAUUUUGGAUGAGAUCUUGGGUUGUAACAAUAGUAGUUUAGUCGUUACCUAGUUGUAGUACCAGAAAGGACAUGUUUGUGUCCUAUAAUCUUUUCUUCUUUGUAAACCAAAACAGCAUGAGAUAAACCAUAUGAAAAACUAGCUGCAUUUUUAGUCUGAUCCUUCUAUUUUAAGGUUCAAGCAGAAUAGAAAAAUCAUCAGGUCUUAUAAUAUUCCACAGCUAAUUAAGUCACAUUCAGACCAUAGACGUAUUUAGUUCUGUUAAGCAGAUAUACCUUGUUGACCCUUUUCCAAUCAUCCUAAGCUUUUUCGUUUAAUUGGUUAGUUAACACAGUAUCAGAGCUCAGACUUGCUAUACAUCAGGAGUUUGAAUUCCCUCCACAGUUCAAUUAUUGAUCAAAUUAUCUUCGGUUAUCUGUUAUCCUGAUUUAGUUAUGUCUUGGCUGUGUUAUCCUUACACGUGCAUGAUCCCAGUCGCACAGGAGGAAGCUGCAUAUACAUUGUUGACCCUUUCACUAUCUGUUUAAGCUUUUUGAGUCAACUGACUGGUUAACAAAUUCUAGUUAAUUCAAACUGAAAUGGAGGAUCUGGUCUGGUUUCUUACAGAUUGCCUCCAUGACCUACUUGUACUUGAUUAUUGUAAAAAUCAUCGCCAAUAUUAAUUUAAAAAUUCAUAUGAAGGCAAUGGUUUAUUAAAAUUAGUGCAAACAAAUAAAAUGGAUGAAGAAACACAAGAAAAUUACAUAGUGGUACAUAGAGCAGCGCAAUAUUAAAAAAUAUAGAGGGGUCUAUAGGGGAGAAAAAAACCCAAUAGGUGCAAAUAAUUCGGGUAUUCCACAAAAGAUCACUACCAACCUCAUAACGGUUCUAAUGACAGCGUUUCCUUGUAAAAAUAAAGAAAUAUCUAAUAUAUUUUGACAAUUUAUAUUAAAUAUAAUAUCCACCAUUACAACAUGUACAAUAAAUGCAGGUCAUUAGUCUAACUCGUUACUCAUAAGACAAAAUACCCUGAUGUAAAUCCUCAUAUACACAUCUUGGAGUUAUUGUAUCAUCCACCAGGCAGCACAUGCCAAAAACAUGUUUAUUUUAUGGAAGAUGUCAGUCAUAUCAGGGUUGCAACCUCAGCCAAACAUCAAAUCAGAUAUUCAAUUAUAUAAUAUUCUAGUAAUAAUAACAGGAAUUCAUUAAGGGUCUGUUUGGUUAAUACUAUGCGAUCCAACAGGAUUCAUGAGAACACAGACCAGGCUAGGCCUAUAUUCACAGAAUUCACAGGAAUUUUUUCAGAGUGGGCCAAUUCGAAUGCCAUAGGGAGAAAAAAAGGACCUCAACAGGUCUUCUUUUCCAUCUUGCAGAAAUGGACUAAGAGAGGUCCAGUUGACAUGGAUAGAGCCAGCCAGCCAGGCCUCUUAUUCUAUAAUACUAAAAAUCCUGUUUCCAAUGCUGAGAAUUCAAUAGGAUUAUCCAGUAUGCCCUGAAUAAUACGUUACUAGGAUUAUUUUAUUCUUAUUAAGUAUAAAGAAAAAUUACUAUGAAGAUUAGAUGUUCAUAAAUUAACAAAUGUUUAAGAUGUCAAAAAAUAUAUUCCUGUGUUAAUUUAUAUAGUUAAAACCAAGAUCCGCCAUACCGCUACCGGUCGGCGUAACGGUGGCGGCCCGGACCGGUCCGUACCAGUCCCAUACCGUUUCUCCAACGAUAAGCUAUUGGUACCGGAUUCCACGCUGAUCUGGUACCAGUCCGAGGCCGGACCGGUAUGUACCGGCCGGUAUGGACCGGUACGGCAGACCAUGGACUUAAAACAGUAAUUUAAUCUUUUUUGAUCUAAAUGUACCCAUAAAAAAAUAACCCCAUAAACAGAAAAUGUUUUAGCUUAUGAGGCAUGGACACAUACACAGGAUAAGAACUGCAAAAAAAUUUUAAAAACAAAAAGAUGACACAUACAAAUGAUAACAAUAUAUUUUAUGCAUGUAGAAAAGCAUCUAAAAAGAACAAUGGUUUAUCACAGUAGCAUACUCUAUAUUCCACAAUAACAUCAUCAUCUGUGCAACUACAUGAAUAUCACAUUUUAAAAUGAACCAUCAGUGAUUGCCAUCCUAAAAGGUUAGCAUUCAUCAUGCGAAAAAAUGAAACGCUUCUCCCUCAUCCCCAAAUUAACCAGGAACCAUCCAUACAUAUCCAAUAAGCACAUUCUAUUUUUUACAUAUAUUUUAAAGGACACUUAGGUAUCGGUUACAGAAAUAGAAUGCAAUUUGAAUUUUGAAGUACCCAUAUAUCCUAGAUUUUAGAAUAAAAUUGCUAUUCAUCAUGGCAUAUUCUUUCUUCUAAGAGAAAGUGGACUGUAAAAAUAAACUUUCUACAAGCAUGGAUGCAAGAUAGAGUAGUUUCUUUUUAAACCAACAAUAGAACAAGGAAAUCAAUGCCAGUAAAAGAUUACCUGUUACUAUGCAUAAUUGUGGACGUUUUGUGCAUGCACCAAUAAAGCGAACGACAUUCCUAUGAUAGACUUCCCUGAAAUGACAGGAAAAGGAAAAAAGAAAACCAGAAUUAUAAACAACAAAGUUAUCUGUGUCAUUGUCGACUUUUUUUAACAAGUAGACGAAUUAAUUAGCCUCUAAAAUAGUAAAAAGGUUACAAGAUAUGAUCAAAGGUUACAUAGGCAAUACUAUGUAAAUGUACCUUAAAAUCAUUACUUCUUGAGCAAAUUCUACCCCCAGAGCUUCAUUUAAAUGCUCCGAUCUAAGAACUUUUAUAGCAACAUCCUGACCGAGAUAAGUCCCUCGAUACCUGUACAUAAACAUCAGAAUGAGGUGGACCACAACGUUCAACUUCUGACAAAUACAUAAAAGAAGAAUUGCUAACAGAAGCAGCAGUCUAUGUCACAAUUCCCAACUCACAAAUCUCCACAAGAUCCACAUGCAAUCCUGUCUCCCAUCUUCAACAAUCUUUUGUCAAUUUCCCAAUCAGAACCAUUUGAUUGCACCGUAAGUAUUUUCUCCGCGGCUGAAGAAUGAGAGGAGCCAGACCACGACCCCUACAUGUUCGAAGGGAGAAAAAGGAGAUUGCAGAAUAGAUCAUAUGUUAAUCAUAAAUAAACAACAGCAACAAAGAAACCCAUGCAGAUGCAAGUCCUGAUAAAUACUAUCUGCUUCCACAUGUUUCAAUGGGGGGGGACAAGAAGUUUUUUUCGAGUCAUGUAUUGGCUAUGAAGCAGCAAGACGUUGGAUGUAUAAUUGCAAAAGUGUGGUAAAGGGAUAAACUUAUCUAAAUUAUCUGAAAAGAGGAGCAAGAAAAUUAUAGACAAAAAAGAGUUAGUCAUUCAGAUUUAUUUAUCAGAAAAAAUAUACCUCAUUUCUUGCAACUGUCUUCUUGAGUUGCUUGAGCAAACCAUCUGUUGCCUGAGCAUACCAUCGUAAAGUUAGCAAGACUUGGGCCUUGGAAAAGAUCCCUACCAUAAAAGAAAACAGAAUUGCAAUGCCCUUACUAGUUUGCAAGGGCCCAUACAGUGAUAGUAUUAAAGGUUGACAAAUUUAUCAUCCAGUUCAUGGUUCAUGGGCAUAAGCCCAUAAAACAAUGUAUUAAAAUAAGGCAGCAAAGUGGAAAAAAAUAAACAGAAGAAUGCAGAGAUCCAUGUCAGUGUAAGCAAUCACUGUGACCUAUAAAUUGAAUUCCUGCCUGAAGAGAAAUGCACGACUUCUAUUGUUUCCACACGUGCAGAAGGAAGUUCCAUUCUAUUGAAUGCCUUGGAUGUAGAAGAGUGUAUAGAAAUGAAAGAGCUUUUCAUAUGACCACCAGCUCUAGACAUUUCUGAUUCAUCACUUGAUAGAGAAACAAAACAACAAUGCUUCCUAAAUGCAACAUAUGCUCUAGAAAAACCAUUGAAUAGGAGAGUGAUAAGAAGAGCAGAAAAGAAAAUAGGGAACCUUUUGCUAUACCCUCCUUUUAUGUAACUUGUGGUUUACUGAUCCCUUCUCGGGUAUUUAUGUAUCUUUCACAAUAAAGGCAUGCUUCGUACUAAAAAGGCCAGAAGGAUAAUUUGACAUGGACAAUGAAAAAGGCACAUUGGAUGACACAUAGAGAUUUAUAUAAAAAUCAGCUGAUUUUGGCACUUGUCAAAUUUCAUGAUCCUCUAAAAUAAUUAAUGUUCAGAAUCCUGGUUCUGGUUUGGACUUGACCAAGCCAAAAGAAUUUUAGUUUCAACAGUUUUGGCGGCCCAAGCCAAGGAAUGCUGAAUCUUGCCAAUCUGGCCAAUUCGGGGAAUACUGUGUCCAGUCGGUAACCAUCACAGUUUGCACUAUAAAUUCGAGAUUGGCACUGGUUCAAGGAUUAGGGCUUUGUUUCUUCCUUUCCUCUCCCAUUUGCUCAUGCUCUUGCUGCCCUCACCCAUCUCAACGAUCGACGACUGUCCAAGUAUGCUGACCGCCUCCCUCCCUCUCUCUCUCUAACCCUUGCUUUAAGGGAACUCGAUUACCUUGAGAGGCGGAGCAUCAUAGCCAUCGAUAGGACACUGGCCAAAAACACCAUGGCUUUGAUAAAGAAGACCCACGUGCUGCUACUCGAGCUCUGGUAACCCAUCAUCGCCAUCCAUUACAACCUAUGAGAGAUUACAAUUGUUACAUUCCUCCCUCCCUCCCUCUUCCCCCUCUCUCUCUUCUCUCUCUAUAAACCCCUCCCUCUUCACCAUGCAGUCUCCUUGACACGUCUUCAUUCCAAACCGAUCCCCACCUCCCUCUUUUUUCUUUAUUUUUGAAUUUUGAAUUGAAGUCAGCAACCAUAUCCCGACUUCAAUUCAAAUUUUAAAAAUAAAGAAAGGUCCAAAACAAACUAGAACCACAUAGGACCUGUACCAUACAAUACCAUACCAUCGAGCAACCAGUAUAGGUCAUGAAACUAGUACAAAGUACCUUGGUAACAAGCUUAUUUUUUAGAGUAUUCACCAAAAAAUAGAAGGGUAGAAAAGUUGAAAUAAAUUCAGACAAAUAGACAAAAAUAAAAACAAGUCAAGAAGAGAGAUUAGAUAUCAUUUUAGGGUAUAGUAUAAUCUUUGAAAGCUUAGAUAUAUUAUGCAUAGUUUAGGAAGAAAGAAUCCAUUUAAGAAUUAUUAAAAUAAGUUAAUAAAUAAAAACUAAAUAAAUAUUUAAUAAGGAAUAAUGGAGGAUAAAAAGAAUAGACUAGACAACAUCUUUGUUAUUAAUUUAUUUUGUAGAAUUGUUGUACACUAAAAUUACUCAUGUAUGCCAAAAUGACAAUUCUUUUAAUUAUGACAAAUGCAUGUAUCUUCAUUUAUGAGUUUAAGUCACUUGUCACAACAAGUGGAAUUGAAUAGCUGGACCAACUUAGAAACUUAAUACAAGAAAUCAUUUAGAAAUGUCUUUGUUUCCGCUGAAUUCCUGCAACCCAAUGUUUAAAACUUUAAAUGCUUUCAAAUCAACUAUAUACCCACAAAAUUAAAGUUAGGCUGCAAGAAACGACUCCCAGAUUCUGAGUUUGGUACCAAUGAACAAGCCAAUGCAUGGUCUGUCGUACCGGCCGGUACGGGCCGGUGCGUACCGGUCCGGCCUGGGACCGGUACCAGAUCAGCGUGGAAUCCGGUACCGGUAGUUUAUUGUUGGAGAACCGGUUCGGACCGGUAUGGAACCGGUUCGGACCGGUACGGGACCGAUUCGUACCGGUACGGAACCGGUACGGGACCAGUUCGGACCGGUACGGGACCGAUUCGUACCGGUACGGAACCGGUACAUGACCAGUUCGGACCGGUACGUGACCAGUUCGGACCGGUACGGACCGGUACGGGACCGAUUCGUACCGGUACGGCGGACCUUGAGCCAAUGCCAUAGAAAUUGAGGCAAAAAUUACCUAAUGAAAGUUUUUAAUACAUGCAUAAACUUGUUGCAUCUAGAGCUACUGAAUUUCAAUUGAAAACACUCAAACUGGUCAAUUUUGGUCAAAAGACUCAAAACUAAGUUAAACUCAAAUAAUCUAAGAUUAGUUUUGACUGAAUUCGAUCUGUUUGAGCUAAAUGUAUUAAUUUUGGCCAAAACAUUGAACACUCAGAGUAGUGCCACAGCAAUAGUCCUAAACCAACUCUGGAUAAAAAACAAGGAUUUAUAUUGAGAAUGAAUUUGCAUAUCGGCCUCUAAGGAUCUCAAAUAUCACUCUCAAGGUAGUAAUAGCCAUCUCUAAUAGCCAUGCCCUAGAAAAUGCGGGCAUGAUCCUAUUGUUGAAAAUACUAUCACCCAAGGUUGGAAGAAUCGGUACCGACACUGCUAGCCGGUGAUCGGUACGGUAAGACACCGGCCCCUACCAUACCAAACCGUGGCAUACCAGAACUAUGAGGGAGAGGGAAGGGCUAAAGAGGAAGAAUGAGAGGGAGAGGGAGAGGAAGGAGAGAGAGGGAGAGAGAGGAGUGAGGGGAGGGGGGGUGCUCACCUGGGCCAGAUCUAGUUUAUCACCAAGAUCUUCCUUCAGAUGAUGACGAGGGAGAUGCCACAAUGAUGACAAGGUCAGGGACCAAAUCCAAGAUUGAACAACAACAAGGGAGAGAGGCACAACAACAACAACGAGGCUAGUCCCUCACCUCCACGACGAAGGCCUUCAUCCCUGUCAGAGAAAGAGAGCAGCCAUGGAUCCACAAAGGUAGGCUGAUUGCAAGCGGGAUGUGAUAGAGGAGGGAUCACGAGGUGGAGAGAGUGGAGAGAGCUUGGGGUUAAGGUUUGGAAACAUGGAGGGAUGAAGUGAAGUGAAUCAAAGAACGGGAAGGGUGGUGCUUAUAUUUUCCGAACCAAAGCCUUGCUAAAAUGAGUAAGCAAUCUUGGGUCAAUGCUAUAUUCACUAUGAUUCGUGCAUAUAUAAUAUUCUUGUUCUCCCAAAAAUAUCCACUGAUAUCCUCACGGAGCAAUUUAAUACUCAUUUACCUUGUUAUUAGUACCUUCUGUUAGAUUACAAAUCUGCAGACAGAGAACCUUCCUAGAAAGCAGAUAAGGGGUUCACCCUUUGCCCCUUAUGCCCUNNNNNNNNNNNNNNNNNNNNNNNNNNNNNNNNNNNNNNNNNNNNNNNNNNNNNNNNNNNNNNNNNNNNNNNNNNNNNNNNNNNNNNNNNNNNNNNNNNNNNNNNNNNNNNNNNNNNNNNNNNNNNNNNNNNNNNNNNNNNNNNNNNNNNNNNNNNNNNNNNNNNNNNNNNNNNNNNNNNNNNNNNNNNNNNNNNNNNNNNNNNNNNNNNNNNNNNNNNNNNNNNNNNNNNNNNNNNNNNNNNNNNNNNNNNNNNNNNNNNNNNNNNNNNNNNNNNNNNNNNNNNNNNNNNNNNNNNNNNNNNNNNNNNNNNNNNNNNNNNNNNNNNNNNNNNNNNNNNNNNNNNNNNNACAACCACUAUUCUUCGAGUAGGAAAGGUAAGAGUAGAAUUAAAUUUAAACUUUGUUUGUCGGUUCUAACAACGAUCUGUCUAGCAUAUUUUUAGGUAGACAGAAAAGGGACGAACACCUGCCUUCAAGGAAAGAUGGCCAAAUUACCCUUUGUAGGACAUGGGGAGAGGUCCACUAAAAUACUUACCCUAGUACACACUUACGUGUGUGGCCCAUUCGUUGUGCAGGCUAAGGGUUGUAAUUUUUACUUCAUUUAUCGAUGAUUACUCACGGUAUAGAUAUGUGUAUGAGACACAAAUAUGAAGCUUUUGAAAAGUUCAAAGAGUUCAAAUAUAAAGUAGAAAAACAAACAGAAAACCUUAUUAAGGUUCUUCGAUCGGAUCGAGGAGGUAAACACCUUAAUGGAGAGUUCCGUGAUUAUCUCAAGAAGAAUGGUAUAGUUUCACAAUGGACCCCUCCUGGUAUACCUUAGUUCAACAGGGUGUCUGAGAGAAGGAAUCAAACCCUAUUGUAUAUGGUCAGGUCCAUGAUGAGCUUCACUAAUUUAUCUUUGUUUCUUUAGAGAGAUGCCCUAUUCUCAGCUAUUUAUUUAUUGAAUAGAGUUUCCUCUAAAUCUGUUCCUACCACACCGUAUGAGAUAUGAUAUGGUAAGAAGCCGAGUCUUAGUUAUCUCAAGAUUUGGGGAUGUCCGGCCCACGUCAAGUGACAACAGGCGGACAAGUUAGAGGAUAGGAUAAUCAAUACUCGUUUUAUUACAUAUCCUAAAGAGUCAUUAGGAUACCAUUUUUCCAUCCCAAAGGAUCACAAAGUAUUUGUGAGCCGACAUGCUAUCUACAUUGAAAAAUAGUUUAUCCUUGAUAGAGACAGUGGGAGGAAAAUUGAACUCGAAGAGAAAGUCUCUGAAGAGCAACGAGUCAUUGUGCCUAUAGAACCUAUUCGUAUUGAGCCAGUACAUUUGUAUCUCCUCCACCUCGUAAGUCUAGUAGGAUCUCCCGUCCGCCUGAAAGGUACUUAGGUAUGAUUACAGAGGAUGUAGAGGAAGUGUUCCUCAUGGGAGAUAGGGAUCAAGGUAAGGAUUCCAAUACCUACAACGAGGCGAUGUUAGACAUCGAUUCUGAGAGAUGGCUGGAAGCGAUGAAGUCAGAGAUGGACUCCAUGCAUUCCAACUAAGUCUGGACCUUAGUAGAUCCAUCAAAAGGUAUAGUACCUAUUGGUUGUAACUAGAUUUACAAAAGGACAAAAGGUUCGGAUGGCAAGGUAGAGACCGAUAAGGCAAGGCUAGUGGCGAAAGGUUAUAAUCAGCGCGAAGGCACUAAUUAUCAGAAUACCUUUUCACCUAUAGCCAUGCUGAAGUCCAUUCGAAUAAUGCUAGCCAUUGCAGCAUUUCAUGAUUAUGAAAUCUGACAGAUGGAUGUGAAAACUGCUUUCCUAAAUAGAUAUCUUGAUGAAGAUAUCUAUAUGGAGUAGCCUUUGGGUUUCACUUCCAGUGAUGGAGAUCACAAGGUCUGCAAGUUGCAAAGGUCCAUCUAUAGACUAAAGCAAGCAUCUCAGAGUUGGAACACUCGUUUCAACGAUGUAAUCAAAUCGUUUAAUUUCAUCAAGAACGAAGAGAAACCAUAUGUUUAUAAAAAAGUUAGUGGGAGGGCUAUUGUAUUCCUCGUAUUGUACGUGGAUGAUAUCCUUCCAAUUGGGAAUGAUGUUCCCAUACUAACUUAGGUCAAGGUAUGGUUGUCUAAGGAAUUCUUCAUGAAAGUCCUUGGAAAAGCAUCCUAUAUUUUGGAAAUUAAGGUCUAUAGAGAUAGAUCUAAAAGGAUGCUUGUCCUGUCACAGAAUACGUACAUAGAGGAAGUGCUAAAGAGGUUCAGCAUGGAAGCCUCUAAAAGGAGAUUAUUACCCCUUAGGCAUGAAAUAAAUCUCUUCAAGAAGAUGUGCCCCAACACAUCUGAAGAGAUUUGAUGGAUGAGCAAGAUCCCUUAUGCUUCGGUUAUAGGGAGCCUCAUGUAUACCAUGCUAUGUAUACGACCUGAUAUAGCACAUGCUGUGAGUGUCACGAGCAUAUAUCAGUCAAAUCCAGGCAAGGAGUACUAGAUAGCUGUGAAGAACAGUCUUAAGUACUUGAGAAGAACUAAGGACAUGUUCUUGGUCUUUAGGGGAAGAUCAGAGUUAAAGGUAGAAGGAUACACACAUAUUGAUGAUAGAAAGUCUACAUCAGAAUAUGUGCAAUGAUGUUUCAGUAAAUUUGAAAAGUUCCAAACAACUGACCAUUAUAGAUUCUACCUUGGAAGCUGAAUGUAUUGCCGCCUCUAAGGGUGCAGUGGAAACCUUCUGGUUCAAGAUGUUUAUUGCAAAGUUAGGUGUAAUGUCAUUAGAUGCCAUAACACUCUACUGCAAUAACAAUGGCACCAUAAGGAGCCAAGGUCUCACUAGAAGUUUAAGCACGUAGAGCGAAGGUUUAACCUGAUACGCGACUACCUCGAAAAGAUAUGAGUAGAGAAACAAAGAGUAGACUCCACAGGCAACGUGGUAGACCCAUUCACUAAGCAGCUAAGUCAGCAGAAAAUUGAAGCACAUCUUGAGAAGAUGGGGCAUAGAUUUAUGGCUGAUUGGCUUUAGUGCAAUUGGUAGAUUGUUAAAAGUAUGCCCUAGAAGCCAAUUUGGCUGACACAUUAUUUUGUUCUGGGACAUAAAUUUGUACUUGACCUAAUUAUAAAUUUAUUAAGUUUGGCAUUCUUAUCAUUCAUGUUCUUAUGUGUCCAUGAAUCACCCAAAGAAUUAAUAAGAUGAUGACGUAUAUUCUCAAGAGUUGAGAAUUUGAGGCAUGUGUCAUUAGUGAUUAAUUCCUGAAUUGCUUCUGAUCGAUGGAUCGUCACGAGGACGGUGAUCGAUCCGCUGAGAUUAGUGCACAGAUUGCUUUCUUUGAUGGACGAGUCUUGAGUCCACUAUGUGGCGACAUUGGAGCAAUUGUGCAAGUGCUUGUUAGAGAACAAGGGUACUGAGCGUGACCAUAGCAAGUAGUCACUUGGAUGUCUAUCCACUCAUCAAUGACAUACUUGAUGCUGCAGUUGUAUGACUGGUCCUUUGACCUGUGAUGCCUCGGCUAUUCACAAUGAAGUUGCUGUAGUUUGACGAGCACAUAAACAUGGGCCCUAUCCAUUUGGGUCCCUAUGGUGCAGAUUGGCUGCAGUAGGUUCAUUGUAUGAGUAUGGAUGCAUCUAGAUGGAAUCUGUGGAGUGAUUGAUUAAAAAUCUAUUUGAUUUUGAUGAGCUCAAAGCAUUUGAGUAUAUCUUAUGUUAUACUAAUAAAUUCAAUCUAGUAUUUCAGGCAUAUAUUUGUAUAUUUUCAAUUAAGUGCCUCAAGCUUUGGUUCAAAAUAAGUUGGACAAGUAUUGAACCCUAUUUGAACCAAGGGCUGAUUCUCGAGUCGACUCCGGAAGAUUAUGAGUCGACUCCAAAUGGUUCAGAGUUUCUGGCACCAGCUCGAGUCGACUCCGAUACUCUACGAGUCGACUUCGACUGAGAACAGAAAGAAAGACAGAAAGAUGGUUUUCAGACCCUGUCAGCGAGUCAACUCUGGAAGGCUUCGAGUCGACUCCGAUGCUUGACAAAUCGACUCUCUACAGAUCCGAGUCGACUCCAAGGAGUAACAGACAGAAAGACAGAGAGGUGUUUUCUAGAUCUUGUUAUCGAGUCGACUCUAGAAGGAUGCGAGUCAACUCCAACGUUUGGCGAGUCGACUCCUAAUCAUGCCAGAGUCGACUCUCAGAGGAAAGCGGACUGAAAGGCAGAGAACCAAACUCAGUGACCCUGUGAACAAGUCGACUCCGAGAAUUCCAGAGUCGACCCCAAGUCAGCCGAGUCGACCCCAACAAAGUGCGAGUCGACUCCGAGGCAGCUCAGAUCAACAGACAGUGGAUCGGUUUUUCGGGCUCUGAGAGUCGAGUCGAUUCCAAGAGAAUUCGAGUCGACUCGAGAGAGAAAUGCAGAAAAAUAGAUCUCUGGAAUCCUGAGAACGAGCCGUCUCCAAAAUGCCGAGUCAUCUCCAGAUCUUGGCGAGUCGACUCCAGGAUUGGACCGAGUCGACUCCAGAUCGGGACAGCACUUUAAUUCAAAUCUUGAACAGUGGCGAGUCAUCUCCAGUAAAGCAUGAGUCGACUCCAGCAACAGUCGAGUCGACUCCAGAUCGAACGAGUCGACUCCGACCCAACGGAUACAUUGUNNNNNNNNNNNNNNNNNNNNCCGAGUCAUCUCCAGAUCUUGGCGAGUCGACUCCAGGAUUGGACCGAGUCGACUCCAGAUCGGGACAGCACUUUAAUUCAAAUCUUGAACAGUGGCGAGUCAUCUCCAGUAAAGCAUGAGUCGACUCCAGCAACAGUCGAGUCGACUCCAGAUCGAACGAGUCGACUCCGACCCCAACGGAUACAUUGUCAGGAGGUGCAGACUGUGCAGAACGGCUACAAAUCAGUGUCAACGGCUAUUUUUCAAAAGGGACUAUUUAAAUAGCCAGAGUAAACAAUAGUAGACAACAAGAGAGUUACUCCAUCUGUGCAUUAAGGCAUUUCCAACUACCAAGAGUCCAUUGAGAGAAAAGACAAGCAAAAGAAGAAAGAAACGCAUUCAAUUCAUUCCUAGAAGUUUUUCCUUCGCAUUCAAGGCUCUUCUUCUGACAUCAAAUCUUCAGUGCACUCAAAGAGGAGACCCAGAGUUCGAGAAGCCCUUUCUUCCUCUUUCAAAAUCUGUUUGAGGGCUUCUAACUUUACUCUAUUCAUAUUGAUUCAUAUUUGCUUUUAUUGAAGCUUUCCUUGUAUCUUUUUUCAAACUAUUUUUCUUACUUGAUUCAAUCAGAGGAUUGAAUCAAGGGUUGUAAGGUUUGUUGGUGAGCCAAAGGAAAAACCAACGGUGUAAGGGUUUGAUUGUAAUCCCGGGAAAACAAUCGGGUGGUUCUAGUCGGUGAGCCUGUGAAAACCGACCGAGUUCGUUGUGAUCUUGCGAAAACAACAAGUUGGGUUGUGAUCUGGUAAAACAACCGGCUGUAAUCCAAGGGAUUAUAGUGAACUCCCAAGUGAAGCUUGGGGAGUGGACAUAGGAGCAAAGGUUGGCUCCGAACCACUAUAAAAUUUCCUUGUGUUUGCAUUGGCUAUAUGUCUCUUCCAAUCUCCUCAUCAAGUAGCUUAAUUAACCUGCUUGCAUUAGAUUUAAUUAUUUACUAAUCAAGUUUUAAUUUGUCAAUAAUUAAUCCAAACCCAAUCACCCCCCCUCUUGGGUUGUCUCCUUGGGCAACAAGUGGUAUCAGAGCAGGUUCUCUCAUAUCGAUUGGUGUUCCAAUCUUUAAAUAGAGUCAAAAGAUCAAAAUGACAACCCGUUUUGGAUCUUUCUAUAGUGAGGGGCAAUCUACUCAUAGGCCUCCAUUGUUUAAUGGAACUAAUUAUACCUAUUGGAAGGCUAGAAUGAGAAUAUUCAUCCAAGCCCAAGAUUAUAAUCUUUGGAACAUCAUAAUCAAUGGACCACAUAUUCCUUCCAUCUAUGUUGAUGAUGAUGAGAGCACAAAAGUGCAAUCGUCAGGCCAUUCUAAUUAGUAUUUUAGCUAAUCAUUUAAAAUAAAAUUAACUAACUAAUGUUUUAUUUGUGCAAGCAUCCCACAUUCCAUGUGCAGGUUCAACCGAGCCCAACUGCAUCUGACUUGUCUUAAUUCCCACGGGCAUCACCCUGAUGGAGUCGAGUCACUACCGGCUGCCACCCACCGUUGUCUCAGCCCAACUUUGAUUCCAGCUCCCAAUCGCGCGCAUCUUGAUUCUGCGUGCUAGCUCCCGUUAGAUCCCCAGCAUCACGCAUCCAUUUUCCUCUCCCAUCUUCAACGCCUCAGCCCGCCAGCCAGCCACACCUUCCGCUCCUUCCCAGCAACCAAAGAAGGAAGUCCUUCCCCGUGCCAGCCACCGUGCCAGCAAUGCCCGGAAUCCCAUCAUCCCGAAAUCCCAGCACCCGAAGAAGGAAGCCCCAGCCGUGAUCCAAUCUCCGGCGAUCCCACACCGCGUUCCCACCUUCCGUUUCAGCUCCUAGCAUCUUUCCUCUUCCGCUUCCAAUCCCGACGAUCCCCCACCGCGUCUUCAUCGCAUCUCCUUCCGUUUGUGAUCAAGGAACUGCAUCUCACCGCUUCCCGAAUCAGCAUCCACUGCAUCUGUGGUCAAUCUCCUCCACGGAUCACGCCAAGAUCGCUCCUCCUCCACCUCGCAGCCGUCCAUCUCACCGCAUCCAGCUCCUCCCAGCAGCCGUCCACGAAGCUUCCGCCCGUGAUCAGCGAUCCAGCCUGCUCCCAGCGCCCGGAUCUCGUCCGUGAUCGACUCCUCCCCGCGUCCUCACUGCGUCUGCCAUCUCCCUUCUGCAUCAGGAGUCCGUCCACGGCUAUAAGAGGAGAAGGAGGAAGAGGGAAGGUGGGUGUGCUCGGUUGGGGGUUGAGGCCAAGAACUAGAGAAGGAGGAAGAGCUCGGUUGGGCCAAAGCUCUCGGCUGAAGGGGGGUGGCCGGCUGGUCCAAGGGAGAAGAAGAAACAAGGGAACGGAACCUUCUGUUUGUGAGAGAAGAAAGAGGGGAAGAGUAAUGCUCUGUUUUCAGAUUUGAAAACAGAGCAUCACGCUUCCUUAGUUUUUUUUAUUAUUGUUUUUGUUGUUUAUUUUUUAGAAGUUAUGUUUUUAAUUUGUGUAUUAGUGAUUUUGGGUAUUAUGUUGUUCCUAUUUCUUUAGUUUAAUUGAGAGCAAUGUUUUAAUUUUUUAGUAAGAGUUUUGUUUUGAAACAUGUUGUUUUGGGGUUUUUAGAUUUAGUUUAAUAAAGAGUUUUAUUUAUGCUAAAGUUUUUAAUUUAUGUUGUUUUUAANNNNNNNNNNNNNNNNNNNNNNNNNNNNNNNNNNNNNNNNNNNNNNNNNNNNNNNNNNNNNNNNNNNNNNNNNNNNNNNNNNNNNNNNNNNNNNNNNNNNNNNNNNNNNNNNNNNNNNNNNNNNNNNNNNNNNNNNNNNNNNNNNNNNNNNNNNNNNNNNNNNNNNNNNNNNNNNNNNNNNNNNNNNNNNNNNNNNNNNNNNNNNNNNNNNNNNNNNNNNNNNNNNNNNNNNNNNNNNNNNNNNNNNNNNNNNNNNNNNNNNNNNNNNNNNNNNNNNNNNNNNNNNNNNNNNNNNNNNNNNNNNNNNNNNNNNNNNNNNNNNNNNNNNNNNNNNNNNNNNNNNNCAUUUGGUCGCGAACAAGUUUAAGGACUCAAAGAUAAAUUCUCCUUUAUCAUAACAUAAGUCCUGAGGACUUCAUCAGAUGAAAUGAUGAAUAAUGCCAAAUAAUACUUUAUUAAUUUGUCAAUUCAUUUAAUCAUCAACAUGCUGACGAUUGACAUUUAGGAUACAAUUCCCAACAAGGUGUUCCUCUCUUCCCUCCUUCUUCUUCCGUGGUAAAGAAAAGAAGAAAGCGUUUCUCCUUCUCCUUCUUCCUCCUCUUUGAAGCAAUCAAGAGUUGAUUGCUUAGAAGAGUUCCAACCAUCAAAAGGAAUCUCUACAAAGAAGCUAGCACCCCGGUGAGAUCACAACCUUGAUCGAGCAAGAUCUUCGUAUGGAUACUCGUACAAGCCGGACGCUUGUGCGGCUUCAAACGAACCCAAUUUCCACGAUCAUUAGAUAGCGGUGAAGAUCUACCCGCUCAAAGAUAAAGAUUUAAUCUUUACAAUUAUUUUUGUAGAUUUGAAAAUUAAUCAAGUAAUUAAUUUUAAUCUAUCCUUUAGAUUUUAUAAUCUUCUGAGUUAGAGAACUCAGAAUUUUUUUGAAAUCUACAUUUCUAGGGACAUUCAUGAGAUGAACGAUCCCGCGCGUGUCUUUCUACUGUGAUCGUCGCAACGCGUUCGGGGGUAACCUGACAGAUCCUUGGUCUCUGAGCCUUUAGACCUCUUUCCUCGCCAUCUCCCAGGAAAAAAAACUCAAAAACAAGCUCGACUAGCUCAUCAAUAGUUUGCAGGAGGAGUAGAGUGAUAAGCGAAAAUUGGAGAUUGCUCGUUCGCUAAAGUCCUAUCUGCCUGUUGAUUUAGUAUGUUCCUAUCCCCUUGGGAAGUUUGGGACACCCCUAAUGGUUAGUAUUGAGCAGCUAGGUCGGGCAGCUGUAAAAUCCUUACUCUUCUUCUUUUUCUUAGCCUGUUACAAAUCAGUUGCGAGUCUGGUUAUGAAUUAUUAUACACACUGGUCCCAUCCUUCUUUGUGCUUGCUGCGCUUCUUAUUAUGGAGCUGUCCAGCAGGGGAUGCUAUCAUUAGCAACAUCAAAAUCAGAAAAUGAGCACUCCGUGAUUUCAUGAUUAGGUGAUUAAUGCUCUAUAUGCCUAAGCAGUCUUUGGUUACCAAUCCGCUUCUUUGAUCCUUUCUGAUAACAGUAAGGUUGAGUUCAGAAAGAAGAUAUUCGUGUACAGAGUUGGCUAGUUUUUUAGCUAGCUAAAAACAAAAGGGUUGUUUUUGGGCUCAUGGAAGGAUGCUUGCUUGAGCCGAGUUUAUUGGUUUCGAGUGAGAGUUUCCAUGCCAUGACAUAAGAAGAACAAGCAUGUGAUUGUUAGUCCUUCCUCACUCGGUAGUUUCCACUGCCUGUCCAGGGUUGAGCCCUAGUAUUUGACGAUGAACUUGAAAAGCCACCUACAAUCUACCGAUGCUUUAUGCCCAAUCAUGUCAGAUAUCUGAUUAUUCCGUGUUUAGGAGGGGGAGUCUUUUCUAAAGAGUGAAGCUCCUCAUUCAUAUAGGGCUUGGUAGUUAUCGAGGUUUGCAAAGUCUAAAACUUCAGCAUGCUGGAAGCAACCAAACCCCUCAUUGAAUGUGCCACAUUGUUGGUUAGAGCAUGCCACUUGAAGUUGGAAAUUAAGUGUUACUAAUUUUUCUAGGAGCCAAACACUUGAAAUCGUGGAGUAUUAUUUACCUUUUUCUUUCUAGGCCUCCCACUUUUAGCACCUGAACUAUCGGUUGCCUUGGCUUUUUGUCUAGAGGAAACUUCCCUCUUUUGGGCCACUUGUUUCCUAGGAGGUCUAUCCUUUUUAGGACAUUUAUAUGUUUUGGCAUUGCGGCCCCACUCCAAGCAAUUGCUAUAUAUGAGAGGAGCCGCUUCUUUUGAUUCUGUGUUGGUCCUGAAUGUCAUCCUCCUUCCUUCUACACUUCUUUGGCCUACUAGGAGAUCUCCCUAGUGGGGGUGCAUCUAUUGGAUCAAACUAUAAGGGCUCCCAAAACUGAAUACUAGGCACAGAUGUAAUAACUAACUCAUAGGCUUUGAACAACAUAUCCUUGAAGUACCAAUGGUCUACAAUAUCCUCUACCUCUUUCCUUGAAAACAUGAUAGCUGCAGCUACAUGACAAUAGGGGAUUCUGAUGAGAUCAAACUUCCAACACCCAUAGAUUCUCCUCUCUAAGUCAACUGCAAACAUGUCAUUUGGAUGAUUAACCUUGAAACUGUCCCCACCGCCCCAUGUAACAUGGCAAUCCAUGUUAUGCAGAACACCUAACUCUACCUUCUUCUAGAUUUUAUGACAUCUGGUACCCCCAUUUCUCUGCAUAGCUUGUCUUUUAACCUAAAACUAUUGCAUAAGAAGCCUUCUUAUAAUCUCUAGCAAACUUAUAUGGAUAAAGAGAAAGAUAGUAGCUGGGGCUAUAAGCCUAUGCUAACAACUAUGGGCUAGAGAUAAACUAGGACAAAACAAAGUAAUAGAGUAGAUAAAUAAAAAUAAAUACAAGGUAAAAAAUAAGAAUAAAGAUAAAUAAAAUGAUAGAUAUUUGAUCGGUCAAAAAGUUUUUUUUUACAAUUAUAUUCCAAUAUUUAUAUACAACAUUUUAAAGAUCAAGUAACGUCGGCUCCCAAUAUCAAUAACUGUUUGGGUCUGUCCUUCACGUACCUCCAACAGUUCCCACAGUGAUGUUCCAUGAUUUUCCCAUUUUCUUAUUUUGGCAACUCCUCAUGUACUUCCCCAUAUCAUCACAAUUGUUAUUAGGCCGAAGAUUUUGUUUCCACACGUCAUUAGACUGAGUUGACCUUAGGCCUAUGAUCUCCGUUCCUUUAUUACAAUCGAGAAAAAAAAUAGUUAAUUUAACAACAACUAUGUAAAUAGACCUAUUGAGAAUGAUGUAAAAUUUAUCAUGGAUGUGUGUGCAUUUUUGUUUUAUUAUUUUCUUUUUGAAAUCUUCAAGAUUUUUAUCAAAAUUGUUUGUUAUAUAAUCCACUAUUAUUCUACAGUAUUUUGCCAAGCAUAUUAGGACUCUUUCAAUUUUCUUUUUCUUUCUUCUAGAAACACAAAAAUAUAAAAUCCAUCAACUAUAAAAUAUAUGCAAAAAAACUAUGAAAACGACAGAUAUUGACUCAUUCUCUUGACAUAUAGCCACGCCCGACUAAUUUAGAUUCGAUCAUCAUGCAACUAAACUAUAUGUCAGACAUGACAGCUCGGCUUUUUUAAUGUCAGUUUCAUUAUAUUUUUUUACAAAAUCUUCAUAAUUUUAUCAAAAUUACUAGUUAUAAAUCUACUAUUAUUCUAUAGUUUUUGGCCAGCAUAUUUUCAAUUUUUCUUUUUUUUUUACUGAGUAAACAGAAAUACAAAAAUCAUCUACUACAAAAUACAUGCAAAAAAUUAUGAAAACUAUAAUUAUUGCCAUGGUCUCUUUAAUCUACAGGUCAGCCGUGACAGCUAGUUUUUUUUUUUUUGGAGCUUGUUUCUGGUGAAAUAAGCUCCUAAAACGCAUCCUCUCCCCGGUAAUUAUAAUAAGACAUAUCAAGCGGAAAAUUUUCAAACAUGUCUACGAAGUCGCCACUCACCACCGGCAUGAACCAGUAAGAAAUAUUAUGAUCUUCCAAUGAGAGAAUUUUGACCAGCCAGACUUAAUAGAUUUAUUCGAGGCCACUCCCUUUUCUCCGCCCCAGACAUUCUUCCUAUUUUAGGUUGUGGCUGAGAGCGAAGCCUUCCUCCAAAAUCCAAAUCUAAAUGGCAUCCUCGCCCGGCGCCGCCAGUUAGCGCGCGCCACGCAACCGCGUGCAGGGACUCUUCUCGAAGCCCUUCUCCGGGCUUCGCCCCACCACCCCCUUCCUCCGGGCCCCACCAUACCCGGCCCGAGGCCUCGAAAUCUUAUAAAACUGGCCGCCAAAGGCCGCCGCCGUACCACCACUGGACACCGCACCUGUCGCCAGUCGCCACUGACGUCUCCUCCUCUUCUCGCCGUCGUCGAGCUCUUGUUCUCUCGCCGCUGCUCCCGUGGGACGAGCACCGGUUGGUUCUACGAGGAGGAGGAGGAGGAGGAGGGAAUCGGGGAGGGAGUAGAUGGGUGGGGGAGGACAGUAGUGGUGAGAGGGGAAUGAAAGGGAGGGCAACAUGCGAACCAUCUGCGACGUCUGCGAGAGUGCCCCCGCCGUCCUCUUCUGCGCCGCCGAUGAGGCCUCCCUCUGUCGACCAUGCGACGAAAAGGUCUCCCUUCUCGAACUCCCUCCCGCCUUCCUCUUUCUCUUUCUUAAACUGAAUUCUUUGGGAUUUUGUCGUUGUUGGAGCCAUCAGUUUUGCUGAUAUGAUAACUCGAGCAAUUGGCUCUGUCACGAUGGUAAUUAACAGAUUUUUUUUACAUUAUCUUCUUUGGCCGCUAUUUCGAGUGUUUGAAUGGAUGCCAGUGGUUUGGUUAUAAGAGAGAGAGAGGGAGGGCUUCGAAGGUGCGGGAGGGGAUCUGAAUGUGGCUAUUUUGUUGCAUGCUUGUUUAUUUCCUGGUCUUCUAUUCCAUAACAUCCUUCAUUAUAUAUAUAUAUAUAUAUAUAUAUAUAUAUCUGUGUGUGUGUGUGCGCGCGCGCCGNNNNNNNNNNNNNNNNNNNNCUACUAUAUAUAUAUAUAUAUAUAUAUAUAUAUAUAUCUGUGUGUGUGUGUGCGCGCGCGCGCCCCUCUUAUAGGACACUUAAUUAUGUCAAUGGAUUGAAUGAAAAUCUUGUGGCCAGUUACUUGUGCAGUGCUCACCUUCUGGAAUGUCAAUCUUUCUCCCUUUACCGACUAAAAUGAAGUUGUGAAACUUUAUAGUGUAAACUUAAUUCUUGUUCCUAGCAGUUAGUUAAUUAUUCUCUGCAGAUUUUUGGAAGUAGAGGAACAAAUUAUAUUCCUGAUGGCCCAUUAUUUGUAUUUUGCUCAUAAGGUGUCGGUUAUAUUCAGUUGUGCAUCAGAUGUUUAAAAAGUUGGUACUUUUUAAUUUUUUGAGGGAUUAAGAACAAUUUGAGGUUGCAACUAAAGGUUCUGAUUCAAGUCCUGGGUGAUGCAUCCCAAGUAUUUGAACUUGGUAAUUAUAGUGGGCUUGGUCUCCCUACCUCCCUUGAGAAAAAAAAGGAAAAAAAACAACAAUUUGAGAAUGCUAUCAAUGUUAAAUUGUUUAACUUGUAUGAUACGUUUAUUUAAAUUAUUUUACUAUCUAAAGUAGUAAUUGCUAUUUAUCAGGGAUAUAGUUCAUUGACAAUGCCUAUAGACUAGGCUAUUUUUCCACUUUAGGUGUUAAUGUAUAAUUAAAUUUUGUGUACGCUUACACUGUAAGCUCAUUUCCUGUAGGUGAUUGUUAUAUAUCUGAGGCUGCUGCUUUCUAGAAUAUGUUUUACCAUUGAACUUUCUCCUGGUUGUCUUGAUUGUUUUUAUGUAGCAGUCCAAUGCGUCUUAAGUGAAUAGGUAUCUCAGUGGUUGUUGUAUUCCAGCAUACUAAGCAGCUUUGGAUGUCUACUGUGAGAGAUCGGCUUCUUCAAAGUGGAUUGCAAAGAUUGGCUUGGUCUUACUUUCACAAAGUAGGAAUACAGUAAGAGUGGAAUAGGGAUUAAAAUGGGGAAUGUGAUACUGGAACCAGAAAUAUUUAAUCUUUUUUCAAGACAAGGUUUUAAAACUUGAUUUCAGUUUUGAUCAUUCAGGUGGAGUUUUGGUUUUAGUAGUUUUGGUGGUUUGAUGGUUUCACUUAAAGUUUUGGAAGGUUAAAAAAUGUUUGUACAAAAUUCAAAAAAAAGUGGAAAAUAGAGAUAAUCAUGGCAAGUUGUUUCACAUCAUUUUUGUUGGAUUUCGAGUAAUCUAGGACCAUAACCUGUGUAGCUUAAUUGAUGAACUUCCAUCCUCCUUUUCACUUUAUCAAUUCGAUGGUUUGACACCCACCACACGUGCCUCAAACUAGUAAGUCAUAAAUUGAGCAACAGAUAGAACAUGUACAAGAUUUUUUCUCCAUUUUUGAAUGCUUGGAAGAGUUGACAAUGAAGAGAAUGACUAGAUGCUUCCUUGAUAAGUAUUUAGCACUUAUUCUGAAGCAUGGCCUUGAUGGGUUCAUGUUACUUUUUUGACCAUCAUCGAUGAGUCAUUAGAACCGAACUGAUGUGGCCCUUCCUUUAGAUCUGGUUAUCAAAAUGCAGUUGAAGCAGUUUCAUUCACCAUUAGUCUCCAUUAUGAUGUGACACUAUGUCCAACUUCCAUAGGUUACUACAUGCACUUAACCAUAUCAGUUAUGCUGAUCCUUUAUUCAAAUAUUCUAACUUUCCUGUUCUCUUAGGGAUUAAUACCUAAAAACUCAGGACAGCAACAUAUUUGAUCUUCUCAGUAGAUAUGAGACAACAUGCUUACUGUUACUGAUGUCCUAGACCAGUAAGACAUAGAUUAGAGGUUGCCCUUAAUUUAUGCAUAGUACUCAGUUUUUUCAAAAGAUUAGGGGUGCAAAUGGGUUAGGUCGGAUCGGGUCAUGAAUGACUCUGACCUAAUUCGGUUUCUUGUUCGGGUCCUAAUGUUCGACCCAAGGUUCGCGGUACCGACGUACCGACGUACCGGUCGGCUCCGGUAACGGUACGGUACGGGUGCCGAACCGAGCCGAAUCGAGCCGAAUCGAGCCGAACCGAUACCGUACCGAUAGGGCACAUUCGGCCUGGUUUCGACCCCAUCGUUGUUUUUUUUUUGGAGUUCUUUCACUUUUGGAUAUUUUUUUGAUGUUUUUAUGUUUAGGUUUAAGGUUAAAAGUAGAUGAUGCAACUUAUUACUUCCAAAUGAUUCAAAUAAUGAGAUGAAGAAUAUAAAUAUUUUCAAAUUAAGAUACAAUUAAUUACAUACACUUAAAGCACUCUCGGAUAUGUAAAAUUGGGUCGAGUGACGAUGCUUCUCGUCAAUAUCUGGAUCAUCAGUAUAAUAUGGAGGCAGAUCAACCUAUCCCUCUAAUCAAGCGGCAUUGUAGUCUUGUAUGCUCAAUUCUCGAGGAAUGCGCGUCGGGUCAUAAGAACUCUCGGAUCUCUCGCUGAAGCUCUGGCUCUGAGAGGUGUCUUGAUAAGGGGCCCAUCCGAAUAUGCCGGCACCAAAAUCCGACCCGUAAGACCCUCUGGGCUGCGUAGGAUAGUAGCCACCGAAAGAUGACUCCGAUACAUCAUAUCCAUAGGCUGGCUGAGGCCGCGGAUAAUAGGAAGACUCGGAACUUGAUACAUCAAUGGAUCCGACUCCACAUGGGAGGUCAUUUGCAGCUGCAUCCUGGCCUCUUGAACGACCGCGAGGAGCUCUUCUUCGAUAUGCAAUGGUAUUCGACCGGCCUAUAUCAGACGGUCUACCGUGGUCCGUAUCUUGUGUAGCAUGCGUAAACUGAGACUCACCGGUGUAUCGAAAAUCUCCCUCCGGCUGUGUCUCAUAAGUAGUACCAUACUGUCCUCCAUUUUCUCCAUGGCUAGUAGAUCCAUCACCACCAGAACCUUCAUCGCUGCUGGUCCAAGUCUCCUCCUCGACACUCUCCAUUGGGGCUCUUUCCUUUCCUUUUCUUCUUUGCUGGGAUUGACGCCAUCCUGAUCGAGUCGACUGGAUACUAGAGCCUCCUCGUUCUCGCAUGAGAGGAUCAUCUCUCUGAACGGGAGCAUCGUACCAGUCAUGCGGUGACUGGCUCCCCUCUAGCCACGUCAUAUCAGCUGUAGGAGUGCGUGGAAUGUUGUGCUCAGCCUAUUGCUGUGGAUCGACCAUAGCCUCGGUGGCUAUGAUGCUGGCUGGUCGUCGAGGCGAUCCUGGCUCAUCAAGCUCGGGCUCCUGCUGCUGGGCCGCAAGCCAGUUGAGCAUAGGAUUAUCAUCAUCAUCUGCAAAAGUCCUAUAGAUGGGAUCUGCAUACUUGAGCUCCACUUCCUCCUGAAUGCAUUUUAGCCUCAACCGUAGAUUGUAGUGCACAUAAACUAGGUCGUUGAGGUGCUUUUGUGUCAAACGGUUUCUCUAUUUGUUGUAGAUGAGGUCGAAGGGGGACCAGUUGCGCUCACAGCCACUCGAGGAGACCGUUUGGGAGAGGAUCCGGAUAGCUAUUCGUUUAAGAUUUUUUGCGGAUCCGCCAAAAUGAAUCCACCAUAUAACUGCAAAAAUAUUGAAGAUAAUUACAUUUUACAUAUAUGAUGGCCUCAUAGUUGAAGAUAAUUCAGAUGCAGAGGUAUCUUGCAGAUUUGUAUUGUACCUGGAUUCAUAGUUGUCUUGCUCACGACAGCUGGUCGCUGUCCAAAGUCUCUAAAUAAUUUUGUUUGUGGAAAGAAGCUUGUUGUAGUAUGUCAAUAAUAUAAGAUCCGAUAUAUUUACAUAUGUUACUAAAUCAUAGUUACCUCUUCUAUACAUGACGAGGCGACUUCUGGAUUAGGCUCCAUCUUAUAAAUAACAUUACGUAGAGCAUAAAAAAGUUCAUCAUCCAUACCAAUUCCACUCUCGUACUGAAACCGGGGAUUCAGAUAGUAUGCUACACAUAGANNNNNNNNNNNNNNNNNNNNNNNNNNNNNNNNNNNNNNNNNNNNNNNNNNNNNNNNNNNNNNNNNNNNNNNNNNNNNNNNNNNNNNNNNNNNNNNNNNNNNNNNNNNNNNNNNNNNNNNNNNNNNNNNNNNNNNNNNNNNNNNNNNNNNNNNNNNNNNNNNNNNNNNNNNNNNNNNNNNNNNNNNNNNNNNNNNNNNNNNNNNNNNNNNNNNNNNNNNNNNNNNNNNNNNNNNNNNNNNNNNNNNNNNNNNNNNNNNNNNNNNNNNNNNNNNNNNNNNNNNNNNNNNNNNNNNNNNNNNNNNNNNNNNNNNNNNNNNNNNNNNNNNNNNNNNNNNNNNNNNNNNNNNNNNNNNNNNNNNNNNNNNNNNNNNNNNNNNNNNNNNNNNNNNNNNNNNNNNNNNNNNNNNNNNNNNNNNNNNNNNNNNNNNNNNNNNNNNNNNNNNNNNNNNNNNNNNNNNNNNNNNNNNNNNNNNNNNNNNNNNNNNNNNNNNNNNNNNNNNNNNNNNNNNNNNNNNNNNNNNNNNNNNNNNNNNNNNNNNNNNNNNNNNNNNNNNNNNNNNNNNNNNNNNNNNNNNNNNNNNNNNNNNNNNNNNNNNNNNNNNNNNNNNNNNNNNNNNNNNNNNNNNNNNNNNNNNNNNNNNNNNNNNNNNNNNNNNNNNNNNNNNNNNNNNNNNNNNNNNNNNNNNNNNNNNNNNNNNNNNNNNNUGGCCCGCUUUGUCGGACCGGUCCAACCAUCACACAUCAGAGUGAGCCCAUAUGUGGGCCACUUGCUCUUAUAUGAGCCAAUCCAAUUCUCUAGCUCCUCCUUAUUGUUGUCAAGAAGCUCACCGUAGAUGUCCCUCGGACCUGGAGGAUCGACACGGGACCGGCAGACUGUAUGGCAGAAAUGGCAGACUUGUAGUAUGUAUUGUCUGCAGCAUUCGCUGGAAUGUGGCUGAAGUGGAACCAGGAUCCAAUAGCUCGCCACAUAUCCUUCUUCUUCUCCUUCUUCCACAUUGUGUCUACCCUUUGCUGCUUUGAAUCUCUCCUGGGGAAGGCAUGCGGAUCUACAUCAUGGAUUGACGCACCUGGUGGAAUCCCUCCGGAAGAUUUCUUUCGGCCACCAAAACUACCCAGGAUAGAUGCAAUCCGGCUACGUCCUCUGCCCUCGCCCUCCCUGACUGAGGUUGUCCUUUGAAACUCUGGAUCUUGUCUGCUUCCACCAGAACUGGCGCCCGACUCGAAAAACGAGGGCCCAAAUCGAGCCUGAUGCCUCGCCACCUCCUCCUGCUGCCACCGAUCAUCCAGACUCGCCCGCAUGGCAGCUUGGAUUUGUGCCUCCUCAUCUGGACCCUCGACCUCCUGUGACUCCAUCAAGUGAUAGGAAGGUGCUUCUGCAGCUUGGCGUUCCACCUCCGCUUUCUGCUUGGCAGCCCUCUCCUUGGCUGCUUUGAUCUCAGCGAGGUUUUUCCUCAUCAGCUGACGGGUGCUCGGUGGGCACUCUGAGCAUGCAGAUAUCUCACGAGAAUUACCGGCUAAGUGCUGCUUUAAUCUGGUUACCCCUCCUCCU
rnacentral:lncRNA from 1 species